rnacentral:lncRNA from 1 species
CACAUUCCAAAUUUAUUUGUUGAAAGAGUAUCUCCACUUUAUCACAAUCGACCACUUCCAAUUCUUUCAGAAGUGGCCAGCUUGAACUAAACCUUCCAGAGCAAAAUCUUUUCAGUUGGUGUAAACUGAAGAGUGUGAGAGAGGUAAGGUUAGGGAAUAAGAGUAAAGGUGAGGCUUCAUCUUCAUUUUCAUUGGCAACAAUUGCCUCCACUCCACUCGCCGAUAUAUAUAGGUCCUCAAGUUGCACAAGAGCACUCGCCACAGAAACCGGAAAAAGGUUUAGCAAUUUGUUGCAUCCCCUUACUUGUAGUUUCCUUAAUUUGGAAAAUGAAUUUGCUGGAAGUUGGUCAAGACACAAUGCUCUUAUAUUAUCUAGUCCGUCUGUAUACAAGGACUCCAAGCCUGGGAGUGCAACCUGUGCAAUUGAUGAUCCCUUUGGUUAAUAAUAUAUACAUAUACAUUCCUAAUAAUUAGACACAUGUAAAUAGAAAAUAAGAGGUUAAAGGAGAAUAUAUCAGUAUAACAAAGCACAAAAUUUAAACUAGAUUGAAGAAGAUCAAGAAAGAGAAAAGAAAAGAAAAGAAAAGCAAAAGCCUCUAGAUUCUGAAAAUCCAAUGAAACUUAAAAAAAAAAAAAAAAAAACCUCCAAAUUUUCCUUUCGAAAUGAGGUAAUAAGAGGAUUUUUUUUUCUUUUUUCUUUGCCUCUCUUUCAAAUUUGAUUAACUUCUAUGGAAAACGGAUUUUUUUUUUUUAAACUUUUAUAUAAGAUACAAGUAAUACUUUAAAAAAAUUGUGAUAUCUAAAAAAAUUUUUGAAAAAUUAUUUUUAAAGAAAUAAGGUAAAUCUAUACUUUUUGUAUAAGAUGUUCUACCUUUAUAUACAAAUUUCUGAUUUUUUUUUUUUUUGUUUAAAGUGUACCCAAAUGGACACUAAACUAUCUAGUUUUUAAUUUUUACAACUUUGAAUUGGAUUUUAUGGUAAACUAAUUUACAAUAUAAUGCAUGGAUUAAUCUUAGAUUCCAUCUAUAAAUUUUUUUAAUUAUCUAAUAUAAGACAUUAUAUUAAUGGAUUGAAUUAAUAAUGUAAUUAUAAUUUAUUUGGCAACUUUCUUCCUUCAAAUAUAUAAAAUGAAAACAAAUUUUAAAAAAUAAAAAAAUGAAAAAAAUAAAAAAUAAAAAAAGCUUUUUUUUAUAGUUUUUCUAAGAUGAUUUUGUAGAGUACUGUUAGUUUAUAGUUUUAACUUUAUUUCAUUUUACUUUUAACUUUAUUUAUUGAGGUAUGUUCUUUUUUGAAACUCUUGUUUAGAUUUUAUGGAGAAUAUAAAUUUUAAGAAAAAAAUGAAAUUUAAAUAAGAUAAGAAUAAAGAAACGCAAAAGGUGGAUGAAUUUUUUUAAGGCAAAAGUUUGAUAAUUGACACUAUCAUGUAAGAGGUGAAAUUUUUAAAUACUCAAUAAAGGCUAGUGAAACUUAAAUUAAAAGCAUGACAUGUACCUUUUUGACCAAAAAGAGCGAUUAUUGAAUUUUGUUGUCAAGUUCACCUAUCAAACCUAUUUCUUGAAAUAGUAUCUCCAUUUUACCACAAUUGAGCACUAUCAAUUUUUUUAAAAGUGCCCAUCUUGAAGUAAACCUUCUGAAGCAAAAUCUUUGGAGUUGGUGUAAAGUAUUGAGUAUGAGAGAGGUUAGUCUAGGGAAUAUUGCAUAUUAAUUCAAAUAAAACAUCAACAUUUUUUUUUUGUUAAAUUCUAAAUGAACACCACUAUAAAUUAAUGCAAUUUUGUAUGCUCAAUUAAAUAAACUUGUUCUUAAGGCAUCACAUGAAGUAUUUAAGUCUAAUUAAUAUUAAUUAAAAAUGAUUAUAUUAAAAAAAUCCAAAGUAAUUUAUUUUUAUCAUAAGUCAAGUAGGAUAAUUUUAUAAAUAAUUGGUUUUAGUUUCUAGUAUUCUUGUACACAAUCGCUAUGUUUGUUGCACCUCCAAAAAAUCUACUACUUGUAAUUAAUUGUAUAUUAUUCUCCAUAUUCACAUCAGUUUAUCUAGUAUGAUUAAUUUAGCAACAAAAUAUAAGUUUACUUAAAAUCGCUUUAAAUUCCUAUGAUAUUAAUGUUUAAGAUUAAAACAAUGUAACAUUAGCUAAAAAGAUUAAGAUCUAUAAUGUAACAUAUAAAAUUUAGAAAAUUCAAGGAAGGGUAAACUCGCACCUGUUCUACCCAGAAGAGUGGCUCAAGUUCACAUUCCAAACUUAUUUGUUGAAAGAGUAUCUCCACUUUAUCACAAUCAAGCACUUCCAAUUUUUUCAAAAGUGGCCAGCUUGAACUAAACCUUCCAGAGCAAAAUCUUUUGAGUUGGUGUAAAUCACGGAGUGUGAGAGAGGUAAGGUUAGGGAAUAAAAAUAAAGGUGCUGCUUCAUCUUCAUUUUCAUUGGUAACAAUUGCCUCCACUUCACCCCCCGAUAUAUGUAGGUCCUCAAGUUGCAUAAGAGCACUUGCCAUAGAAAGCGGAAAAAGAUUUAGCAAUUUGUUGCAUUUACUUACUCGCAAUUUCCUUAAUUUGGAAAAUGAAUUUGCUGGAAGUUGGUCAGGCCACAAUGCUCUUAUAUUAUGUAGGUUGCAUACAAACAAGGACUCCAAGCUUGGGAAUGCAACCUGUGCAAUUGAUGAUCCCUUUGGUUAAUAAUAUAUACAUAUACAUUCCUAAUAAUUAGAUACAUGUAAAUAGAAAAUAAGAGGUUAAAGGAAAAUAUAUCAGUAUAACAAAGCACAAAAUUUAAACUAGAUUGAAGAAAAUCAAGAAAGAGAAAAGAAAAAGCCUCUAGAUUUUGAAGAUCCAAUGAAACUUAAAAAAAAAAAAAAAAAAAAACCUCCAAAUUUUCCUUUCGAAAUGAGGUAAUAAGAGGAUUUUUUUUUUUCUUUUUUCUUUGCCUCUGUUUCAAAUUUGAUUAACUUCUAUGGAAAACGUAUUUUAACUAGCUAUGGAAAACGGAUUUUUUUUUUUGAACUUUUAUAUAAGAUACAAGUAAUACUUAAAAAAAAUUGUGAUAUCUAAAAAAAUUUUUGAAAAAUUAUUUUUAAAGAAAUAAGGUAAAUCUAUACUUUUUGUAUAAGAUGUUCUACCUUUAUAUACAAAUUUCUGUUUUUUUUUUUUUAAAGUGUAUCCAAAUGGACACUAAACUAUCUAGUUUUUAAUAUUUACAACUUUGAAUUGGAUUUUAUGGUAAACUAAUUUACAAUAUAAUGCAUGGAUUCAUCUUAGAUUCCAUCUAUAAAUUUUUUUAAUUAUCUAAUAUAAGACAUUAUAUUAAUGGGUUGAAUUAAUAAUGUAAUUUUAAUUUAUUUGGCAACUUUCUUCCUUCAAAUAUAUAAAAUGCAAAUAAAUUUUAAAAAAUAAAAAAAGCUUUUUUUAUAGUUUCUCUAAGAUGAUUUUGUAGAGUACUGCUAGUUUAUAGUUUUAACUUUAUUUCAUUUUACUUUUAACUUUAUUUAUUGAGGUAUGUUCUUUUUUGAAUCUCUUGUUUAGAUUUUAUAGAGAAUAUAAAUUUUAAGAAAGAAAAUGAAAUUUAAAUAAGAUAAGAAUAAAGAAACGCAAAAGGUGGAUGAUUUUUUUUAAGGCAAAAGUUUGAUAAUUGGCACUAUCAUGUAACGGGUGAAAUUUUUAAAUACUCAACAAAGGCUAGUGAAAUUUAAAUUAAAAGCUUGACAUGUACCUUUUCGACCAAAAAGAGUGAUUGUCGAAUUUUGUUGUCAAGUUCACAUUUCAAACCUACUUCUUGAAAUAGUAUCUCCACUUCACAAUUGAGCACUAUCAAUUUUUUUAAAAGUGCCCAUCUUGAAGUAAACCUUCUGAAGCAAAAUCUUUGGAGUUGGUGUAAAGUAUUGAGUAUGAGAGAGGUUAGUCUAGGGAAUAUUGCAUAUUAAUUCAAAUAAAACAUCAACAUUUUUUUUUUGUUAAAUUCUAAAUGAACACCACUAUAAAUUAAUGCGAUUUUGUAUGCUCAAUUAAAUAAACUCGUUCUUAAGGCAUCACAUGAAGUAUUUAAGUCUAAUUAAUAUUAAUUAAAAAUGAUUAUAUUAAAAAAAUCCAAAGUAAUUUAUUUUUGUCAUAAGUCAAGUAGGAUAAUUUUAUAAAUAAUUGGUUUUAGUUUCUAGUAUUCUUGUACACAAUCGCUAUGUUUGUUGCACCUCCAAAAAAUCUACUACUUGUAAUUAAUUGUAUAUUAUUCUCCAUGUUCACAUCAGUUUAUGUAGUAUGAUUAAUUUAGCAACAAAAUAUAAGUUUAUUUAAAAUCGCUUUAAAUUCCUAUGAUAUUAAAGUUUACGAUUAAAACAUUGUAACAUUAGCUAAAAAGAUUAAGAUCUAUAAUGUAACAUAUAAAAUUUAGAAAAUUCAAGGAAGGGUAAACUCGCACCUGUUCUACCCAGAAGAGUGGCUCAAGUUCACAUUCCAAACCUAUUUGUUGAAAGAGUAUCUCCACUUUAUCACAAUUGUCCACUUCUAAUUUUUUAAGAAGUGACCAGCUUGAACUAAACCUUCCAGAGCAAAAUCUUUUGAGUUGGUGUAAAUAACGGAGUGUGAGAGAGGUAAGGUUAGGGAAUAAGAGUAAAGGUGCUGCUUCAUCUUCAUUUUCAUUGGCAACAAUUGCCUCCACUCCACUCCAGGAUAUCCAUAGGUCCUCAAGUUGCACAAGAGCACUCGCCACAGAAAGCGGAAAAAGAUUUAGCAAUUUGUUGCAUAGAAUUACUUCCAAUUUCCUUAAUUUGGAAAAUGAAUUUGCUGGAAGUUGGUCAGGCCGCAAUGCUCUUAUAUUAUCCAGUGUGCCUACAAACAAGGACUCCAAGUUUGGGAGUGCAACCUGUGCAAUUGAUGAUCCCUUUAGUUAAUAAUAUGUACAUAUACAUUCCUAAUAAUUAGAUACAUAUACAAAGCACAAAAUUUAAACUAGAAUGAAGAAGAUCAAGAAAGAGAAAAGAAAAGAAAAGAAAAAGCCUCCAGAUUUUGAAGAUCCAAUGAAACUUAAAAAAAAAAAAAAACCUCCAAAUUUUGCUUUCCAAAUGAGGUAAUAAGAGGUUUUUAUUUUUAUUUUUAUUUUUAUUUUAUUUUAUUUAUUUUUUUAACUUUUAUAUAAGAUACAAGAACUCUUAGAGGGUUACAUUAUGUAAGUAAUACUUUUAAAAAAAUGUUUAAAAAAAUUAUGAAUACUAAAAAUUUUACUACCUCGGAUUUUAAAUUUUUAAAAAAUUAUUUUUAAGGAAAUAAGGUAAAUCUAUACAUUUUAUAUAAGAAAUUUUACUUUUAUAAACAAAUUUCUGAUUUUUUUUUUUUGAAGUGUAUCCAAAUGGACACUAAACUAUCUAGUUUCGAAUUUUUACAACUUUGAAUUGGAUUUUAUGGUAAACUAAUUUACACUAUGAUGCAUGGAUUCAUCUUAGAUUCCAUCUAUAAAUUUUUUAAUUAUCUAAUAUAAGACAUUAUAUUAAUGGGUUGAAUUAAUAAUUUAAUUAUAAUUUAUUUGGCAACUUUCUUCCUUCAAAUAUAUAAAACGAAAAUAAAUUUUAAAAAAAUAAAAAAAAUGAAAAAAAAGCUUAUUUAAUAGUUUUUCUAAGAUGAUUUUGUAGAGUGUUAGUUUAUAGUUUUAACUUUAUUUCAUUUUACUUUUAACUUUAUUUAUUGAGGUAUGUUCUUUUUUGAAACUCUUGUUUAGAUUUUAUAGAGAAUAUAGAUUUAAGAAAAAAAUGAAAUUUAAAUAAGAUAAGAAUAAAGAAACGCAAAAGGUGGAUGGAUUUUUUUAAGGCAAAAGUUUGAUAAUUGGUACUAUCAUGUAACAGGUGAAAUUUUUAAAUGCUCAACAAAGGCUAGAAAAAUUUAAAUUAAAAGCUCGACAUGUACCUUUUCAACCAAGAAGAGUGAUUGUUGAAUUUUGUUGUCAAGUUCACUUUUCAAAUCUAUUUCUUGAAAUAGUAUCUCCACUUUAUCACAAUCCCACACUUCCAAUUCUUUUAAAAGUGGCCAUCUUGAAGUAAACCUUCCGAAGCAAAAUCUUUGGAGUUGGGGUAAAGCAUUGAGUGUGAGAGAGGUUAGUCUAGGGAAUAAGAAUAAAGAUGUUGCUUCAUCUUCAUUCUCAUUAGCAACAAUUGCCUCUAGUACUUCACAAAAGGAUAUCUUUAGGUCCUCAAGUUGCACAAGGACUUUCGCCACGGAAAGGGGAAAAACAUUCAGCAAUUCAUCACAGCCAAUUAAUUCCAAGCCCUUUAGUUUGGAAAAGGAAUUUGUUGGAAGUUGGUUGUGCCACAAUGCUUUCAGAUUAUCUAGACGACGUACACGCAAGGACUCCAAGGCAGGGAAUGCAGCCUAUGCAAUUGAUCAUCCAUUUGAUUAAUACAUUCUCAAUAACUAGACACGUAUAAAUAGAACAAGAGAGGUGGAGGUGAAUAUGUCAAUAUGAAAAAGCACAAAAUAAAUUCAUAAUUUUAUCUGCGUAUUUUCUACAUUAUAUGAAACUAAACUAGACCUCACUACAAGCAGCUUGAAACUCAUUUAGAAGGAAAGUUUAUUUUUAUUAAUUGUCUAAAACUAAUAGACUUCUCAUUAUAUAAUACUUUGGUUUUAGUAUUUUUCAUUUAUUCAUUCUCCAAUACAAUUUUACUAACUUAAAACAAGUAGAGCAUUUAUAUGUUGGAGUAAUAUGUAUAUGAUUAUUUUAUCCUAAAUUUUUUUGAUUAAUUAAUUAUCAUUUUUAAAAGGUUUUAUUGAUGUGAUUUGAUAAAUGGUCAUAUUAAUAAUAUUAGAACAUAAAAACAAAUUAACUAUAUUUUAUCUAAUAUUUACCAAAAUAUUGAUUUACUAUCACAAAUUAUGUAAUUAAAAAUAUAAAAUAAAAUAUUGGUUUCCAAUAACUCCAACCUCGUCAUUUUAUUAAUAUCUAUAUUUUGUUUUUCUUUUUCUUCUUCUACAUUUUGUUUGGUGAUAGUUAUUUUUGGGCUAUAAACAAAGUAUUUCAUAUUUUAAAACUUUAUAACUCUUAUAAUUAGUAUUUCAUUCAUUCCAAAAUCGAUUCUUCUCCCUUGCUAUUGGUUUAGAAUACAAAAAUAAAUUUAUAAGUUUCUUUAAACGAUAUUAGUAUCAAUUAUUCCUUUCAUGAAAAUAAAGAGAGUUUAAUAUUGAAAGAAAAUUAACAAAAAUAUUUAUGUUAAAAAUAGUUAAGCAAAAAAUCAUAUAAUAAAAAAGAAUGAAUUAAGCCUUCAAAUUAUUAAAAAAAUUAACAUAAUAAAUUCAUGAAAAAAGAAAAGUGAAGAUUAGGCCUUAAAAUUUAUUCAGAAAAAUAAAAUAAAGAUAAUAAAUGUAUGAUAAAUAAGAAAAUAUAAGAAAGGAAGGAAGACAAGUACAAGUACAUUUUACUAAAAUUUUAUAUAAUUUUGGUUUUAAAGUUUACUUUUUAAUUCUGGUUUUUAUUUUUUAGAAUAUAUUUAUUUAGUGUAAAAGUAGUGUAAAUAAAUACUAGUAAUGGCAGAAAUUAGAUAUCGAGUAGUAAGAUACCUGUUGACUGAAAAAUGUCAUUGACUCCUGGGUACCACUGCAUCUUGUGGAGUAGAAGCUAAUGAGCUCUGGGAGAUCACUCAACUCCAAAUGUUGCAGUUGAGGAAAAGCUGAUUCCCUUCCAUGUUGUGUGGGAAGAGAGAAAACAUAUUUCAACCUCUCACAACUCUCUAGUCUUAGAAUUCUUAAGUUACCAAAAGACCCCAUCGGAAUUGGGCCAUGGCAUACUGCCUCCAAGUUAUCUAGGCCAUCAAGGAUCAGUUCCUCCAACAUACAGAAGGUAUUAGGUGGUGGAACCCAUUCCACUGAAGUACUGGAAUGAAGGAUGUAUUGAACGGUAGGACAUCCAGAGAGAGUGAGAUACUUGAGUUCAACGAAACCUUCCUUGUCUAACUCAUAAACCACAUGCUUAGUAUCAUCCAAUUCCCCCAAGUCUAGAACUUGACUUCUCUUCAACAGCUUGGAGAAGCACUUCACCAUAUAAAGACUUGUAACCCCUUGAAACACCAACCUUCUUGAGGAGGCUUUAUACUCAUCAUUUCGUAUCCGGUAAGGGCUUAUUACUAUUGAAUAUCUGGUCAAGUUGAGGUUUUCGAAGGGCACGCCAUCUUCUGGAAACAAACUGAGAUUUGAUAGUUGUAACUCCAAAGUCCUCAAACUAGACAGGUGUUUCAGCUCAGAAAGGCAAGCAUUAAUUCUUUCUCCCCUAUUAAAUCCUUCCGCCUCCCAUUCAAUACGAAAACUUCCUUUCAUACUCAAAUACUCUAAUUGGGAUAGACUUGAUAUAACAUUUCGUGGAAUUACUUCAAGGCUAUCGCAAUACCGCAAAUCCAACAUCCUUAGAUCACUCAAUUGCGCCACUUCAUUUGGCAGCUGUUCAAUGUUGGACUCUGCCAAACUAAGGACUUGUAGUUUCUUCAGUUCUCCAAUUACUGUUAUGUCUUGGAUCUGGCAUUGAUUUAGACGCAAUGUUUGAAGAUUUGAAAGAAAACCAAGUGAUGAAGGAGAUGGUGUAAGAGACACUUUAGACAAAUCUAAAAUUCUGAGUUGUUUGGUGUCUUGGAAAAAGGCAUCUGGAAUUUUCAAAUAAGGAUCAUCAUUACUUGAAUUCAAUAAAAAGAAUUCAAGUUGCGGACAUACCAAGCCCUGUGGAAGCUCAUCCAUAUUUCUGCAUAUCAAAGAGAUGCGAGUGCAAUUUCUGCACUCAUCCGUCUUCUGCCAUUCUCGUAAUUCAGCAGCUUCUUGUGAUCCAACAGCUUCUCUCACCACAAAUCGAUGAGGAUCUUUGGAUGCAAUUGAUCUGGCAACAUCACGAACAACAUCAUGCAUUCUGACAAAAGCUUGAUCAAAAAGCAAGCUCGAAGAGCUAUCACCAUCUCCUUCAUGGUCAAGCAACAAGCUUGAGACUUUGAGGUUUUCCACCAAUGUAAUUAGUUUAUUUAUUGCUUUCUCCCAUGAAUAUGUUCUUUCAAACAAAUUCAAACACAUAGCAAAUUGUAGCAAGCGAUCCAUGGAAAUAUCACCAUCCCCCAGCAAAGCGCAAAGUAAAAACAAUGACUUUACUUCAUCACCUUCCAAAUGGUUGUAGCUCAGCUCCAGACAUGAGUAGACGCCUUUAGUUACUCCUCUGAUGUUUGUUGGUGCAGACCUUCUCAGUUCUUCCAACGCAUUCUCCCAUACACCCACCAUCUCACCUCUUAAUGCAUUUGCAAUGGUGACAAUUGCAACUGGUAGACCGUCACAUUUUUUAGCUACAUCAACUGCUAUGGGACGCAGUUCAGGCUUCUCCACGGAUUCACCUGCUGUCUUCUUGAAUAAAUUCCAGGCUUCAUCUUCACUUAAAUGUUGAAGAUGGAACUCCUUUUGAGUAUACAUAUCUUUAGAUAAAACCUGACGCUCCCGGGAAGUCAGCAGCACUUUGCACCCCUUGUGAUCAUCUCCAUAAGGAAUUCCUAUUUUUCCCAACCCAAGUUUCUCCCAGAUAUCAUCUAAGAUCACCAGGAUUUUCUUCUCUCUCUUCAACCUUUGCAUCAGGCGACCUGCUCUAUCCUCCCCCGCCUCAAAUUUCAAACCCAACAUUCUUGCAAUUUUUUCUUGAAUUUCUGUGAUGUUGGGAGUUUGGGAUAUGUGUAACACCAGGACCACCUUGUGAAAGAGCUUGUCUUCCUCCGCUUGUUGAGCUACUUGUUUGACAAGAGUGGUUUUGCCCACGCCGCCCAUUCCCCAGACACCGAGCAUGCGCAUAUCUUCGUUUCUCAAGGCCUCCAUAAUUUGGUUAAAAGUAGACUCUCUUGACUGGAAAGCCUCAUAAUCUUUGAAAGAUGCAGAGCUGAUGAAUGGAGGAGGAGGAGGAGGAGCGCGAUGCGAUACUCUGCCACCAAAGUUAUGAGCUUCUUGGAUUUUAUCAACAAUCUCCGCAGCCUGCUUCUUUGCUUGCUUGCUUAGCUGGUAGCGGGACUUUAAAUAGAAACAGCUCUUGCUUGCUUUCCUUUCAUCUUCAUUGAAAUCAUCUCUCUUUUGGAUGAUCCCUUCUGCAUACGUCAGCCACUCCUGAACAUCAGAAAAGAUUUCAUCCCUUUGCCUAUUAGCAUCAUCCACAGGUAUCUGCAGCCUCUCCCUUUCAAGAUGGAGACUCUGAAUUUUUUGGUUGAGAUCCGUAAUGUUGUGACGGUAGUUAACCACAUAACCCAGUGGACGUAUAAUUGGACCAACCAGGUACUCUGCAACUUUUGCUGCAACGGAAAUAACAAUGUCAACCAUUUCCAACUUCUUUUUUCUAGAAAUAGAUGGGAAUUGAGCAAAGGCAGAUAAAGAAUUAAUAGAGCAACCACAGCAGGAGAAAGACAAUACACGAGAUUGAUAUUUGAUUGAAACUGUUGUGACAGAAGAAAUGGAAGGCUUGAGGUAUAAAAAGAGCAGAGUUUGUGGAAGAGAGCUGGAUUGUUUUUUUUUCUUUCAGGAAGAGAGGAGAGGAGAGGAGAGGAGAGACAGAAAUCAGGAAAGUGGAAAAGGAGAGUGAUUACUGGUAAAGAAGAAGAAAUAGUUGAUAAAAAAGAGAAAAGGGUUACAGAGUGAAGAGAUUGAGAAAGCUUUGGAUUUUGGAAUUCAGUGAUCCCCAAAACGAAAUAAGUAAAAGGCUUUCUGGCAAGAGGGAGAGACGGAGAGAAGGAAAAUGAAAAAAUGGGAAACAGCAGUGAGUAUUGGGUGAUAAAUCGACGAGGAAACGGUUGUUUUGGUGAAAGGAGAAAGGAGAGCAGCAAGCCAACUUCAGAAUAGCAGAACAGCAGAAUUGCAGAUUCCUGAAUGUGAAAAUAGUUUGGUUAGAAGGAAAGGGUGUUUUAUUAAUAAUAGGAAAACAAGUGAUGGCACGCAUGGAAUCUUCUGAGUUCUUGCUUUAUGGACUUUCGCCACCUAACCUCCAUUACUCACCAUCAUCAUACUAUUAUUAUAUUCACAGAAUUUUUAAAAAAUAUAACAAUUAAAACUUCCAUUUCUAAAUUUACGGUAUCUCAUGAUAACUCAAAUAAAAAAUUGCAUUCAAUUUAAGCAUCAUAUUUUGAUGUUAUAUUUUUCAGAUAUAACUUUAAAUUUUAAAAUUUAUACCAAAAUUGUUUUUUUCAAAAAUAAUUAAUAUGUACCUAUAAUUAAGAAGACUUCACUAUAUUUAUAAUCUCAAAAACUUUAUGGAAUAUUAUAAUAUCACUCUAUUAAAAUUAUUUAUUUAUUUGAAAAAAAAAUUAUUCAUUAUAAAUCUCAAAUUAAUAAUUAUUAUUUUUUAAUAUUUUUAUUUAAAAGGUUGUGAAAAUAUUAAAAUCCUUUGUUUCCAUGGAUGUUGGAUUAUGAAUCACCUAUUGUGCCAACUAAAUUAUUUUUAUUUAUCAUUUAUUGGGAUUUAAUCUCAUUAUUAUGUACCAUCAUAUUAUGAAAUUUUAAACCCUUUUAUUUAUAGUAAAAGAAAAUAAAAAAUAAAAAAUAAAAAAUGAGCAUGAAUAUUAGUUCACAUUAUAAAAUUUUAUAAUUAGAAGGGUCCAUUAAAAAAGAAAGUCAUACAUUUUUAUUUAUAUUUUAUUAUUUUUAUAAUUUUAUGAUUUUGAUAUUUGAUUUUAUGUAAAUAGUGAAUAAAGUUAUGUAUUAUUGAAAUAAAUAAAGAGAAUUCAGUCUUGGGUUAACACCUUGGAGGCAGCAAUGAAAUAAGGCCCUCACAUGAAAUGAGAAAAAUUAGAAAUUAAUCAAAAAAAAAAACCUAUUUGAAAACCCACACAUUAAAAACAAUUGAAAAUUUUAUAAAAAUAAUAAUCUUCGAGAAAUUUGAAAACAACAAUAAUUAAGUGUAUUUUCAUCAAAUUUCUAUAAUAUUAAUGAAAUUAACCUUUAAAAUACUUUUAAUCAUUUACUUUUAAAAAAUAGUUAAUUUUUUUCACACCUCUAGGUUUAGUAUAUCAUUAGUUUCAAAUUUAUCAUUUCAUCAUAUAACACCGUUAUAGAUAUAUUUUAUUUAUAAAAUUUAAUUUUUUUUAAAAAAAGAAUUAUGUUUUUUAGAAAAUUAUAAAAUAUACUUAUUUCAUAAAUCAUUUUUGAAAAAUAAAUUUUAUAAAAAUAAUAAUUUAAUAAUGGUGCUAAGGGAUGAAACUUGGAUUCAACAUUGAUUAAGUGUAGUUUUAUUAAAUUUCAGUAAUAUAAAUGGAAUUAUCCCUUUAAAAAUUAAAAAACCCCUUGAAGAUUCACACUUCGGGUUGAAAAUUGGAAGUUUCAUAAACAAUCGUGAAAAAUGUAAGAGUGAAAACAACCUAUUAAAGAAAAAGAAAGUUCCAAAAAAGGGUUUGUAAACCAACAACUUGAAAAAGGAUUAUUUCAUUAAAGGAAUGAAAUAAUUAUUGAUUUAUAAAAUCUCACCUUCUACGUCUUUUGGGCUUAAAAAUAUUCAUUUUUAAUAAAAAUAUGUUUUAAUUUAAAAAAAAAAAUUUUUGUAAAAUUUAUAAAUUUUAAUUUUUAUAAAUUUUAUAAAAAUAAUAAUUACUUUUUUUUUAUGGAAAUUAAAAGAGAGUGAUUACAGGUGAAGAAUGAGAAAUAGUUGAUAAAAAAAAAAAUUGAGAAAAAGGAUUACAGAGGGAAGAGAUUGAGAAAGCUUUGGAUCAUGGAUUUUACUUCUUGGAAGCAAAUGGAAAAGAAGCAGAGUAUAAGUUGAGGUCUUGAGGGGAAAAAGAGGAAGAGAGCAGGAAGGGAAUUAGAUACUGAGUAUUUUAGUCAUCUCAUGUAUCAUCUACAAUCAUUUUUAAAUAUGGAGGUUUAACAAAUAAAAUUAUUAUUUAAAUUAAUAAAAAUAAAUAUUAAUUAAAAUUAAUAAAGGUAAAUACCUCAAUUUGAUUAUAUAAAAUAAAUUUUAACUUUGUGGAGCAAUAUUAAUACGUAAAGUAAAAACUAAAGUAAUUUAAUUAUUAUGUUUACAGUUAUUAAAAAGAAUUUCUACUUGUCAAUUAAAAUUAAAUAAUAAAAAAUUCUCAUUCCAAUUGUAUGCAUAUUCAAUCAAGACUUUUGUGGUAUUCAAGAAUGGAGAACUAGUUGCUUUAUUGAUUCUUAUCAACAAUUCUUUUCAAGGAAUUUGGACCGCUUAUUCAAGUGGUCCCCAUGGAUGCUUCACUUUACAGCUAAUGAUGUGAAUAAUGGGACUUAAAAUAAAGUGAAGCAUAAAUGAUGGCUCUCAAAAUAAUUUGAACAUCAAAUAUCUAUAAAAGGUUUGGCCUAUUUUCAUUGAUUUUCAAUUGAUUUUUAGAUGAGAUAGUCAAAGUUCUAUACAAAAAUUGGUAUGGAUUUACGUGUGUAUUUUCUAAAAUUCUUGUUCUAGGGGGGAAAAAUAACCAUAUUUUCCGCAUCCAAUCUUUGUCUUAGGAUUCUUGCAACCGUUAUAAAAAAUGAAAGCGAAAAAGAAAGAGGAAAAGAUGAAAAAGGAUUAAUUUAUAUAUAUACACAUAUACCCAAAGUGCUUAUUUAUUCCUUUUUCGCUUUUCGUUUUUGCAUGCCUUCUUCUUCUUUAGCUGCAAGUGCUUUUCAGACACCGCAAUCUAUGCUUAAAAUCAUAAACAAGAGAAUUAUGAAACGAUCUCAUUCCCAUGUGAGUUUGGUAAUGAGUCGAUUCUCCAUUAUUCACAUCAUUAGCUGGACCGCUUUACCUGGACCAUCAUUCACAUCAUUAGCUGUAGAUGCAAGUGGUCCAGGUAAAGUGAAGCAUAAAUGGGGACCACUUGAAUAAUGGGUCCAAAUUCCUUGAAAAGAAUUGUUGAUAAGAAUCAAUAAUGCAGCCACCUAUCCAUUCUUGAAGACGACAAAAGUCUUAAUUGAAUAUGCAUACAAUUGGAAUGAGAAUUUUUUAUUAUUUAAUUUUAAUUGACAAUAGAAAUUCUUUUUAAUAAUUGUAAGCAUAAUAAUUAAAUUAUUUUAGUAUUUUGGAGAUGGGGUUGGAAUUGUGUUCCUUCAUUCUCUCACUUUCUCUCUCCCUCUCGGUAAUCCCCCAAACCCAAUUUAGGGGUAAAAUCGAAAUUUAGAAAUUAAUAAUUAGUUAAAGUAAUUUAAUAAGGGUAAAAAUGUCUUUUCGUAUUUAAAAUCCCUAUAUAUAAAUUAGAUUUUUCUUAUCUUCUCUAUUCAGAAAACCCUUUUACACAGAGAUAAAAAAGAUCAGAGAGCAUAAGGCUGAAGAUUUGUAGGUUUAGGGUUUGAAGAUCAAUUUUUCAGGUAAGAUUUUAAUCCUUAAAUUAAUAUUUUAUAUUCGUUAAUUAGUUUUAAAAACUUUAGAUAUUCUUUGGAAGAUCUCAAUCUAGAUUAGGGUUUGUUAAAUUAAUUUUUAGAUCAAAAGACUGGAAAUUUAUGAAUGUGAAUUAAUUUGUGAUGAAAAUAGGAAAAUUUAGAAAUUUUCUAUUAAAUAGAAAACGAGAUCAAUGAAAAAUCAAUGGAAGAAAAGAAAUUUUAGAUUUAGAAAAUAAAUAAAUAAAUUGUUUGUGUAGGCUUUACAUUUGAAAAAAAAUAAAUUGGAGUACGCAUGUGACUUAGGCAUUGGAAAAGAUUGUAUAUGUAAAUAUAUUUUUAUAAUAAUAAAUAAUGAGAAGAAACAUGAGGCUUAUUGUUUUAUUCUUAGGGCUUUGUGCGUAUAAUGAAGAUAGGAGGGUAAUGGAUUGGUUAUAUAUUGAAUUUGAAAAUUAAUAAAAAUUAUAAUAUUUAGUUUUAAGCUAACAAAGGAAAUAUUAAUAAUAAUAAUAGUUUCCUAUAUAGGUUUUAAUUUAAGUUAAGUAUAUAAAGAAAUAAAUAGUGAGGGUAAGAUUAAGAAAGAAAAUGAAUUUUAUAAUAAUUUGAAAACUCACUAAAUUAAUUUAUUAUUGUUUAGUAAGUUGAAAAAUAAUAUUGGGUAGUAAUAAUAUUAACAUAAGAAAUUAAUUAGGAUCCUAAUACUAAAUAAAAUAUUUUUAGGAUUUUCAAAUUUAUAUGUUUGGAUAAAUAAUCAAUAAUCAAUAAUCAAUAUUGUGUAUGAUAUUAUGUUAGGUGAGGAGGAAAUUCUUCAGAGUUAAAUACUUUAAGAUUUUGAGUGCUUUUUCAAGGUAAGGGAAACUCACUAAAUUAAUUUAUUAUUGUUUAGUAAGUUGAAAAAUAAUAUUGGGUAGUAAUAAUAUUAACAUGAGAAAUUAAUUAGGAUCCCUAAUACUAAAUAAAUUAUUUUUAGGAUUUUCAAAUUUAUAUGUUUAGAUAAAUAAUCAAUAAUCAAUAUUGUGUAUGAUAUUAUGUUAGGUGAUGAGGAAAUUCUUCAGAAUUAAAUACUUCAAGAUUUUGAGUGCUUUUUCAAGGUAAGGGAAAUUAAUGCAGAUUUUUAUAAAAGAAAAUAAUUUUUUUUUUAUGUUGUAUUUUGAAAUGUGUAAAAAUAUUAUUUUUAUCUUUUCGCAUGGAUCAAAUAUGUGUUUUGUAUGGAAAGCAUAUUUGAGAAUUUUCUUUGUUUAUGAAAAGAGAAAAAUUGAGGAGAUAUGAUAUUUUGUUUUGUAAGUUUGAAUUAAUGAAAUAAAGUGUUUGACUCUAGAUUAUAUGGCCUUAGUCAACGGAUUAUAAUAGUUGACAUUAUGGCCCUAGUCAACGGGCUAUAAUUGUUGACAUUUGUAUGACUCUAAUCAACGGGUUAAAUAGUUGAUAUUAUAUGGCCCUAGUCAACGGGUUAUAAUAGUUGACUUUAUGACCCUAGUCAACGGGUUAUAAUUGUUGACAUUUGGCUUUGUUCACCUUAACUAGAACAAAUUUGAAACUAACCACUCAUUUAUGAAGUCCCACUUAAUUGGGCACCAUUUGUUAUUUGAUAACCAAAGUAAAUAUAUUUUGAAUGUAUUUGAUUUGGUUUUUAUGAGAAAUUGUUUUGAAAUGGAUAUGAGAAAGUUUUGUUGAAAAGUUUGAAUGUAUUAGUAUUUUGAACUCAAAACUUUUUAUGAAAAUAAAUAUAUGUUAUAUCUCCUAUUUGCAAGCACGACUGAAAAUGUUUGAUUCAUGAAAUUGUAUUGAUGUUCUUUAUUGAGCUUUAAGAUCAUGCCCUUUUGUUGUUAAUUUUUCAGGUACUUUCAGUUCGGGCGAGGAGUGAUGGCUAGGCUUGGGAAUUUUUCUUUGUUAGGAUUUUGGUUCAAACUUUAUUUUUGGACAUUGUUUAGAUGUUAAAAUUUAAUUCCCGUUUAAAUUAUUUGAAUUUGGAGUUAUUUGGACAAUAACAUUCUGAUUGAUGUGUUGGUUUUUUUUUUAAGUUGAUACUUGGAAAUUUUAGAAUUUUGUCCUACUACUUUGAACAUGAAUUUGGUAAUUGGUAAAUUUCUAGUUACAAUACAAAUAUUUGUGUUGUUUCCACUUUGAGCCUUUGGGUUUGGGGUGUGAAAUAACCAUUAUGCCAUUGGAGUGGAUUUUGGGGCGUGACACUGUAGACCCUCAAUUUUUUCCUCAUAGCACAUGUCUUAUUAGAUACUUAUUCGAUACUUUACAGUAACUCCUUGGUGGCCCAUAUCUACUCACAUUACUUACCUUUUCUUGAACCACCUCGGAGACUCUGAUUGAGGGAUUGCCCAACCCCUUAUUAUGACCUUGACAACUCUAAUUUAGACUUAGACACUUUCCUAAACGCCUUAGGCCCACUUAGACACUUCAUUGGGCUUAGUUUACUUAGGUCCACUUUAGCACUUUUUUUUUUUAAACCCACUUUUUAUAUGACUUGCAUGAUUGCAUGGCCUACAUGACUUGUAUGGCUUAUAUAGAUUUCUUUAUUAUUUUUAUUUUAUUUUAUUUUAUCUUAUUACAAGUUUUCUAAAUCAUAUUUCUUGGCUUUUUGGGCAUGAGGAAACGGGCCGCCACCUAUUUGGAAGGAGAACCAACAAAAUUUUGAAAAAGAGGAGAUUUUGUUUUUUUUUAGAAGGAUAGCACAUAUAUUAUUUCCAUGGGGGAAUCGGUCGUAAAAAGGAAGGCAUGCAUUACAUAAAAAAGGAAAGAGAAAAAAGGGAUUUUCCUCGAGCAGAUUUGGGGAGUUCUUUGGGGGAAGACUGAUAUAUAUACAUGAGAGAGGAAGAAAAAAUGAAUUUUUUGGAGGAUUCUUUGAUGGUCAAGGGCAGAGAGAGAGGUUGUCAAGGGAAGAGGAAGGAAGCAUGGAAAAGACCAGUGGGAAAAAUCUGAGAAUACAAAAACCAGUGGAGAUUUUCUCACCGAAAGGAAGUGUUUCCAGGUAUGUUUACUGUAGACCCCUUCUUGAUUCCGAUUAUCCUUUUGAUGUAUGAAUUUUUGUUGGAUUCUGAGUCUCGUUUGGAUGCUAGGGGGUAGAAUGACGGAGGUCAUAUGUUUGUCUACAUUAGUACUUGAUUGCUUCUAUAGAUGUUGUUGAUUUGUCUCUUUGGAGUUCUCUAAUUUUGAUUUAGGGGUGAAAAGUUCUAUUUUUUUAAUUUCCUAUGCAUUACAUGAGAACUAUGGCUAUACUUGUUUGCUGGAAUAUGCUCGUACCUCUCUCACCAUUCCAAGCCCAUUGACAAAGCAAUGGAAUGUUGGCUUGGUUUGGUUAUUCUUUUUUUUUUUCUUAUCUCUACUCUGUUUUCUAGAGCUCUUUCUCUUUGUGUUCGUUUCUUCUUUUCUUUUCUUUUUCUAGUUUCUUUUUUUUUUGGGUACCCUGUUUCCGUUAGGCAGUAAUUUCUGGAACUCUUGGAAUGGGAAGAAUUCUGUCCGGCCAACGUUCUACCUUCUCCGGAUAUCUCACAUCCGGAAUUCUGUCCGACCGACAUUCCACCUUCUCCGGAUAUCUCACAUCCGGAAUUCUGUCCUGCCGACAUUCCACCUUCUCUGGAUAUCUCACAUCCGGAAUUCUCUCCGCUGACAUUCCACCUUCUCCGGAUAUCUCACAUCCGGAAUUUUGUCCCGCCGACAUUGCACCUUCUCCGGAUAUCUCACAUCUGGAAUUAUGUCCGGCCAACGUUCUACCUUCUCCGGAUAUCUCACAUCCGGAAUUCUGUCCGGCUGACAUUCCACCUUCUCUGGAUAUCUCACAUCCGGAAUUCUGUCUGACCAACGUUCCACCUUCUCCGGAUAUCUCACAUCCAGAAUUCUGUCCGGCCAACAUUCCACCUUCUCCGGAUAUCUCACAUCCGGAAUUCUAUCCAGUCGACGUUCCACCUUCUCCGGAUAUCUCACAUCUGGAAUUCUGUCCAACCAACGUUCCACCUUCUCCGGAUAUCUCACAUUCGGAAUGUCCGACCAACGUUCCACCUUCUCCGGAUAUCUCGCAUCCGGAAUAUCCGACCGACGUUCAACCUUCUCCUCUAUUUGCUUCUUUGAUUGGGAAUUUAUUGUUUUUUUAAUUGAAUUUUUGAAUCAUUUUUCAACUAAAUAUUCUCAGCAUUGAAAAAUCCAUCUUUAAUAAUCCUUUGCUGCCAUUUUUCCUCUUGGCAUGCACUUCCACUAUUUUCUUUGACUUUCAACCAUUUUCUUGAUUUUCUUGAUUUUUCACAAGCAUGAACAAAAUUCAUGAUUCCAAAUAAUGGAAUUUAUAGAAUCAACUCAUGCAAAAUUAAUUAGGGCUUUGGAGGGGGGCCCGACAUUCAUGAUAUUUCCUCAAAUAUUUUUUGUUUGAUAUUCGAUUGAUUGUGCUUCAUUUUGUGGUAUAUAUGAGAUUAUUUUGGAUAUGUUAUUUGGCUAAUUUUGUUUCCCAUAAAGGAGUACUAGCUUGCUACCCAGGUAUGCUCUUCCUCACUUAUUUUCGAGAAUUAUGUGGGCACGUAUGCUAUUGGUGAUUAGAUCCAUACAUGAUGUGAUUCUUAGAUGUUCAGAUACAUGCUUGAUUUGCUUAGAUAAAACAAAUGUUGUAUCACAUCUUCAAACUAAUCUUUGAUGUCUUGUGAUAGCGCUUAAGAAGCAGUCCAAGUACGUACCCUAAAUCUUCUUCAAGAUUGUGAUUGGUUUUCCUAUUAAGCAUGCUUUUUUUCAAAAUCACCUAGCCUACUUAGAUAUCCAUGAUUAAUCGUUUAAUCGCUAUAUUUCCCUCAACUUAGUCAGUAGAGACCUUUUUAGGGCUUAGAGGGGUGCUACCUCCUAGAGGUACCUUUCCAAUAAGUAACCUGAUCCCCGGACUUAGACUCAGGUUUCCCAAAGACAUGCUUUUUUCCAAAACUAUGGAGUCACUUUUUAGGGUUUUUCUUUCUUGUUUUACUUUCCCUUUAAAAUAAAAAUAAAAUAGGUGGCGACUCCAACUUUUCUAAAAUUAAUUUUUCACAAAUAAAAAAGCGAGUUUUGCCGAUCAAGUGGGGACGCACGUGAAAAAUGCGGGACCACAAAUUGGCGACUCCACUGGGGAUUUUGAGGAUCAAGCUUGAACACUAGUUGAAGAAAAUGUGGCGUUUAAUUGGUCGAUUAGUGGGUACCCCUUUUUUUAGGAAAGGUGAUUUGAUUUGCUUGCUUGUUUGGUUUUCUAUCUUAACAUGUUUGAUUGCCUUGGAUAAUCACUUGAUUGUUUUGCUCACUUUAACAUGAUUCACUCUCACAUAUGUUAGAUAGGACUUUUGUUUGUUUGAUAUUUAUCUGCUUAGCAUGACUGUUUGUUGCGUUUGCCUUGAACGAUCACUUAACUGUUUGCUCACUUUAGCAUGAUUCACUCUCACAUAUGCUAGGUAGGACUUUGAUUGUUUGAUAUUUAUCUGCUUCGCAUGAUUGCUUGUUGCAUGACAACCCUUUCUCUUGCAUGUUUGUAUGAUUGCUUGUCUUUGUUCACUAUCUCACUUUAGAUCUUAGGUUUUUUGGAUGCACCCACAUCCUUCAUUGUGCACUUUAGAUUAUCCUUGAGUGUUGAGAGAUGGGAGAGCCUUCACCAUUAAGAAACCCCUUGGGAACGCGAGGAAGUGCAUGUGUGGAGGUGAUGACCACCUUGCAUGGAAGCACCCCGUCCCCUUAGAGGCGUGCAGAGGGUUGCGUACCGCUGGAGGGUACGAUCGCUUCUGCUAAGGAUCCUUUAAACCACCCAUUCCAACCUAUAGAGCCACCUCAACCUUGUAAGUUAACCUAGACCCGAUUAAGACUUCAUUCCUACACAUGGGUGCAUCUGUGGACCUUCAGAGCUGCCUUGGUCACGAUUGCGAUUGGUUAUCCCUUCCGUAGUCUCUUUUUGGUGUGAUCAGAGAUGGGUAUCAGAUUGAGUACAUUUAGGUUUUACUUCUACGCACUUGAUUCCUACAGAGUCACAUUCGUACCGUACCUUAUCCAGUGUUUCCAUAUUUGUCCAGAAGCGUUUACUUUGACCGAUCUGGAUUUGCCCUUGUGGAUUAGAGUUAGAGGUAGAUUAACCAGAGUAUCAGACCAGUCAGAUCAAAGAUCAGAUCAGAGGGAUAUGGACUCACAGAUAGUUACCGUUGACCAGUUUUCCACAGCCAUGGCUUCUAUCCAGGAGGCUAUAGCUAACCUUGGUCAGAGAAUAGAUGGACAGCAAACCCAACAGGUCCCAGUUCAGGAGAGUGCCCAGUUCGAUACCAUAGUACCGCCACCAUCUCUGCCUAGUCAGUCAGUACCACAGACUGUACCUUUCACUCUGCAUAGUCAGAUCGAGGUUGCCCCGCCUCCUGUCACAUCGCCUAUCCCGACUUCAGAGGACCCACACACACGUAUGGAUAGACUUGAGUAGAAGUUGAGACAGAUGAGGGCUUCAGACGGAGUUGUUACUUGGGAGGAUUUUGAUGGAGCACCAGUGGCUAGUUUGUCGGCCAAGUUCAGGAUGCCCGAGAUUGAGAGAUACACAGGCAUAGGCUGUCCUCGCAUCCAUUUGAGGCUCUAUAGUACAGUUAUAAGGGCCCACAGACUGGAUGAGGCCUAGAUGGUUAUGCUUUUCCUUAUGUCUCUGAGUGGUACGACACAACGUUGGUUCGAUUCAUUAGAUGUAUCACGCCGUAGGAUUUGGGAUGACUUGGCCCAGGAGUUUUUGAGACAGUUUGCAUUUAACACUGUCAUUGAUGUUUCGAGGAGAGAGAUUGAGGCAUUACAUGACAGAGUACUCAGUGCAUUUGAUAUCCCGCCUAGACCCAUUGAGAUACUUAUUUGAUAUACCUGCAUUGACUGGUAGACUGAUGAGAUGGCUCGUACUUUUGAUAGAGUUUGAUAUCCAGUAUGUUUCUUAGAAGUCUAUUAAGGAAAGUAUUAUCGCCGAUCACCUAGCCUCACUACCGACAUAUGAGGAUAGACUAGUUGAUGAUGAUUUUUCAGAUGAGGAGUUUGUUGCUAUGACCAGCUUAUCAGGAUGGUGCAUGUACUUUGAUGGUGCAGCCAAUCAGUUAGGGUAUGGGAUAGGUGUUCUGUUGGUUUCCCCUCAGGGUGAUCAUAUUCCGAGGUCCGUUCGUUUGGCAUUUUCUGAUCGACAUCCUGCCACGAAUAACAUAGUUGAGUAUGAGGCUUGUAUCCUUGGUUUAGAGACCGCAUUAGAGCUUGACAUUAGACAGAUGGAGGUAUUUGAUGAUUCCAAUCUGGUACUUAGACAGAUUCAGGGGGAUUGGAAGACUAGGGAUGUGAAGCUUAAGCCAUAUCACGCCUAUUUGGAGUUGCUGGUUGCGAGAUUUGAUGACUUGAGAUAUGUUCAUCUACCUAGAGCGUAGAACCGGUUUGCCUACACCUUAGCUACCCUAACUUCUUCUGUGGACAUUCCAAUUGAUGUAGUUAUACGUCCAUUGCUGAUUGAGUUGAGGUCUGCACCCGCCUACUGCUGUUUGAUUGGAGAAAUAGAGGUCCAGGAUGAUCUUCCUUGGUAUCAUGACAUUUAUCAGUUUCUUAGAUCUGGCACAUACCCUAAGGUAGCCACUUCCAAAGACCGGAGAGCACUGAGGAAUUUAGCCACUAGAUUUGUGAUUUGUGGAUAUACCUUGUACAGAAGAUCAGUUGAUGGUAUGCUUCUAUUAUGUUUAGAUCGAGCCUCUGCAGAUCGAGUGAUGAGAGAGGUUCAUGCAGGAGUUUGUGGUCCGCAUAUGGGAGGACACAUGCUAGCCUGUAAUAUUAUGAGGACGGGUUAUUUUUGGUUGACUAUGGAGACAGAUUGUUGUCAGUUUGUUCAGAAAUGCCCAAAGUGUCAGAUUCAUGGUGAUCUUAUUCAUGCACCGCCAUCAGAGUUACACGCUUUGACAUCGCCAUGGCCAUUUUCCGUAUGAGGUAUUGAUAUUAUUGGGAAGGUUUCACCAAAAUCUUCCAGUGGUCAUGAGUUCAUCCUAGUUGCCAUAGAUUAUUUCACCAAGUGGGUGGAAGCCGCAUCAUAUGCGAGGUUGACAUCUGCCAGGGUUGCCAGUUUCAUCAGGUCACACAUCAUUUGCCGUUAUGGGGUUCCCCAUGAGUUGAUUUCAGAUAGAGGGGUGCACUUCCAAGCUGAGGUAGAUACUUUGUUGCAGAAGUAUGACAUUCGACAUCAUAGAUCUUCAACAUAUAGGCCACAGACCAACGGGGCAGUAGAGGCUGCGAAUAAGAAUAUUAAGAGGAUUUUGAGGAAGAUGGUUGAAACUUCUCGAGAUUGGUCAGAGAAACUUCCUUUCGCAUUGUGGGCAUACCGUACCUCUUUCCGCACCUCUACAGGAGCUACACCUUACUCUUUAGUAUAUGGUAUGGAGGUUGUUUUGUCGGUUGAGACAGAGAUGGGUUCUCUGAGAGUAGCCCUUGAGCAACAGAUUUCUGAGACAGAGUGGGCUCAGGCUCGGUUUGACCAGCUUAACCUUUUAGAUGAGAAGAGACUGAGAGCAACUGAUCAUAUUCAGGCCUAUCAAAGGAAGAUGACUCGUGCCUUCAGGAAACGGGUUAAGCCUAGACCAUUACAAAAAGGGGAUUUAGUUUUGAGGAUUCUCAGAGGUUUGAUUGGAGACCCUAGAGGAAAGUUCAGACCUAGUUGGAGUAGGCCUUAUGUUAUUCGAGAGUUGACUCCAGAAGGGGCUGCAUGGUUGACUGAUUUAGAUGGAAACUAGUUUUCAAAGCCUACCAAUGUGGAUCAGCUGAAGAAGUAUUAUGUUUGAGAUUAUGGUCAUAGGAUGGGUGGCCAUCCUUUCGGUUAGCCUUACACCUUAUCACCUUUAUUGAUAUAUUAAACCAUUGCUAGCCCAUUGAGCCUCACGGGGUAUGUUAUAGCCUUAUUUUUUUCUUAUAGCCUUGAUUACCAUUUCUACACCCGGGUUGGGACCCUUUGGUGUAUAUGCAUGCUUUGCUAUGAAAGUCUCAUGAGCUUUAGACUUAUAGGCCUAUCUUCUCAUUCUCGUCAUCAUCUCCUAAUUACCCCGUUUGUUCUAUUUUACUAUCAUCACAUUUUCAUUGUCUCUCUUGUGUUUAUCAUUAUUUGCUUCAUCUUAUCUCUUCUAUUUCUUGGGUUGAUGAUUCUUCACAUCUUGGUGCAAAAGAGGGCAGUCAUAUCACUCCAUCCAUCCCCUCAUUUAGCAUUGAUUCGGAGAUUUUAGUUUGAGAGGUUGUCUCAUGGGUUGGGGUUCAUGUAUUCAUUAGUGGUCUGAGAGAGUGUGUUCAUUCCUUGUAUCUUUCCCAUUGGAGUUCAAUUUAUUGAUGAUCAGAGCAUGCGCAUCCAAAAAAUAAAAAUAAAAAAUAAAAAAAAAUCAAAAAAAAGAAAAAGAAAAAAAGAGAGAGAAAAAGCGCAAUGACAUGUUUGUGUAUGGUGUCUUGCUCCAUUGGGCAUUUAUAUCACCUUUUGAGGUUUAUUUACUGGGUAUAUUUGUCAUUGUGGGUUCUUGUGAGAUUUUUAUACGAGUUUUCACUCCUUGAGCCACUCUUGUUAUGCAUUUGGAGUGUUGAGGGUUCAUGUGAGAGUUCUAUGGUAUCCUAUGCUUAUCGGAUCAUGGUUGAUAUGUAUUAGGUAUGAGAGAUGAGUAAUCUUUUUACUAGGGUCUCCGGAUCAUUGUUUUAUCCAUCAUUCUAUCAUUGGUGACAUGGGUCAAUCAUCAUCUAUUCUACUUUCUCAUUGCCUUAUUUUGUAUCCCAUUACCUCUUUCCGGAUAUUCAUUCCACCUUUUAUCUAUUCCCUACAUAUUGAUAGACAUUUCUAAUUCGAUACCUUCUUCACAUUAUUCACAUGUUUCAUUGAUGGUUUGACCACCCAUCCUUUUUCUCAUUUCGCCAUUGACAUUUCCUUCGGUUACCUUUAGGUCCAUGGCUCAUGAGAUUUUUUCUAUGCAUUACAUCUUAUACACGAGGGUAUGGGUUUGAUCAUUGGGUAUUUGAGCCUAGUUUCCCUUCAUUUCUUUCACCCUAUCACCCUGGCCUACGUUACGUCUCGUGUCUUAAGACCACCCUGAGGCCAUGAGAUCAGGCGUUAUCUUUGAUAGUCUUCACUUGGACAGGCUUUUGUAGACUGGUUGAAGUAUAGUCGUUAUCAGGUUCUCUUUUAUGGAAAAUACUUUUGGAAGAAUUUGGUCUUUCUCUUGCUUGACAUAUUGAUGCUUGAUGGAUUCUUGAGUUUGGAGACAGUUCAUUGAUGAUAUCGGAUUCAUCCUUUUGUUGACAUCAGAUAUGCAUACUAGGGCAUAUUCCCCUUUCAUUCGGUUGAGAUGAGACCCUAGUGGAGCACUUUCUUUGAACCUGGGUAUUUUCAUCGAUCCGAGAUCCCUAGUAGAGUAUGUUGAUAUCAGCUCCAGUGAAGCAUUAUUGAGCUCAUUGACAGUUUUCAGGAUUCUAGGUUCCAUCUGCGGAGUAUUUUUGAGAUCGACUAGUGGAUCAUUUUUUAGUUGGAGGCAGUUUUCAGUGCAGUGUAUAGAUCUUGUACACUGGGGUAUAUUCCCCCAUUUGGAGGUCACUAGAUUCCCAUCAGAUUUAGUUAGGGAUUCAUCAGAGACGUGCUUCUACUCUCGAGAUUAUUAUAUUCCUCAUCAUUUUGAUUAUUCAUUUGAGAUCAGAUUUAGAGAGUCUUCCCUAGGGUAUUGGCUGAUACUUCAUUCUGAUUUCUUAGCAGAUUAUUGUUGAGUUGGAGACAGUUGAUUGAUGAUGUUGGAUUCAUCCUUUUUGUGCGUUAGAUAUCCACACUAGGGCAUAUUUCCCCUUUUAUCUGAGGUUUUCUAGUUGUUGUUGGAUGAUAUGACUAUUCAUAUCCAUGGUCAUAGAGUUGUUUGAUUGAUUUUGACUGAUUCUCUAUUGUACAUCAGUUAUCCAUACUGGGGCAUAUUCCCCUCUCCAUGAUGAGAUUAUGUUCGGGCAGCGGUAUAUAGAUGGAUGAUCGUUGUUGGUUGUUUAUCUCACGACUUCGACAUCAGAUAUCAUACUGGGGCAUAUUCCCCUCUCCUUUGCGAGAUUUGUUUGGGCAAUGGUGUGAGGAUGGAUCAUUAGUGUCGUUUGUCUACCUCAUGAUUUUGAUAUCGGAUCUUAUAUUGGGGCAUAUUUCCCCAUUUUCUUUGAGUAUCCUUAAGAUCGAGACAGUGGCCAGCUCGGUUUUAGAUUGAGAUUAAUUUGGAGCUUUCGGCGAUUGAUUAUAUCAGGACCUCCCUACAUGGAUUUAUCGAAAUAGAGAUGGAUCAUAUUGGCUUUCACCAGAGGAGCAUGAUUGGAUCCUUUAGCCAGAUGUUCAUGAGAUAGAUUGCUUUUGUCAUUAUUACCUUGCAGAUUGGGUUAUCCAGACGAGCGGUAUUUUGUGCACUUUGAGAUUUGCUUUUAGAUGAGCCAUGAUAUAUGCACUUUGAGAUUUAAUUUUUGAGAUUUGUCAACAGAGCAACUUUUCAGACACAGAGAGUUCUUUCAGUUUUGAAUUUUCAAAGGUUUUUCGUGAUGCAUCGGUUUCUGACCCAUUGAUUUCAGCGGAUGAUUGAUUUAUUGGUUGUUUCAGCAGUGUGAGCACCCUGGAUACUGGGGCAUAUUUCCCUUCUUGAGUUCAGUAGUCCGAACCUUGGCAUUUUAAGUAUACGAAUUUGAGCCCAUUUACUUCCUAUCCCCUUUCGAGUUGGUCUUCUUUAUCUGUUCCUUCUAGGCCUUGAGCCUCAUAGCCCUGAGUUAUCCACUCCUUUUAGACCCUGAGUCUUAUGGCCUUGAUUUAUCUGUUCCUUUUAGGCCGUGAGCCUCAUAGCCCUGAGUUAUCCAUUCUUUCUAGACCCUGAGUCUUAUAGCCCUGAGCUCUCUUUCUUCCCUUAGGUCCUAAGCCUGGUAGCCCUGAGUUAUCAUUUCCUAUAGACCCGGAGUCUUUCCAGCCCUGAGCUGAGCCUUCAUCAUUUGGUCGCCCAUGAGUGUUUUGACAGGGAGUUUGCGUAUCGCAUUCUCCUUUUAGUAAAUCAGUCAUAGAGCCCGGAGCUCAUAGCCCUGAGCUAUUCAUUGUAACCCCGAGUUACUCGUUGCAUCAUGACCCAGAGUCAUUUAUGUCAUCCAUAGCCCUGAGCUAUUCAUCGUAACUCCAAGUUGCUUAUUGCAUCAUGACCUAGAGUCAUUCAUUCCACCCAUAGCCUUGAGCUGUUCAUCAUAACCCUGAGUUACUCAUCGCAUCAUGACCCAGAGUCAUUCAUAGCAUCCCGAGCCCUGAGCUUACGACCCAGAGUCAUUUGCGUCCUUCACAUCCCUAAGACAUUUUGUUUUAUCAUUCUAGCCACUUGCAAGUGGCCUCGACCCGACACCAUGAGCUGGAAAACAUCCUGAUCGGCUACCAUUUAGAGCCUUGAGCUCAUGACCCAAAGUCAUUUAUCUUAUUUAUGACCCAGAGUCAUUCUUUCCAUUUAGAGCCCUGAGCCCGUGACCCGGAGUCAUUCACUUCAUCUAUGACCCAGAGUCAUUCUUAGCAUUUAUAGCCCUGAGCUCAUGACCCAGAGUCAUUUAUCCUAUUUACGACCCAAAGUCGUUCAUCCAAUUUCCGACCCAGAGUUGUUUGUCCUAUUUUUGACCCAGAGUCGUUCAUCUUGUCCAUGACCUAGAGUUAUUCAUCUCAUCCAUGACUUCGAGUCAUCAUUUUCAUCUUUUUCCAUCUUUGUGCUACUCGUUACAUACCUUUCUCUCUUCACUAUCAUUCCCCCACGUAGAGUUGUCCCUUCCUUGUCGUUGUAGCCCCAUGUUCUGAUCUUACUCUCGUCAUGUGCUAAGACAAAAUCUCUGGUCCUUCUUUAGUUCUUCAGUAUAGUUCACUUCAUUUGGCUCAUUACUCAUAUUUCUACUCACAUUCUCUACGCUCGUGAUCCAUACCGAAGAGGGGCAUAUUUGUAGACCUCAAUUUUGUCCUCCUAGCACAUGUCUUAUUAGAUACUUAUUCGAUACUUUACAGUAGCUCCUUGGUGGCCCAUAUCUACUCACAUUACUUACCUUUUCUUGAACCACCUCGAAGACUCUGAUUGAGGGAUUGCCCAACCCCUUAUUAUGACCUCGGCAACUCUAAUUUAGAAUUAGACACUUUCCUAAACGCCUUAGGCCCACUUAGACACUUCAUUGGGCUUAGUUCACUUAGGUCCACUUUAGCACUUUUUUUUUUAAAACCCACUUUUUAUAUGACUUGCAUGAUUGCAUGGCCUACAUGACUUGUGUGGCUUAUAUAGAUUUCUUUAUUAUUUUUAUUUUAUUUUAUUUUAUCUUAUUACAAGUUUUCUAAAUCAUAUUUCUUGGCUUUUUGGGCAUGAGGAAAUAGGUCGCCACCUAUUUGGAAGGAGAACCAACAAAAUUUUGAAAAAGAGGAGAUUUUGUUUUUUUUUAGAAGGAUAGCACAUAUAUUAUUUCCAUGGGGGAAUCGGUCGUAAAAAGGAAGGCAUGCAUUGCAUAAAAAGGAAAGAGAAAAAACGGAUUUUCCUCGAGCAGAUUUGGGGGGUUCUUUGGGGGAAGGUUGAUAUAUAUACGUGAGAGAGGAAGAAAAAAUGAAUUUUUUGGAGGAUUCUUUGAUGGUCAAGGGCAGAGAGAGAGGUUGUCAAGGGAAGAGGAAGGAAGCACAGAAAAGACCAAUGGGAAAAAUCUGAGAAUACAAAAACUAGUGGAGAUUUUCUCACCGAAAGGAAGUGUUUCCAGGUAUGUUUACUGUAGACCCCUUCUUGAUUCCGAUUAUCCUUUUGAUGUAUGAAUUUUCGUUGGAUUUUGAGUCUCGUUUGGAUGCUAGGGGGUAGAAUGACGGAGGUCAUAUGUUUGUCUACAUUAGUACUUGAUUGCUUCUAUAGAUGUUGUUGAUUUGUCUCUUUGGAGUUCUCUAAUUUUGAUUUAGGGGUGAAAAGUUCUAUUUUUUUAAUUUCCUAUGCAUUAAAUGAGAACUAUGGCUAUACUUGUUUGCUGGAAUCUGCUCGUACCUCUCUCACCAUUCCAAGCCCAUUGACAAAGCAAUGGAAUGUUGGCUUGGUUUGGUUAUUCUUUUUUUAUUUUUAUUUUUUUUCUUAUCUCUACUCUGUUUUCUAGAGCUCUUUCUCUUUGUGUUCGUUUCUUCUUUUCUUUUCUUUUUCUAGUUUCUUUUUUUUGGGGUACCCUGUCUCCGUUAGGCAGCAAUUUCUGAAACUCUUGGAAUGGGAAGAAUUCUGUCCGGCCAAUGUUCUACCUUCUCCGGAUAUCUCACAUCCGGAAUUCUGUCCGGCCAGCAUUCCACCUUCUCCGGAUAUCUCACAUCCGGAAUUCUGUCCCGCCGACAUUCCACCUUCUCCGGAUAUCUCACAUCCGGAAUUCUGUCCCGCCGACAUUCCACCUUCUCCGGAUAUCUCACAUCUGGAAUUAUGUCCAGCCCACGUUCUACCUUCUUCGGAUAUCUCACAUUCGGAAUUCUUUCCGGCCGACAUUCCACCUUCUCUGGAUAUCUCACAUCCGAAAUUCUGUCCGGCCAACAUUCCACCUUCUCCGGAUAUCUCACAUCCGGAAUUCUGUCCCGCCGACAUUCCACCUUCUCUGGAUAUCUCACAUCUGGAAUUCUGUCAAGCCAACGUUCUACCUUCUCCGGAUAUCUCACAUCCGGAAUUAUGUCCGGCCGACAUUCCACCUUCUCUGGAUAUCUCACAUCCGGAAUUAUGUCUGGCCAACAUUCCACCUUCUUCGGAUAUCUCACAUCCGGAAUUCUGUCCGGCCAACAUUGCACCUUCUCCGGAUAUCUCACAUCCGGAAUUCUGUCCCGUCGACAUUCCACCUUCUCCAGAUAUCUCACAUCUAGAAUUCUGUCCGCCGACAUUCCACCUUCUCCAGAUAUCUCACAUCUGGAAUUCUGUCCAGUCGACGUUCCACCUUCUCCGGAUAUCUCACAUCCGGAAUUCUGUCCAGCCAACGUUCCACCUUCUCUGGAUAUCUGACAUCCGGAAUGUCUGGCCAACGUUUCACCUUCUCCGGAUAUCUCGCAUCCGGAAUAUCCGAUCGACGUUCAACCUUCUCCUCUAUUUGCUUCUUUGAUUAGGAAUUUAUUGUUUUUUUAAUUGAAUUUGUGAAUCAUUUUUCAACUAAAUAUUCUCAGCAUUGAAAAAUCCAUCUUUAAUAAUCCUUUGCUACCAUUUUUCCUCUCGGCAUGCACUUUCACUAUUUUCUUUGACUUUCAACCAUUUUCUUGAUUUUCUUGAUUUUUCACAAGCAUGAACAAAAUUCAUGAUUCCAAAUAAUGGAAUUUAUAGAAUCAACUCAUGCAAAAUUAAUUAGGGCUUUGGAGGGGGGCCCGACAUUCAUGAUAUUUCCUCAAAUAUUUUUUGUUUGAUAUUCGAUUGAUUGUGCUUCAUUUUGUGGUAUAUAUGAGAUUAUUUUGGAUAUGUUAUUUGGCUAAUUUUGUUUCCCAUAAAGGAGUACUAGCUUGCUACCCAGGUAUGCUCUUCCUCACUUAUUUUCGAGAAUUAUGUGGGCACGUAUGCUAUUGGUGAUUAGAUCCAUACAUGAUGUGAUUCUUAGAUGUUCAGAUACAUGCUUGAUUUGCUUAGAUAAAACAAAUGUUGUAUCACAUCUUCAAACUAAUCUUUGAUGUCUUGUGAUAGCGCUUAAGAAGCAGUCCAGGUACGUACCCUAAAUCUUCUUCAAGAUUGUGAUUGGUUUUCCUAUUAAGCAUGCUAUUUUUCGAAAUCACCUAGCCUACUUAGAUAUCCAUGAUUAAUCGUUUAAUCGCUAUAUUUCCCUCAACUUAGUCAGUAGAGACCUUUUUAGGGCUUAGAGGGGUGCUACCUCCUAGAGGUACCUUCCCAAUAAGUAACCUAAUUCCCGGACUUAGAUUCAGGUUUCCCAAAGACAUGUUUUUUUCCAAAACCAUGGAGUCACUUUUUAGGGUUUUUCUUUCUUGUUUUAUUUUCCCUUUAAAAUAAAAAUAAAAUAGGCGGCGACUCCAACUUUUCUAAAAUUAAUUUUUCACAAAUAAAAAAGCAAGUCUUGCCGAUCGAGUGGGGACGCACGUGAAAAAUGCGGGUCCACAGACACUCUCAACAAUUUUUCAGCCCUUAUUCUAGUUUGGUUUCGUAGCUUAGAUGGUGGUAGAGGCUAUUUGUGAGACUGAGGACUACUUUUGCAUUAGCAAAAGCUUAUUAUAAGCCUUACAAAUCGCUCUAGUGUCCAUCAACUCACUACCAUUUGAGAAGCUUGAAGCGUAUUUUGGGAACUAUAUUUUAAAAUAGUUUGCUUAGUCUAAGAAACAUUAUUUUCCAAACUCAAAAUUACAUUUGAUAGAUUUUGAUAGAGAACAAUGUUCUAAAAAUAGUUUAUUUUAUGAUAAUAUAUUUAAUUUUUUUAUAAUUGUUUUUAAAAAUAAUUAUACAAAUAUAGAAAAUGAUUAAAAAUACUGUACUAUAGAUAAAAAUUAUUUUUUAAAAAAUAUUUAAAAAUACAAAAACAUAAGUUGAGAACAUUCCAAAACUUUUAGAAAGUAUCAAAAAAUUCAAAAAAUAUUUUUUAAGAAUUGUUUUUGAAAAUCUUGUAAGACAGGCAUUUGAGUGUUUGGUAAAAUUUAAAACUUAUUACUUAACAUAUUAAGUUGAUUUUAAAUUAAAUUAUUUUUAAGUUGUUAACUUAAAACUCAACGGUUAGUUUUCACUUUAUGUAUUAAGAUUGUUUGACAAAGUUAACUUAAAAUUUAUUUUACAUAAUCAAAUUAACAUAUUUACCUUUAUUAAUUUUAAUUAAUAUUCAUUUUUAUUGAUCUUAAAUAAUAAUUUUAUUUGCUAAACCUCCAUAUUUAAAAAUUAUUGUAGAUGAUACAGGAGAUGACUAAAAAAUUUUAACAAUAAAAAAAUGAGUUAUGGAUGUGGAGUUAUGAUUGUAAAAUAUAUUUUCAUUAGUGUGAAUAAAUAUGACAAAAAAAAAUUUAAGAUUAAGAAUUAAAACAAAAUAUAUGUAGAAAUGAACAUAUAUUUUGUAUGAUGCCAAAAAGUCCAAACACUGCAAGAAGAUAAAUAGAUAAAGUGAAGGAGUAGUGUCCUUUUUUUGCAACACUGAACACUAGAUAGUGGUACUCAAAUGGCAAACAUAUCACAAAGUUAAUGUACUUAAAAAAUAAGAAAAGGGAAUGCAGUUGAAAUAAAAUAAAAUAAGGGAAAUACAUGAGAUUUCUUAUAAUAAGAAAUUUCAUAAUCAAUAUGUAAAUCAUAAAUACUGAUAUGUUUGUGGCAGACAAACAAAAAUAAUUCAAAAUUUUCUCAAAAACAAAGAAGAGAUUUGAAGGGAAAAUUUAUAAGACAAAACAGUUAGAAUAUUAAAGCACAUGCUACAAUUCAGAAUACUUCCCUCCUUAUUUUUCCUUCCAAAUCAAUCCUUAUUGUGAAAGAGCACUUGACUUUAAUUUUAAUAAAAUAACAACCCUCCAUGAGCUAAUUAACACUCAACACUAAAUUUUUUAUUUUUACAAAAAAAAAAAAUAUUUUUCUCAAUACUUUUUGAAAACUACAUGUAACAUCAAAACAAAAGUUUAAUAUUUAAAUUAUUAUAUAACAUGUAAAAUUUUAGAAACUCAAAGAAGGCUAGACUCCAACAUUUUUCACCCAAAAGAUCACUAUUGAAUUGUAUUAUCAAGUUCAUCUUUCAAGUAGGGAUGGUAAUGGGACGAUUUUAGGAUAGGUCACCCCCAUCCCGUUUAUUUAUAUAUAUUCUCAUUCCCACAAAAAAAGAAAGAAAUAAAUAAAUAAACGAGACAAGGUGGGGUGAGGGAAGUAUGGGAAAUUCUCAUACCUAACUCAUCUUGCCCUGUGUAAAAAUUUUCAACAAUUUUCAAUUUUUCAUUUUUAAAAUUUUAAUUUUUUAUAAAAAAAAAUUGAAUAUAAUUUAUAAAAAAAAAUUAUAAAUAUUUAUAAUUACUUUUAUGAAAACUAAUAUUUUAUUUAUGUUUAAAAAGUUAAAAAAUGAAAAAAUAAUUAAAAUAAUUUUUUAUUUAAAAUUAUAUAUAAUUAGGGCAAGCCAGGGCAAGACAAAGUCAUUACCAGAACCCACCCACACCUAUUUUGGGAUUUUAAAAACUUCGCAAACCUAUCUCAAACCUGUUUAUUUUUAUCCCAAACCCUUCUCAAAGUGGAUACUUGGUUCAUUGUCAUCCUUAUAUCUAAGCCUAUUUUGUAGACCAUAAACAUUUAAGGACUCCAAGCCAAGGAGUGUAGUUUGUGUAAUAAUUUAUUACAAGCCCUUUGGUUAAUAAUAUAUACAUAUACAUUCCCAAUUGCCAAACAUAUGUGAAUAGAAUAUGAGAGAUAGAAGGUAAACAUGUUAAUAUGACAAAGCAUAAAAUAAAAUUAGAUCGAAAGAAAAAGAAACAAAAAAAAUACAACCGUCAUAUUUUGAAAAUCAAAUGAAACUUAAAAAGACCUUCUAUAUUUUGAUUUUUUUUUUCUCUUUUUGCUAAUUUAUUUUGGAUAAUGGAUAUAAAGUAGUCAAAAUAGUCAUUUAUUUAUUUGUUUUGAAGCCAUCUAAGAAUGAUUCAAUUUUUUUUACCUUUAAUAAAAUUAGAAAAAAAAAGCUAUUAAUAUAAAUAUUUUUCUUCAUCUAAUUACAACCUAUAAAAAAUGUGAAGUUUUAUUUCUUUAUUUUUUUAAAAAAAAUUUGUUUUUUUUUUCUUUUUCUUCAUUUUCUUCAACAAACCUUUUGUUGUACUAGAGUUCUCAUCAUAUCAUACUUUAGUUUUAUUAUUUUUCGUUUAUACAUUAUCCAAUAUAAUUUUUAUUUCCUCAAAUUGAGUAGAUAACGUGACUGUCUCAUGUUAUUUAAGUUUAGAUAAUUGAUAUUAUAUGCUCAUUAAUCCAUCUUUAUCUUCUUCUUGUUUUAUCCCUAAAAUGCAUAUGAUUAUUUUUAUCUGCAAGUAGAAAUUUUGAAGGUUACUAUAGACCCCUUUUAAAAACCAAAUGCUAUUAGUUUUAUUUAUUGCCUUUAUAGCAUUUGGAGGUUUUUUUUGCUCUCACACUUGGGAAGAGCUGGCCACACCUUAAAGGAGUGGAGGACCCCUUUCUGCCGGGAACCAGAUGCAUGGACCUGUGGUGAACAUCAGCAGCUCGCCCAUGGUGGUGGUUGAAGAUGGGGACUUGCCGAGAGGUGAACAGGGGAGUGGAUAGUGGCUUGCGAGAGAAGACAUAAACAGGGGAGGAGAGUAUGGGGAUUUCGAGGAGAGUUUUUUUUUUUUUUUUUUGGGCUGGAGGAGAAAGCAGAUCGGUUUUUCUGGGUUAGUUUGAGAAGAAAAACAGAGGGAAGGCUAGGAGAUGUCUUGAGUGAAGGUUUUUGAGAGAUAUUUUAAAGAGGAGGGAGUUUGCAGCUCACUAGGAACCAAGUGACUUUGCUCCAAAGGAGUCAUUCAAGUUUGAUCAUCUCUCACUUUAGGUUCUUCACUUUUACAGUCAUACUUCACUCAUUUCUAAUGUUUGGGAUGUUUACUUUUAACUGUCUAAGACGUUAAGCUUGCUUUUCAUCUCUGUUUGCUUGAUCUCUGUUUCUUCCCGUAUGAGUUACAUGAUGAUUACGUUGUCUGUUUAUAUGUUGAAACCACUCAAACUGUCCCACCAGUUUUUUUUAGCUCUCUGAUUUCCAUGAAGUGAAGCUGUGUUUAAUGGAGUUAUCUUCUCUUGUAUGCACUCUGUUUUUUUCUUCACUUUAUCCUCUAUUUCUGACAAUCUUCUGGAGUGUUGGAUAUCUUGUUUGGGUCGGUCGUUUGGAUUGGAAUGUUCCUAAGGGAAAGCGGUGCCAGAGUCUUCGAAGAGGAAUCAUUUCAAGUUGAACGAAAGAGGAGUUUGUCAUUUUGGGUAUAGGAUUUUUCGAUAUUUAUUCCUCUACUUUUGGUGCGUUUGAAGAAUUGAGUAUCACAGUUGGUCCGACUACUUACUAGGUUGAUAGUUUAUGGUGGAAGUUUUGGGUAUUAUUCAUGUUAGUAAGGAGGACCAAAAGAGCGUAUUUGACUUGCUUGCUGUAAUUUCGUGGAUGGAAAAUGCCUCAUUUGCUAUGGUUGAUGAUUAAAAUCAUGUUGAAGCUAUGGCAGAUGAAGGUCUGAUCAAUGUUACUAAGUCAAUCAGAUGGAGUGUUGAGGGUUUAAAGUAGGUCUCAUCAACUCACAGGAUGAGGGUUGGAAGUGAUACAUUCUUUUGGGAUGUUCACUGAGGAAGGACAACUGUCACUGGUUUCAUUACCCCUUAUCCAUAUGCUGAGCUCAAAAUUGCCAAAGGUGUCUAAUCUGUUGAAGUUCCUAAGGUGGUAACGUGUGGAAAUACCUCUCUAGAGCCAUCUGAUACUCACUGUUAAUGAUUGGCUCCAUCAACACACCCAUCCCCAUUCAUACCUUCAUUUUUCAAGGCCCACCGAACCCAUUCUAUUUCACCUUGUUUCCACCAUUCAUGCCCGUCACACCCAUUUCUUACCCAUGCAUACGAUAAUCAUGCUUCAAUUCCCAUACCCACGUUCUCGUUAACCACUCCCCCAUGAAACCCAUUGCUUUCAUACCCAUUCUCUACAUCCCCAUACCCAUUCCACAUAGUCGCCCAUUUUCUCACUGCCCGUGUUUAUGCUUCAUAGCCUUUACCUCCAUUCCCAUGCAAACACCUCACUAAUCACCACAUCACUCUCCAUAUCCGCUACCCAUAAUUCGCCUUGCACAGUUUCCACCACCACGCCUCCACAUCUUGAUACCCAUUUCUUCUCUUCCAUACACACCAUUUUUCGUUCAUCUCCAAUACCAUACCCAUCAUCCACCACUAAUACCCACACCGUUACCACCCCGACAUAUCCAAUGCCAUGCACCAUUCAUCCCACCCCAUGCAUGUCACAUUUCUUUUUUAACACCACUUGUUUUUAUACUCCUAUCUUCAUGCCCACUACCUUUCCAUACCUAAAUCUCAUGCCCCCCAUGCAUAUACUCGUCGAGCCACCCCACAUAAACCCACUUCUCUCUCUAAGUCUUCACAUACCUAUCACCACAUUUUCUCUCUCUACACCACACCACAUACCCAUUUUUUCUUCAAAUGCCCUUCAAACUCAUUCCCUUCACCUUUGCAUGGCCAUGUUAACCUCCAUACCCGUAUCUCAUACCCCCAUGCAUACCCAUCUAACCACACCAUUAAAAUGCCUUCUUUCUCUAUACCCUCAUGCCCACGCCGUAAUUCGCCCCUCUUAGCUUAAACCACCCUUCAUACCCACUGUCCAUUUCCCACUUAUAUGACCCACAUGCUAUCCCGUGGUUGUAUCCCCAUAACGUACCUUUUUAUUGAUUUCAAAGAACAAACUCUCAUAUCUGAUGAGGGUCCAGAAGCUCGUCCUCAGCGUAUCUAGUGAAUAAAGUGGAGAUAAAAAUAAAAUAUACUUGAAAUGAUGCUUAGAGGUGGGUUCGGACCUAGGUAGUCGAAGCUUGGGUCAUCAUGGAUCUUCCUUUUUGGAGUGGACUUCUUGAACAAUCAAGUUGAUGGAAGGAUUGCCGAGUCAGACAAUGGUUCAACAUGUAAUCAAGCUGCUAUGUGUUCAUUCAAUGUGGCUGCAGGCUUGAUCGUCCCUGAUAAGGAUGAAGAAACACAGAAGGUUAGUAUAUUGCCCAAACAUAAGCGUGUGGUUAGACAUGGUAUGCACUACAGGAAGAGGAGUUAAGAUUAAUUACACUGAAGACACGGAAGCCUCAACAUCAGGUAGAAAAUAUGAUCGCCUACCAACUCACAAGGUUGAUAAAGUGCAAGAAGCGCUUAAACCCAGUUCUUUGGAGUUGCGAGCUCUGGUGAAAGACCCUCUUCCUGAAGCAUUGCAGUUGGCUAAAGUUGUAUUAUCUGCAUGGCACGCAUGACAUUUUUUUUAGCACGUACAGAAAUGCAUGAAGACACUUGAAAGCUUCUAUGCCACGUACUGGUGUAUUCUCAAGCAAAGAACAAUUGAUCUUAGUCUUUGCCCAAGGGAUCUGCAACCUGGCCAGAGAAGAAGAUUCUCACUCCUAAUUCACUUGUAUCAUCUAUAAUGUGCGAAUCUCAGUACAAGUUUAAGAAAAUAUCUUGCUAGAGCAUGUUUGGUUCUCCUCAAGCAUGGAAAGGUGGUAGAACACGAGAUUAUACAUGACCAUGUGACCAAACGCUCCCAAGGAUUUGGGUUCAUUGUAUUUGACAAUGAACAGGUUGUUGAUGAUCUACUGACAAACGAAAAUAUGAUUGAUAUGGAGGGUACUCAAGUUGAGAUCAAGAAGGCAGAACCAAAGAAAUCCUCCUCAAAGCUAGGUCGCACCUUUUCAUUUGGUGGUGAUUCUAGGACGCAAAUGUACAAUGAUGAUUUUAGUGGAUACGACAGCGAUCCUUAUAGUGGUCUGGGCAGUGGUGGCUAUGGGCCUGAUUCCUACCGGGCACUUGGAGGUAUUGACAGUAGGCUUGGUGAUUAUGGUGGGUAUAGUGGAAGUGGCAAUGAAUUUGAGGCCACGUGUCAUCGCCCACUUCCUCGUCCCAUGAUUUUCAAAAUAAUUUUCCUGAACAUCAUUUUAUUAAUAAUUCCUCCAAUUGUUUUUGUUUUUUAGAUAAUGUCAAAUCUCCAAAUUCUUCAUCCUUGUUCUGUUUUCUUAAAUGAUUUCUCACAUUCCUAGUUUUCAAAUAAUUUUUUAAAAUUAUUGUUUUCUUAAAUAAUUUUCCAAUUUCCAAAUCCUUCAAACAAUUUUUGCUUUUCAAAUUUUUCAUCCUUAGAUUUUUUUUAGGUCCUAAAAAUCCCAUUUUCUAUGAAAUUUGGCCACCAUUUUCUUUCUGGCAAGCCAUUUUUGAAUUUUCUUUGAUUUUUAAAAUAUUUUAAAAUAAGUGUGAAUUUAUUUUUGUAAUUAUUAGUGAUGGAAUUUACAAGAUUGAUUCACUCAAAAAUAAAUUGGGCUUUGGUGGGGGCCCAAUAUUAUUGGAUGUUUCCUUUGAAAAUCAAUUUGAUUGAAUUGUGAUAUGUGAUGAUUUCGUACUCGAUUUAAUGGCAUAUGAGCUAUGUUUUAUGUCAAUUAUUUAUGCACUAACCCUAUUUCAUGAUAGCGCGUUGCCGUUUGCUGAUUAGGUGCACACCCGCUCUCACUCUGGCCAUUCUUUAUUGAGUGUUUUGAUUCUCACAUGUGCAUGAUCGUUUUGGGUAUCCAUUAAUUUCCUUACCAAUUGCCAUGAUUGCUUCAUUUUAUUAAUAGAUACCCGUUUUUAGGAACUUAGAGGGGUGCUAUGGUCUUUACUAUACCUUCCUGAUAAGUAACUUGACCUCCAAACUCGAUCCGGUUUUUCACAGACCACCUUUUCCAAAAUAAGGAUGUCAUACUUAGAGUUUUCUUUCUUAUUUUGUUUACCCUUUAAAAAUAAAACAAAAAUAAGUGACGGAUCAAAGUCAUUUUCUUAAUAAAUAAAAUCAUUUUCAAAAUAAAAAGCAAGCUCGCCGUUGAGUGGAAGCGCAUGAGCCGAAAUACGGGGUCCACAGUUACUUUUUUUUUCUUAGAAUUUAUUUAUUUAUAGUAAAAAGUAGAGUAAAUAAAAACCAAUAAUGACAUAAAAAUAUCAUUAACUUUAGGCUACUAGUAUUUAUUUUAUUCACAUUUCACCAAUUUUAUAUUUUAUCAUUUUUCUUUAUAUUUAUUAAUUUUAUGAUGUUAUAUUUGAUUUAUGUAAAUAGUGAAUAAUCAUUACAUAUUAUUAUAAUGGUAAUUAUAAACAAAAAGAAUUUUGUCUUUGGUUAACACCUUUCUCUUUUUAAUUGGGAGGAGCCUUGAAAUGGGGCCGCCCACAUGACAUUUGAAAAAAGUUGUUAAAAAACCCACAUUUUAAAAGAAGUGGGUUGAUAAUGCUUUUGAUCAUUUGCUUUUGGAAAAGUUAAAAAACUAUUUGAAAAAUUAAAAAUCUAUUUGUAAACCUAUGCUUUGGGAAAAGAGGGUGAAACUCGACGCCAUAAAGAAGAUAAGGUUUUUAAAAAGCUGUUUGAAAACCAACUUUUUGAAAUUGGACAAUUAUGGGUAUUGGUGUUCACAUUCGAUGAUUAGGCAAACACUCCUAAAGAUGUAUAAUUGAUGUGAAGUUCUUGAAAAUUUAUGAACAAAAACAUCUUUUAUGUACAUUUACACAUUUUAUUUAUUUUUAUAUUAAAUUAUUGGAAAUAUUGUUUACAUGCAUCUAUAAAAAUCAAAUAUAAUUUUUAUUUUUAUUUUUUAUAUUUUCAUAUAUAUACAAGGUACAUGUACUAAAUAUAUAUGAUAUUUGUACUAAUUGUAGAAGACAUGUAUAAGUUUGUCUAUUAUGAAUAUAUUUACGCAUUUUUUUUACUAUUUUUCAUACCAUUAGAAACAUCAUUGACAAAUAUACAUGAAUGUCACAUGCAAUUUUAUUUUUUAAAAUUAUCACACAUGUACAAGGUACUUGUAUUAAAUAUAUAAGACAUUCAUAUUAAUUGCAAAAAGUUUGUACAAAUGUACUUAUUAUAAAUAUAUUUACAUGUUUUUAUGAAUGUUCGUAAAUUUUGAAAAUGUGUUAUACAUUUAGUAUAACUAUGUUGUAUAUCUAUGAAAAUGCCAAAAAAAAAAAAUUAUAUUUGACAUUUAUGCAUAUGUAUCUAAUAAUUUGUUAUGUACAACUAUUAUGCAAAUCAUGAAAAAGAAUAAUAAUAGAAUAAAAGAAUAAGAAAAACGAAAUCAAAAUACACAAAUCAACCAAUCAUGCUUCUAUUUAUGGAUGAGAGGGAAUUAUUCUACUAUAAAAGAAUACUACAAAGCCUCCUUGUAUCCAUAUCCUAAUGAGCCCUCUCGCUCUAUUAGGUAUCUCUUGUUCUUCCUCAUAUUUUUAUGUAUUUACACGUUUUAUUUCUUUUUUAUAUUAAAUUAUUGGAAAUAUUUUUUUACAUACAUCUAUAAAUGUCAAAUAUAAUUUUUAUUUUUAUUUUUGAUAUUUUCAUAUAUAUACAAGGUAUCUAUACUACAUAUACACUUCAUUUGUAUUAACUGUACAAGACAUGUAUAAGUUUGUCUAUUAUGAAUAUAUUUAUGGUUUUUUUACUAUUUUUUAUACUACUAGGAACAUUGUUUACACAUAAACGUGAAUGUCAAAUAUAAUUUUUUUAAUUAAAUUAUCACACAUGUACAAGGUGCUUGUAUUAAAUGUAUAAGGCAUUUGUACUAAUUGUACAAGGUUUGUACAAACAUAUUAUUGUAAAUAUAUUUAUGUGUUUUUAUGAAUAUUUGUAAAAAUGUAAAAAUGUGUUGUACAUUUAGUAUAACUAUGUUGUUUGUGUGAAAAAUCCAAAAAAAAAAAAAUUAACAUUUAUACAUGUGCAUAAAUAAAUUUUCUAAUAAUUUGGCAUGCAAAAAAGAAAAAGAAAAUGAAGAACAACAUGUAAUAAAUUCUUGAUAUACAAGUUUGCACAUGUCUUACACAAUUUAUAUGCAUGCAAAUAUAAAGAAAAUGAAUUUGACAUAUUUAUGUCGAACAUUGUUUUCUUGCGGUUUAAUAUGAUGUAUAAAAAACAAAAUCAAGAAAAUAUUUUAAGAAAUUGAAAAUAAUAUAUCUUGUAUCUUUCUUGUUCAGUUAAUGUGCAUUUACCUUAGAUAUCAUCUCUAAAAGUGAAGCAAAGGAAUUGAUAUAAUAAUCACUAAAAUCUCAAAUAAAUAAUAUAAGUAAUUAACUAAAAUUUGAUUGUUAUUAUUUAUCAUUUGAAAUAUCCUAGUAAGCCAUAUUAUCACUCAUAAUUUAAAUUAAAGAUAUAUGUGGACCCUCACCCGAUCCACCGGACCGACGCGACUCGCUUUUAAAAGAAAAGAAAGAAAUGAAAAAGUUGGUGUCUUCCAAUUUUGAAAAACCCGCCCCCGGUGAGGAACGGUGUUGUUUGGAGUCUCCACUUACUUUUUAUUUUUGUUUUUUAAAAUGGGGAAAAUUAAGUAAGAACAAAAACCCCUAAUGACCCCAGUAUGGAAAAAACGGUCUAUGAAAACUAGAUUCUAGGUCUGAGGAUCAGGUUACCCGUUGGGAAGGUACCUCAUGCGAGGUAGCACCUCUCUAGGCCCGAAACUCGGUCUCUACUAAUGAAUUGGGUAUGUGGGAGCAUAUGGGUCAAAGGUCAAAUGAAAUCCUAGGCUAAAUAGAUGUCAUGAAUCACACAAUCCUAAUUGGUAUUUGGCAUGCAUAUGAAUUCAACCAAACAAAACAAUGGGUGCGUACCUGUGGUCCUUAGCCAAGCGCUGCACAAAAGGUCAGCCAAACACAUAUAAACACAUAACAAACAUUCAAGAUUAAGCACCAUGCAUGCAUAUGAAUUCAACAACCAAAGCCAACGAUGAGUACCUGUGGUCCCUAGCCAAGCGCUGCAGGAGAGGGUGAGUCAGUCACGCAACAUGUAUUCAAAAUCAAGCAUCAAAGCUUGUGCCAAAAAGGAAGAUAGCUGGUUGAAAUGAGGUAAGAGACUUCCCAAAUGUCAUACAAAUCGAACUAGACUCAUCUAGACCACACCACCCAUAACUUCAAAAUUGCUCAUACUAACUGAAAUCAAACACUGACUUAAACCUUCAAGAUGGCUCACAAGUGCCCUAUAACAAAUGGGUUUGAGCCCCCCAUGGAUAAGGGCUCGAAAAAUGCUAAAAUCGAGGGCUACCUAAAGUCCUCCAGUAGAACAGGUUGAACUAGUUCUCAACUGGUACAACCUAUUGAGAAGAAUUCCCAAAUUUUUCUAGAAAACUCCUAAAUGAGUGAGGAUUCAAACCAAAGAAAUGACACUCAAUCCCGAGCCCGGAUGAGUGAGAACCAGACAAAGAAAGGCAGGUGUUCCUCAUGGCUGACAGAGGCUGCCAGCUAUGGUGCUGAACCGGUUCCCAACCAGUACAUCCGGUUGAUAAAAAAUCCCAAAUUUGGUAAGAAAGUUCCUAAGUGAUUAAGGAAGCAAACAAAAGAAACGGUUCUCAAUUCCGAGCCCGGAUGAGUGAGAACCAGACAAAGAAAGGCAAGUGUUCCUCAUGGCUGACAGAGGUUGCCAGCUAUGGUGCUGAACCGGUUGAACCGGUUCCAAACUGGUUCAGCUGGUUGGUAAAAAAUCCAAAAUUCAGUCAAAAAGUUUCUAAGUGAUUAAGGAAGAAAACAAAAGAAACGGUUCUCAAUUCCGAGCCCGGAUGAGUGAGAACCAGACAAAGAAAGGCAAGUGUUCCUCAUGGCUGACAGAGGCUGCCAGCUAUGGUGCUGAACCGGUUGGUAAAAAAUCCCAAAUUCGGUCAUAAAAUUCCUAAGUGAUUAAGAAAGCAAAAAAAAGAAACGGUUCUCAAUUCCGAUCCCGGGUGAGUGAGAACUAGACAAAGAAAGGCAAGUGUUCCUCAUGGCUGACAGAGGCUGCCAGCUAUGGUGCUGAACCGGUUGAACCGGUUCCAAGCCGAUUCAACCGGUUGGUAAAAAAUCCCAAAUUCGGUCAGAAAGUUCGUAAGUGAUUAAGGAAGCAAAAAAAAAGAAACGGUUCUCAAUUCCGAGCCCGGAUGAGUGAGAACCAGACAAAGAAAGGCAAGUGUUCCUCAUGGCUGACAGAGGCUGCCAGCUAUGGUGCUGAACCAGUUGAACUGGUUCCAAGCCGGUUCAGCCUGUUGGUAAAAAAUCCCAAAUUUUGUCAGAAAGUUUCUAUGUGAUUAAGGAAGCAAACAAAAGAAACGGUUCUCAAUUCCUAGCCCGGAUGAGUGAGAACCAGACAAAGAAAGGCAAGUGUUCCUCAUGGCUGACAGAGGCUGCCAGCUAUGGUGCUGAACCGGUUGAACCGGUUCCAAACCAGUUCAACCGGUUGGUAAAAAAUCCCAAAUUCGGUCCAAAAAUUCCUAAGUGAUUAAGGAAGCAAAAAAAAACAAACGGUUCUCAAUUCCGAGCCCGGAUGAGUGAGAACCAGACAAAGAAAGGCAAGUGUUCCUUAUGGCUGAUAGAGGCUGCCAGCUAUGGUGCUGAACCGGUUGAACCGGUUCCAAGCCGGUUCAGUCGGUUGGUAAAAAAUCCCAAAUUUGGUCAGAAAGUUCCUAAGUGAUUAAGGAAGAAAACAACAACAAUCAUGUGUGGCCUUUAUUAUCCACACCCAAGCAAUACAAUCUUCAUAUCAAAGGGAAGAAAAGAUGAUGAGGAAGGAGAAAAAGCAUAUGAAGACAAGGAAGAUAAAGUGUAAGUAAAGAAAAUUCAGCAUGCUUACCUCAGAAUCUCCACCAAAUAUGAUCUGUGUAUGCAGAUGAUGACUUCUAAAACUGAGAUGAUGUCACUCUCCUCUUCAAAAAACCACAGUGCUGAAGCUUUCCCCCACGCUCUCAACUUAGAAGAUGCUACUGACCUUUUGUUUUUCUCACCAGCAAAAUUUCCCCUCUCCAAAAUGUCUCCUCCUCCUUUGCUCUCCUAUCCUCUCACCUUUUAUACUCAUACCCCUCUUAGCAUUUGAGCCUCCUGGAUUCCUUCCCCUUCAGCACCAAAAUCCCCUUCAUCAGCAUGGGAACCACACCCCUCAUUACUUCUCUUAAACUUACAAGGCCAGCUCACUCCUUCAGUUUUCAGCUUGCUUCACCACCAAGAAUCCAUAUGGAUUCGUGGUGGGCUGCAAGGAACCCAAACCAAGGCCCAAAAUGGACCCACAACAUUGCCCAAAACUGAUCUGGAGCUUACGGGCCUGAGCCAUGUAGGAUUUGGGCCUCAAAAUUACUAGAAUUAGUGUUUUACCUCAGCUAACUCAAGGAACCGGCUGAACCGGCUGAACUGGAUACCAACUGGUCGAACUGAUGGAAAAAAAUUCUGAAAAUUUUAAAGAAUGUUCCUAGUAGAGCAAGGAAUCCAUUAAAAAAAACGGUGCAUGAUUCCAAGUUCGGAAGAGGGAGAUAUGAUCAAAACAAUUACCAAAAAUCAGUGUUCUACACCGGCUAACUCGAUGAACCGGCUGAACUGGCUGCCAACCAGUCGACCGGAUGCAAAAAAUUUUGAAAAUUUUACAGAAUGUUCCUGGAAGAAUAAGGAAUCCAUAAAAAGAAACGGUUCUUGAUUCUGAGUUUGGAUAAGGGAUAUACGAUCAAAACAAGCCUGAGUGCUCCGAACCUCAACAUGCCCCUAUAAACUCCAACUAAGCUAAGACAUCGGGAUGACCCCACUUCCUUCCUAUAGCAUGAUAUGAAUGACUAGGAAAAUGGCCAUGGUGACCCUCCAAAAUGAACCACAUAUGCACCACAAUGGACCACAAACAAACCCACAUGAGGCUCGGACACCGACUAAGCCCAAAAGGGGCCCUAGUGGUGCCAUAUGCGAACGAUGGGUAGAUGUGACACCCGAAGGAUAAAUGCCAGUGUCGAGGGACAAAAUUGAGGGUCUACAAAUAUGACCCUCUUCAGUAGAGUGAAUGAACGAGUGAAUUGUGAGUGCGAAGUGCAUGUAAUGCAAGAGUGAAAUGAACUCUAGUGAAGAACCCAAAUGACCAACAAUUUUGUCCCCACCCAACAAUAAAGAAGGCUAAGGGAAAUAAGUCAUGCUGACCGAAUGGACUAUGGGAUCUAGGCACGAUGCCGGAGAAAGAUAAAAGGAGACCCGAUCAUGAUGCCAGGAAAGAUUAGGGAUUUGAUCCGGGCAAUUACUGGAGAAGGGUUCGGGCAAGUACUGAAAAAUGGUGGAAUCCGGGUGAGUACCGGAAAAGGGUUAGGGCAAGUACCGACAAAUGGUGGAAUCCGGGCGAGUACCGAAAACGGGUAAAAUUCGGGCGAGUACCGGAGAAGGGUCCGGGCGAGUACCGGAGAAGGGUCCGGGCGAGUACCGGAGAAGGUUCCGGGCAAGUACCGGAGAAGGGUUCGGGCAAGUACCGAAAAAGCUCCGGGCGAGUACCGGAGAAGGGUAAAAUUCGGGCGAGUACCGAAAACGGGUAAAAUUCGGGCAAGUACCGAAAACGGGUAAAAUUCGGGCAAGUACCGAAAACAGGUAAAAUUCGGGCAAGUACCGGAGAAAGGUUCGGGCAAGUACCGAAAAAGCUCCGGGCGAGUACCAGAGAAGGUUCCAGGCGAGUACCGGAGAAGGUUCCGAGCAAGUACCGGAGAAGGGUCCGGGGCGAGUACCGGAAAAGCUCCGGGCAAGUACCGGAGAAGGGUCCGGGUGAGUACCGGAAAAUGGUGGAAUCCAGGCGAUCGAACUCGAGCAUGAUGCCGAGGAACCACCGAACUAAAAGGGGGUAGGGAUGCCAUUACUAAGGCUCAAAACACCUAAACAGACAGAGGAUGCCUUAAAACAAAACUCAGAGUAAAAUAGGGGGACUCAAGAUGCAACUGUUGAUAUACUAACCAUGAUAACAAAGGGGUAUGCCCCAGUAUGACGUCCAGGGACUGCCAACAAAUGACUCGAAGAAGCCAGAAUCAAACACCUUCAUCAUGACAAAAGAAAGGGGUAUGCCUCGGUGUAACACCAGAAAAUGCCGAUAAAUGACAAGCGAGAAAUCACAAUCACCACUAACAAAUGGAAAGAAGGGGGUAUGCCCCUAUAGGACAAACUCACAAAUGUGACCAAGGGUGAAAGGAAGGAGUUAUGCCCCAGUCUAAGAUAUCAAUAUCAUGUCAGAAUCCCAUAACCGCACAUAUGGUUAAAGCCAGAGAGCUGAAAAUAUCACAAUCAUCCAUUUCUAAGGAAAAAAAACCCUUCACUCUAAUCCACAACAUCCAAUAUCCACAAAAACUGAUAGGGGAUAUGCCCCAGUGUGUACAUCUGAAACUCAAAUAUCUUAAUGAAAACUCUGGAAUACAUUGCUGAAGACCCAUGCAUUUGAACUAACGAACAAGACAAUGGAUGGGGUAUGCACCCCUACUGGGUCAAUGAAUACCGUGAAUCUGAUCUCGGGUCAGACCCCAGAAGCACUCUGCUAUAUGAAAAAACUGAGCUGAAUGCGGGUCUUACUCAAACUUUGAUGUCCAUAACAUUGUUAGGCGAAACAGAAUGCCUGCGUACAUGUAUAAAGAGCCAAAGCCAGCAUGCAAGGAUGGGAGCAUGCCCUAGUAUAAAUGUGUCAAAACAUUAGGCAAAGGUGCCCUCAACGAUCCCAACUCUCUGUAUCAUCUAUCUCUGAUCAUGGACCUGAGGCAAGUAAACUGAAUGGAAAGACAAUAUGUGACCCUCGAUAUCCCCCGAAGUAAUGGAGACCUGUCAACAUCCCAUACUCAAUCAGUAGACGAAGCCUGUCCGAAUGAACCGCAUCGAAGCAAACACGAGAUCUCAUGGCCUCAGGGUGGUCUUACGACUCGGACCGUAAUGUAGGCCAGGGGUAAAAGGUGAAUGAAACGAUGGGAAACAAAUGCCCAAAUCUCCUAAUAGAUAAUGCCAAACCCUUGUGUGCGCAAUGUCAAAUAUCGCAGGACCAUGUGAGCAAGGUGACUCAACCCUGCAUCCAAAUAAAAAACAAACAAUAGGUGAUACACACCAAAGAACUCAUUGUUCAUGAAGUGAAACGACGAUCGACGAGGAUAGAAGCAGACGAAAAGGGACAAGAUGAAUGAUGAAUGGGUGUAGAAGAAAAUGGAGAAACCAACUGGGAUACAAAUAUAACAAUAUGUGACAACGACGAAUAACUCAUCCUAAGAACGCCAAAUCAAAGCAAGUCACUAUAUGAUGGGAAUGGUGAUGUAGACAAUGAUCCAAGGGCCUAGUGCCAAGGAAACCCAAACCUCACUCCCAAUGUGUCACCCAAAUCCAUGGUGAGAAGGAUCGUACAAUGCUCUCAUCCGACUCUUAAAAGAAAAAGAAAUCUCUCAAACCCAAAACCACCUCUGAUGAUCCCAAGUAUAUCAACGAAUACCAAACAAGCACAAUUUUUCCUUUUUUUCAUUUUUAUUUUAUUUUAUUUUUUCCUUUUUCCUUUUUUUUUUUUUUGGGGCCGAAUUCCAUACUAUCACAAUCCAACAAAAAGAACCCCAAACCUCCAAUCUUGACCGACCCCUUCAACCUAAGAAUCUUGGAUCAAAGCCUACAGGCGGAACGAAGGGUGUGACAAACCUGACUGGUAGCUCUGGGACGAGAGCGCAUCAUCAUCACACAAGGGAAAACAGAAGCGAAGUGAAUAGAGAUGAUAGAAACUGGACUAACAGGUAGACGGUGUGAAGAUGCAAAAUGGAGACGAAAAGAAACAGGCAAUGAUGCAAGAAAGAACAAACAAAGAAUGACACCAUGCCCACAAUGCUCAUAGAUCCAAUCAAUAAAUACAAAGCACACAAGGGUAGGCCCCCAAACCAGGUCAAAAAAGGUAUGCAAGGCUGAAUGAAAGAAAAUGUCAUAAUAAACCACGUGAGGCUCAAAGGGCUAGCAAUAGUAUAUAUCAAUGUAUGGGUGUGCAAUAGGGAAUAUGACUACUCAAAGUGACGACCACCCAUCCUCUGACCAUGAUCUCACGCAUAAAACUUCUUCAGCUGAUCCACAUUAACUGGCUCUAUGAACUGAUUUCCGUUUAGGUCUGUCAACCAACCAGCUCCCUCUCGAGUCAGAUCUCGGAUGACAUAAGGCCCGCUCCAACUCGGUCUAAACUUACCUCUAGGGUCGUUAAUCAAUCCCCUGAGGACUUUCAAGACUAGGUCACCUCUCUGGAAUUUCCUAGGCUUGACCCUCUUUCUGAAUGCACGGGUCAUCUUCAUCUGAUAGGCCUAAACAUGAUCUGCCGCCCUCAAUCUCUUCUCAUCCAACAGGCUAAGCUGAUCAUAACGAGACUGGGCCCACUCGGCCUCGGAUAUAUGCUGCUCUAGUGCUACUCUCAAAGAUCUCAUCUUAAUCUCAACAGGUAGCACUGCCUCCAUACCAUACACCAAAGAAUACGGGGUAGCUCCAAUAGAGGUACGAAAAGAUGUACGAUAAGCCCACAAUGCGAAAGGGAGCUUCUCUGACCAAUCCCGAGAGGUCUCGACCAUCUUUCUCAAAAUCCUCUUGAUAUUCUUAUUUGCGUCCUCAACUGCUCCAUUAGUCUGCGGCCUGUAUGCAGACGGUCUGUGAUGCUGAAUGCCAUACUCUUGAAUCAACGUGUCCACCUCGCCCUUGAAAUGCACCCUCUGUCUGAGAUCAGCUCAUGNNNNNNNNNNNNNNNNNNNNNNNNNNNNNNNNNNNNNNNNNNNNNNNNNNNNNNNNNNNNNNNNNNNNNNNNNNNNNNNNNNNNNNNNNNNNNNNNNNNNUCUCCAUGGUCAACCAAAAGUAGCCAGUCCUCAUGAUCUUACGUGCUAGCAUAUGACUUCCCAUGUGUGGGCCACAAACCCCUGCAUGAACCUCUCUUAUCACUCGAUCUGCAGAUGCACGGUCUAAACAUAAUAAUAACAAGCCAUCAGGUGAUCUCCUAUACAGCGCAUCCCCGCAAACAACAAAUCUGGUGGCCAACUGUCUCAAUGCUCUCCUAUCCUUAGCCGAGGCUAACUCUGGGUAAGCGCCGCAUGAUUGAAACUGAUAAAUAUCAUGAUACCAUGGCAACUCAAUCUGAUCCUCUAUCUCUCCAAUUAGACAACAGUAAGUUGGUGCAGACCUAGUCUCAAUUAACAAUGGCUUAACAUUCACCCCCGCAGGAAUCACAAUCAGAGAAGCCAAGGUGGCUAAUGCAUAUGCAAACUGAUUCUCCGUCCUGGGCAAAUGUAUAUACCUUAACACAUCGAAUCUAUCAAUCAACAAGUCCAAGUAAGCAUGGUAGGGUUUCAGCUUCUCAUCCCGUGUCCUCCAGAUACCUUGAGUCUGCUUUAUAACCAAGUUGGAAUCCCCGUGGAUCUCCAAUUGUCUAAUGCCAAGAUCAAGUGCAGUCUCCAAACCUGUAAUGCAAGCCUCAUACUCUACAAUAUUAUUCGUCAACCGGUGAUGAUCAGAAAAUGCUAAUCGAACUGAUCUGGGGAUAUGAUCACCCUGUGAUGAUAUCAAUAAGAUACCAAUGCCAAACCCGACUGAUUGGCGGCACCAUCAAAGUACAACCGCCACCCCGUAAUACUAGUCAUUGAAACAAUCUGCUCAUCAGGGAAAUCAUCAUCAACUGAUCGGUCAUCGGAUAUCGGCAAAGAAGCUAGAUGAUCUGCAACAAUGCUUCCCUUUACUGACUUCUGCGUGACAUAAUGAAUAUCAAACUCUGUCAACAAUACCAGCUAUCUCAUGAGCCUACCGGUCAGAACAGGCCUGUCAAAUAGAUACCUCAACGAGUCCAAUCGUGAGACCAAGAGCACAAAAUACUCUGUCAUGUAAUGUCUAAGUCUCCUAGUGGCCCAAACCACUGCUAAGCAAAGGCGCUCAAUCAUAAUGUACUUGCACUCAUACUCAAGCAUCCUUUUACUCAAAUAAUAGAUGGCUCGCUCCUUCCUCAAAUCAUCAAGCUGAGCUAACAUGUAUCCUAAGGCCAUGUCUGAAACUGAUAAGUACAGAAGCAAAGGACACCCCGGUGUGGGAGGCACUAAAACUGGAGGAGAAAGGAGACACUCCUUAAUCCUCUCAAAAGCGCGCUGACAAUCAUCAUUCCAAACUGUAGGCUGAUUCUUCCUCAGAAGGCAGAAGAUAGGCUCACAAAUGUCUGUCAGUCUAGCAAUGAAACGACUGAUGUAUUGCAAUCUACCUAGGAAUCCCCUUAUCUCUUUCUCAGUCCUCGGGGUAGGCAUGUCAAGUAUGGCUCUGAUUUUCUCUGGAUCAACCUCUAUACCUCGCUCACUAACAAUGUGUCCCAGCAAUUUUCCAGAAGUCACCCCAAAGGUGCACUUCUUGGGAUUCAAUCUUAGCCUGAACUGUCUGAUCCUCUCAAAAAACCUUUGUAAGGCUGCUAAGUGAUCUGCCCUGUCUCGGGACUUUACUAUCAUGUCAUCCACAUAGACCUCGACAUCUCUAUGCAUCAUAUCAUGGAACAGAGUAGUAGCAGCUCUCUGAUAAGUGGCUCCCGCAUUCUUCAACCCAAAUGGCAUAACUCGGUAGCAGUAAGUACCCCACUCAGUAAUGAAAGAAGUCUUCACCAUAUCCUCUGGAGCCAUCAAAAUCUGAUUAUACCUAGAAAAACCAUCCAUGAAGGAUAACAUCGGAUGCCCUGUAGUGCUAUCAACCAGCAUAUCAAUGUGUGGAAGGGGAAAAUCAUCCUUAGGGCUGGCCUUAUUCAGAUCUCGAAAGUCAACACAAACUCUAACCUUGCCGUCCUUUUUGGGAACAGGGACGACAUUAGCCAGCCACUCAGGAUACUUAACCACUGACAAGAAGCCAACACUAAGUUGCUUCUGAAUUUCUUCCUUAACUUGCAAACUCCAUCGAGGGUGUAGUCUCCUCAAUUUCUGCUUAACGGGCCUAGCAUGUGGUAAAAUGGGCAGGUGAUGCUGCACUAUGGUGGGGUCAAGGUCCGGCAUGUCCUCAUAUGACCAUGCAAAUACAUCCAAGUAUGAUCUAAGCAGGUUAAUCAAUCUACUCCUCUCAUCAGGAGAUAGAGAAGAGCCAAUCCUAAUCUCCCUGAGCUGAUCUGGUGCCCCAAAAUCUAUCAACUCUGUGCUACUAGAAAUGGGUGUGACUUUCCUAUCCUCUGUAUCAGAAUCACACUCUGACUGACCACCCAGUGGGUCAUCUGUAUCUCCCACAUCAUCAACAUCAUAUAUAUGUGUCGUGGGUGCUGGUGGUGCAAUCAAAGGAAAAUGUUGUGACACAUUCAAGUACUCGAAAAUACUCAUAUCAUUAUUACCAUCAGAAAUAUCAUCAAAGCGGGUGACAAACCUGGACAUAGUGUCAAAAGAAAGAGGUGGGUCCACAGAGUCGGACGCUCCCUCAACAGAAGCAAAAUCAGAAGUAACGACAUCAAGGAUUGACUCAUCAUCAAGUACGGAAACUCCAGAUAUGUCAAAAGUAGAAAGGGACCCGCGUGGGGCUGCAUCAAGGAUAUGACCAAUGCCUAUAAAAUCCAUAUCAUCAAUGUAGGCAUCAGGAAUAGAGUCAUCCUCAUCAGUCUUGAGUACAAAAACUCUGAACAUGUCGAAAACAGUAUGGGGCCCAUGUGGCGCUGCAUCGAAGAUACGGCCUAUGCCGAUCAUGUCCAUCUCGUCAGUGCCAUAUCCCAAAUCCAUAGGUAGGUCAUAGUCAGGGACCUCCUCGGGGAAACACAUAGAGAACAUACUAGCUCGGUCCGGUGAUGGGGGUGUGACUAUCAUGGCACCAGGUGCCUCAGUAGUCCUGGUGUCCAAAUGAAUCUGACCCAGGGCCUGCUGGAUGUCCUAAAUCUCAACUGUCUUUGGAAUAUGAACAGUCCCCUCUGUGCGAGGUGUAUGCUCUGAACCCCUAAUGAAGUAGUCGGCCAACUGGAAAGUGUAUGGGCGGAGGGGAUAAUCAAAUGGAAUGCCAGACAUGCGAGCCCUCACCCUAUCCCUGCGCAGCUGUGACAUAUAACGUGCAUCAGCCUCUAUGGGGAUGUAACCUAAUCCGUAGGGCGUGUCGUGAUCAACAGUGAAAGUAAACUCGUGGGGCCCCUGCUGGCAGCGACCCAAUCCCAUACCAGGCAAAUAAGACAUGCCUCUCAUCAUGUUGAGCACCAAAGUGCUGCUGUGCUGGUCAAAUGACAUAAGUACCAUAUCUCUGCUGCCAUCCUCUAAGCUGACAACCAGAACCUCAUCGAACGUAAACCCGGUCAAAUGUAAGUCAUUCUCACUAUGGCUGAUAUGUAAUACUGGCUCAGACGAAGUGAUAAUAUCUCUAUCAGACUAUAUCGUGAUAAUGCGCCCCUCGUGUAUGAACUUCACCUUCUGAUGAAGGGAAGAUGGUAUAGCACCGGCCUCAUGAAUCCACGGGCGGCCAAGAAGCAGGUUAAAGGAUGACUGAAUCCUCAAAACCUGAAAUACUAUGGAGUAACUAACUGGCCUAAUCAUGACAUGUGUACUGAGUGUACCCAUAAUUGUCCUCGGAGUCCCAUCAUAAGCUCUAACAGUCUGUGUAGAAGGCCCAAAAUCAUCUGGUGAAAACCCAAGCGCAAUGGCAGUAACCAAUGGACAGACGUUCAGGGCAGAGCCAUUGUCCAAUAGAACAGACGACACCCAACGGCCUAAACAAGCAACAUCAAUGAAUAAGGGUCGAACAUGAUUUGAUCCCUCUGGUGGCAAGUCAUCAUCAGAAAACAUUAUACAUGUAGCUCUAUUAGCUGUCAACAUGUGAAUAAGCCCCUCUGGGGUAGUAGCAGUGUCAACCCUAAUCUAGCCAAGGGCUCUGACUAAUGCAUCUCUGUGUGUACUAGAUGAGGCCAAAAGGCUCCAAAUGGAUAUGCGAGCCUGAGUAGUGCGUAACUGGCGUAAUAUCUCAUCAUCUUCUCUCUGAACCUCCUCUCUAGCAGCUAUACCAGCAAAUGGCCUGUCAACGGGUGGAGGUUGUGCUACCCUUCCACUCCAUGUAACUAUCUGAACAUCUCUAUGAGGGGGCCUAUAUUCCUCUGGGAACAGAAUGAAGGGUGUCAUAGGUGGCACAUGCUGUAAGUAUACUAGUGAUACUGGAGGCGGCCCAUAAAUCUUGUCCGAGGUCAAAUUGAAUGGCCUGGGGAUCUGCUGUCUAGGUAUAUAUCCAACAAAAUCUGACUCCUCAUAUAGACUGAUCGGCUGAGGAGCCUCUCCAUCCCAACCCAUCAUAAAUAUCUCAUCCCCUGCAAACUCAAUCAAAUGUACCCCUUCCGGGGGUGGAGGUACCGCUCUAGUGUCAUGAGUAGGUAGCGGGUCUGUGGCUACACCCGGGCGCCCCAAAUCAACCAAGCCCUGAUCAAUCAAAUCCUGAAUGGCAUGUCUCAGUGCUGAACAACUGUCUGUAUCAUAGCCUGCUCUCUGAUGGUAGGCACAGUGAAGAUCUGUCCUGAAUCCUGGGGGGGUAGGCUGUAGUGGUGGUCUAGGCGGUAGUGGGGCAAUCAGUCCCCUCUCAACCAAUCUCUAAAAAGCUCGGCUCAGUGGCAUCCCAAGCUGUGUGAAUUUUCUAACUGGCCUUGGUGGAGGCGGUGCUCUAUACUGAUGAUGGAACUGCAUAGGCGGCCUCUGGGGUGCCUGUGUAGCAUAUACCGGCUGUGGUGGCGGAUGUAGAUAAGUAGGCCCUACUGGCCUAAUGGGAGCAACUGGUCUGUAUUGACCAUGCUGUAUCAUCUGAUAAGGAGUGCCUAAAAACUGACUUUGAAACAAAGGACGACGUGAAGACCGGUGUCCUGUCAUGCCAAUAGUACCAACAUCUGAGGACCUUGAUUACUACUCAAAAAGUGCUAUUUGAUAGCCUAUAAUUAAUCCUUUUAAACACUUUUGAGUAGUAGUUUUGGCCUUUUAACUCAAUUGGCAUGUUAAGGACCCUUGAAAGCAAUUUUGAUCACUUUGUGUAAGUUUUGGUGUUUUUGUUAGUAUUUUGAUCACCAAAGCAAGUCAAGACUGAGGAGAGCUAUGAGGAAUCUUGGGCAAAGCUUAGAAGUCAUUUUCCAAGAGUAAAUCCGGAUUGCAAGGAGAAAAAGUAAAGAGAAUCUGCCAUAAAGCAUAUUCUUGAUGACAGUCGUAGCAGCCACUUUUGGAGCACUUUGUGAAGUCCAAAUGAUGCAUGCUAUAUACCAUUUCAAAUCUCAGGAAGUCAAAAAUCCAAUGCUUCAAACGGUGUGCAAUUCGGAGUUGAAACGAAGAAGUUGCAGCCAUUACAAGCCAAUCACUCCGAGCUGAAGGAAGCAUUUUGCAAAGUGUUGCGAAAUCACCCUUUUGUUGCGAAGUGAUUUCGCAGCCUUUUUGAACAGUGUAAUGUUUCUCCUUCUGACGAUGCCCGAUUUAUGCCGCGAGAAGGAAGCUUGGAACCUCAAGGUGGAAGCCAACUUCGCAGCCCUGCGAGUUUAGCUUGGUGUUGCGAAAUUAUUUCGCAGCCCUCUUGAGUGUCUGCGAAAUCUCGCAGACACCAUUUUCUCUUGCGAAAUGGUUCCUGAAGCCUCCCGAUAUUUGCUACCGACAUUGGGAGAUAUUUUCCAUUAGAUUUUUGUUGUCUAAAUCCCAAAAUACUCCUUGUAAACCACCAAUUACAAGAUUCCUUAGCUUUUAAGUUAGUAAAAAGACUAAAUAUCUAUGUAAUAAUUAGUUUUAUAUUAUGUUCAUAUAUAUACCUCUCGGGAGCCUGUUCUCGAAGAGGAGAUCCUUUUGUAAAAGUUUUGGUAAGCAAGUAAAGUUUAUUUUCUUUCUACUGCCUUACCUUCUCACUUUGUAUUUUUAUUUUAUUUCUAAGUUAUGAAUUCUCUGAGGAGUUUUCCCCAGAGAAUGAGUAACUAAACCUCUAAUUCCUUGGAGCUAAGGUUGCCGGGGAAGGUUCCAAGUGCAAGAAUGCAAAGCUUUGUGGUUUUAGCUAUUAAUGAAGAGGAAGUGAAAUCCUUUAGUGAUUUCUAUGUUUUUAGUUAACUUAAAACACCUUAGAGUCACCUGGGCCAACACUUGGUAAGGCAAGUGAUUUCCAACCAUGGAAAUGCACUAGUUUACCCCUUGCGAGCCUCUGGGAGGUGACUUCAAGGUAGGAUUUUCUAGAAUAGCCAACACUUGGUAAGCUUUUGGACUCCAAGGAGACAUCCAUUAGUUAUCUCUUACGAGCUUUUGACGGGUAAUCCAAGGUUAAAGAUCACCUUGAAUGGUUAAGGCUUAGUGAGAGACUUAAACCAUUGCAAGUUGCAUCAGUGAGAGAAUUAAAGUGAAAUCUAAUUGAAGGAGUCUCUGUACAACACCGGUUAGAGAAUUGACUAUAUGUUGAAUCUCUAACACGAGGAAAUGAACCAUCUGACCGGAGCUAUGUCUUUUGCAUGAAGAACCACCCCAGUGAACCUAACUCUCCAGGGAAUGCUUUUCUUCCUAAAUUAUUCCAAACUUCUGUUAUGUUAGUUAGUUUAAGUCUAAACCUUUACCAAUCAAAGUUUGUGUUUUACUUCUUAAGCUAACCAUGAAAUGAAACAAAACCAAUUCACUUGGAAUUGGUAUCAUUGAGAGCUUGUUAAUCUUUCCCAGUGGACGAUCCUAGAGCCACUAUACUAUAGUAGCUUUUUCUUUGCUACCCUAGUAUAUGGUGUUAUAGGUUAUAAAUUUUGUUGAUUACUCCCUCAAUCAAGGAGCACCAGCUGGACACAAAUCAGCUGAGACACCAAUUGGGCACGAAUCAGGCCUGGGGCUUGAUCCCUACUUCUUCCCCUUUGAGUCUGAAGGGGAAGAAUCUGCCCAUAAACCUCUAGAUAUACCAUCCUCAAUGCAUAGAGGGCUUGCACUAAUGAGCCAAAGUCUGUCUGAGGGAAGCCCAUGAGAUGCCUAGCAAAGCGGGGUUGAAGGCUGCGCAUAAUCAUACUGAUCUGAUCGUGCUCUGAAGGUCUAUCAAUAAUAUGUGCUAUCUUCUCCCUCCAACAGAAGAUGAAUGAAGUGACUGUCUCAUCCGGCCCCUGCCUAAGGGCCUCUAACUCCCUCCGGGAUAUAUCCACUAUAGUAUUGAAAGAAUACUGUCUAAUAAACUCCUGUCCCAAAUCAGCCCAUGUCCUACGUCUCGAAGGGUCCAAUGAGGCAAACCAACGUUGAGCAGCACCACUCAAUGACAGAGGGAAUAACAUAAUCAUUUAUGCCUCAUCCAGUCUAUGCCCGCGCAUAACAGUGUUGUAUAACUACAAGUGAAUACGGGGGCACCCUAUCCCCAUGUAUCUCUCAAUGUCCGGCAUGCGGAACUCAACAGGCAAAGCUGCUACUGGCAUAUCAUCAUAUCCAUCCCAACCCAUAAUCCCAUCAGAAACAUGUAGUGAUCUCAUUCUCUGCUCAAUCCUAUCAAUACGAGCCUGGGUAUCAUCAACAAUCUGUGUCGGUGCCACAACAAAAUGCGGCGUAGUCUCAGUCUGACCAUGCAACACAAAUGCUCUAGCCUGGGGAGCUGACUGAACCAGUGGUGGUGGUGGUGGUGGUAGUGGAACUAUGUAGUCCUACUGUAUAGUAGGUUCAGAUGGCCCAGAUGGUGGUGGUGGUGGUGGUGUGGUAGAGUCAUGCAGGGUGCUCCCCGGAAUCGGCAAUGGUUGGGCCUGGUGCCCAUCAAUCCUCUGACCCAAUCCUAAGAUAGUGUCCCUAAGUGACGCCAUGGUAUCGGUAAUCUCAGCCAACUAGUCAACGGUAGCGUACUGAGGGUCUAUAUCUCUAUGAUCUGGUAUCUACUCUAACUGGCUGGGUGAAUCCGAUCCUCUAACCAGUCUAUCUCCAAUCCGGAUCCAAGCUCGGGAACCCAGGUCGAUCUCAAUCAAUAAUCCUAUAAAAGGAAAGGGGUACGUCAGUCCCCGUGACUAUCAAUCCUGAAAUCAAACUAGGAACGUAUAACUAAAAUCUUCCGAGAGAAUGAACUGACAUGUGAUGUCAAUAGCUAAACUGAUAUACAGUUCCACAGGCAGGAACGAGAUUCUGACAUGGUGAUACCUCAGGGGUAAUAUGGCUCAAAAGUAAAAAAAAAAAAAGAGAAAAGGCAAGUCCUAAAAGACUAGAUGACUGUACCCACAAGGAUACGCAACCUAAGGUCCUAACUAACAAUCAAUCAACAAUCAAAGUGACAUGCUGGCCACGCAUGUAUCCAUGAAAUCCAGCUCAGGGCUAUACAGGUCUUCAUUGCUCAGAUAUCCAUCUUUUCCAUAGUGCUCCCAAACAUCGAUAUAGCCUUUAUGCUAGACCCUAUUCCAAACCCCUAGCUUGGUCGAAGGCGAACAAUUGGGAAUGACUCCCAAGAAACACAAGCAAUCCAUGAGGAAUAGUUGACCAAGACUAGUGAUUCGGAAGUAAGGGGAUACACAUGUGCCCCACAAACACAAGCAGCAAGCAGUCAUGCAAGGGAAUGAGCAGUCAUACAGCAAAUAGUCAUGCACAAAGAGAUAGCCUACCACACAUCUACACACAAUCUAAUCAUCUAAGUCUAAUCCCAAAUGUCAUAGCUAGAUACCAAACAACAAUGAGCAAGCAUGCUAGAAUCCAACAGGUGAACACACAAGCAACAACACAUCAUAGGUGCAAUCCAAAUACCAGCCAACUACGUGAUCAUCAGUCAUCUAUGUAGCCUAAGAGUCUACUUAUCAAUGAACCAUGUGCUCCGAUAUACCCAACUCAAGUUCAAGCUUGAUCCUCUUAUGAAACCAGAGAUUCUGGGUUCGAUCCCCAGUGGAGUCGCCAAUUUGUGGACCCUCACCCGAUCCACCGGACCGAUGCGACUCGCUUUUAAAAGAAAAGAAAGAAAUGAAAAAGUUGGUGUCUUCCAAUUUUGAAAAACCUGCCCCCAGUGAGGAACGGUGUUGUUUGGAGUCACCACUUACUUUUUAUUUUUGUUUUUUAAAAUGGGGAAAAUUAAGUAAGAACAAAAACCCCUAAUGACCCUAGUAUGGAAAAAACGGUCUGCGAAAACUAGAUUCUGGGUCCGGGGAUCAGGUUACCUGUUGGGAAGGUACCUCAUGCGAGGUAGCACCCUUCUAGGCCCGAAACUCGGUCUCUACUAAUGAAUUGGGUAUGUGGGAGCAUAUGGGUCAAAGGUCAAAUGAAACCCUAGGCUAAAUAGAUGUCAUGAAUCACACAAUCCUAAUUGGUAUUUGGAAUGCAUAUGAAUUCAACCAAACAAAACAAUGGGUGCGUACCUGUGGUCCCUAGCCAAACGCUGCAUAAAAGGUCAGCCAAACACAUAUAAACACAUAACAAACAUUCAAGAUUAAGCACCAUGCAUGCAUAUGAAUUCAACAACCAAAGCCAACGAUGCGUACCUGUGGUCCCUAGCCAAGUGCUGCAGCAGAGGGUGAGUUAGUCACGCAACAUGUAUUCAAAAUCAAUCAUCAAAGCUUGUGCCAAAAAGGAAGAUAGUUGGUUGAAAUGAGGUAAGGGACUCACCAAAUGUCAUACAAAUCGAACUAGACUCAUCUAGACCACACCACCCAUAACUUCAAAAUUGCCCAUACUAACUGAAAUCAAACACUGACUUAAACCUUCAAGAUGGCUCACAAGUACCCUAUAGCAAAUGGGUUUGAGCCCCCCAUGGAUAAGGGCUCCAAAAAUGCUAAAAUCGAGGGCUACCUAAAGUCCUCCAGCAGAACAGGUUGAACUAGUUCUCAACUGGUACAACCUAUUGAGAAGAACUCCCAAAUUUUUCUAGAAAACUCCUAAAUGAGUGAGGAUUCAAACAAAAGAAACGACACUCAAUCCCGAGCCCAGAUGAGUGAGAACCAGACAAAGAAAGGCAGGUGUUCCUCAUGGCUGACAGAGGCUGCCAGCUAUGGUGCUGAACUGGUUGAACCGGUUCCAAACCGGUUCAGCCAGUUGGUAAAAAAUCCCAAAUUCGGUCAUAAAAUUCCUAAGUGAUUAAGAAAGCAAACAAAAGAAACGGUUCUCAAUUCCGAUCCUGGAUGAGUGAGCACCAGACAAAGAAAGGCAAGUGUUCCUCAUGGCUGAUAGAGGCUGCCAGCUAUGGUGCUGAACCGGUUCCAAGCCAGUUCAGUCGGUUGGUAAAAAAUUCCAAAUUCGAUCAGAAAAUUCCUAAGUGAUUAAGGAAGCAAAAAAAAAAAGAAACGGUUCUCAAUUUCGAGCCCGGAUGAGUGAGAACCAGACAAAGAAAGGCAAGUGUUCCUCAUGGCUGACAGAGGCUGCCAGCUAUGGUGCUGAACCGGUUGAACCGGUUCCAAGCUGGUUCAUCCGGUUGGUAAAAAAUCCCAAAUUUGGUCAGAAAGUUUCUAAGUGAUUAAGGAAGCAAACAAAAGAAACGGUUCUCAAUUCCAAGCCCGGAUGAGUGAGAACCAGACAAAGAAAGGCAAGUGUUCCUCAUGGCUGAUAGAGGCUGCCAGCUAUGGUGCUGAACCGGUUCCAAGCCAGUUCAGCCGGUUGGUAAAAAAUCCCAAAUUCAGUCAGAAAAUUCCUAAGUGAUUAAGGAAGCAAAAAAAAGAAACGGUUCUCAAUUCCGAGCCCGGAUGAGUGAGAACCAGACAAAGAAAGGCAAGUGUUCCUCAUGGCUGACAGAGGCUGCCAGCUAUGGUGCUGAACCGGUUCCAAACAGGUUCAGCCGGUUGGUAAAAAAUCCCAAAUUCGGUCAGAAAGUUCCUAAGUGAUUAAGGAAGCAAACAACAACAAUCAUGUGUGGCCUUUAUGAUCCACACCCAAGCAAUACAAUCUUCAUAUCAAAGGGAAGAAAAGAUGAUGAGGAAGGAGAAAAAGCAUAUGAAGACGAGGAAGAUAAACUGUAAGUAAAGAAAAUUCAGCAUGCUUACCUCAGAAUCUCCACCAAAUAUGAUCUGUGUAUACAGAUGAAGACUUCCAAAACUGAGAUGCUGUCACUCUCCUCUUCAAAAAACCACAGUGCUGAAGCUUUCCCCCACGCUCUCAACUUAGAAGAUGCUACUGACCUUUUGUUUUUCUCACCAGCAAAAUUUCCCCUCUCCAAAAUGUCCCCUCCUCCUUUGCUCUCCUAUCCUCUCACCUUUUAUACUCAUACCCCUCUUAGCAUUUGAGCCUCCUGGAUUCCUUCCCCUUCAGCACCAAAAUCCCCUUCAUCAACAUGGGAACCACACCCCUCAUUACUUCUCUUAAACUUACAAGGCCAGCUCACUCCUUCAGUUUUCAGCUUGCUUCACCACCAAGAAUCCAUAUGGAUUCGUGGUGGGCUGCAAGGAACCCAAACCAAGGCCCAAAAUGGACCCACAACAUUACCCAAAACUGAUCUAGAGCUUACGGGCCUGAGCCAUGUAGGAUUUGGGCCUCAAAAUUACUAGAAUUAGUGUUUUACCUCAGCUGACUCAAUGAACCGGCUGAACCGGCUGAACCGGAUGCCAACUGGUCGAACCAAUGGAAAAAAAUUCUGAAAAUUUGACAGAAUGUUCCUAGUAGAGUAAGGAAUCCACUUAAAAAAAAAGGUGCAUGAUUCCAAGUUCGGAAGAGGGAGAUAUGAUAAAAAAAAUUACCAAAAAUCAGUGUUCUACACCGGCUGACUCGAUGAACCGGCUGAACGUGCUGCCAACCAGCCGACCGGAUGCAAAAAAUUUUGAAAAUUUUACAGAAUGUUCCUGGAAGAAUAAGGAAUCCAUAAAAAGAAACGGUUCUUGAUUCCGAGUUUGGAUGAGGGAGAUACGUUCAAAACAAGCCCGAGUGCUCCGAACCUCAACAUGCCCUUAUAAACUCCAACUAAGCUAAGACAUCGGGAUGACCCCACUUCCUUCCUAUAGCGUGAUGUGAACGACUAGGAAAAUGGCCAUGGUGACCCUCCAAAAUGAACCACAUAUGCACCACAAUGGACCACAGACAAACCCACACGAGGCUCGGACACCGACUAAGCCCAAAAGGGGCCCUAGUGGUGCCAUAUGCGAACGAUGGGUGGAUGUGACACCCGAAGGAUAAAUGCCAGUGUCGAGGGACAAAAUUGAGGGUCUACAAUAUAUUUCUUAAUUUGAACAAUUAAGUAAUAUUAAGUCUUAUCAAGAUUAAAUAAAAAUAAAAAUAAUAAUAAUAAUAAUAAUUCUCUAAAAGUGAAGCAAAGGAAUUGAUAUAAUAAUCACUAAAAUCUCAAAUAAAUAAUAUAAGUAAUUAACUAAAAUCUGAUUGUUAUUAUUUAUAAUUUGAAAUAUCCUAGUAAGCCAUAUUAUCACUCAUAAUUUAAAUAAAUAAAUAAAAACUAACAUAAUAGUUGUGGCUUGGGCCUACCCAAAAACCAUCCGCUAAGUCGGGUCGGUUUGGGCCAGGAUUAAAAGCCCAACUAGCCUAAUAAUAAUAAUAAUAAUAAUUAAAUUAAUGAAAAAUAAACUAACAUAAUAGUUGUGGCCUGGGCCUACCCAAAAACCAUCCGCUAAGUCGGGUUGGUUUGGGCCAAGAUUAAAAGCCUAACUAGCCUAAUGGCUCAGCUAGCUUAAAUAGCCCAACAGGUAAAAUGGGGAAUAAAAUGUGAGAGAACAAUCCACGAGGAGUGGAGGCAGUUAACACUUAAGGCGGUAACUAUUUGGAGUGGCCAAAAGGUGCUUUUGUGAUCUCCAUACCAAUCAAUAGCUAAAAAUUAUAUGAAUGCAAGAAAAAUAGGGACACGAAAAAAAUAUGACAUUUUCUAAAAGAAAAACCCUAGAUAACUUAAUCAUUAGAGUGAUCCUAGGGAAAAACCAGACUAGCCUUGUGUGGCAGGUACAAGGAAGCGUGCAACAAGAAGAGGAUAAUUGCUCAAGAAAUUCUCAACUCCAACAAGUGGCAGUUAACACUUGAGGCGGUAAAAGUUUGGAGUGGCCAAAAAGUGCUCCUGUGAUCUCCACGCCAAUUGGUAGCUAAAAGGUAUAUGAAUGCAAUAAAAUUAAGGACAAUAUACAUAUAUAUAUAUAUAUAUAUAUAUAUAUAUAUAUAUAUAUAUAUAUAUAUAUAUAUAUUGUUAGUCCAAGGAUUCUCCUAAUCAGGUUUUGAUGAUAACAAACCAUUGUUAAGUUACUAAAUGGUUUGAUUUAUAAAGAAUUUCAGGUGUUAAUUUGAAAAUUCAUCAAAUGACCUAAUGAAUGCAAGAUCAAGACCUUUGGAAGACCUUUAAUCAUAGGAAACAUAUGGAAGAUGAAUGAAUGGGUGUACUUAGGUUUUACAUAUCAUUUCAUGCAUAUUUCAAAAACUCGGUUUAUUAUUUAAAGUUACAGUUUCAUCAAAACCCGAGUUUUAUCAAAUGAACCUUAGGCAAAUCUUUUUCAAAAUUAGCAUGUUAAUUUACCUAAAGACCUUGCCUAAGUAUUAGAAGAGAAAAGAAUAGAAAAAAAAUAGGUUUUCGGGCAAAAAAUGGUGAACCAGUUGAGGCACUGGCCAACCGGCUCAAUCGAUUAGGGGUGUCGAUCGGCCAAUUCCCUUUUCCCGAUCGAGGUCCGGUCAAGAUGAGCAAAAAACACUUUCUCUCUUCCAGUAGACUUUUCUUCCAAGUUGAGGGCCGGUCGAGGGUAAUGGUCAUUUACCAAGCAUUAAAUGCUCCAAUGGCUAGUGAACCGGUCAACCCCUAGCUCGACCGGUUGAGACUACUUUUUGGUUUUCUUGACUCCCGAGGUUAGAAACCUAUAAAUAGAGAGCUUCGCUUCAUUUAUGAGUAAGAGAACACCUGCAUUUAUUCAUCUACCCACUUGUUCUUGCCUUAAAAGCUCUCAUUCUUUUCUUGGUGCAUUAAAUCCCCAUUUGCAUAUUCUUUAGUGCACCUUUGUGAUUCAUCCCAGCCUUAAGUUGUAUUUGAGAUAUUGUUGAGCUAGGUUGAGAGAUUCAUUCUUGUUAAUUGAGUGUUAAAGCCUUCAAGUGAGUUGAAACUUGAAGAGAUUGUGUAAAAGCCCACUGGAGUCGGAAUCCAAGUGUAAAGGUGAUUAGAAGCUUCAAGGUAAUGGAACCCUCACUUGGUUAGGAGCUUGAGGAGAGUGGACAUAGGUAAUGAAGUGCUAAACCACUAUAAAAUCUGAGUUUGAUUUCUCUAACUCUAUCUCUUUAUAUUUGCUUUUCUUGUGCUUAAAUUUGUUGUGUUUAAUUUUUUUUUCUAAAAAAAAAAAAACCCAAUUCACCCCCUUCUUGGGUGUUUUUCUCAUUUAAGAUUAGCCUUUAUUUUCUCAAUUGGUAUCAGAGCUAGACCUCUUGUUUAAGACUUAAUCAUCUAAGAAGAAAUGGCUAAUCUUGAGCUCAUUUCACAUUGAAAUUUUUGCAAAAAAUAAACCUCCAUUUUUUACAGGAACCGAUUAUCUCUAUUAGAAAACUAAAAUGACUUGGUUUUUACAAUCAACCAAUUUAGACAUAUGAGAUGUCAUUGAAGAUGGCCCAACUUUUCCUUCAAAACUAGUUGACGGAGUCAUGGUUCCAAAACCCAAGCAAGAAUGGGAUGAGUGUGAUAGAAGAAAUUUUCAAUUAAAUGCUAAGGUCGUUUAUGCUUUGCAAUGUUGUAUGGAUAGAAAUGAAUAUAGUAGAAUAUGUCAAUGCAAAUCGGCUAAAGAAAUUUGGAGAUUGCUUGAAAUAACUCAUGAAGGAACAAAUCAAGUGAAAUAGUAAAAAAUCAAUUUACUUGUUCAUAGCUAUGAAUUGUUUUUUUUUUUAAAGAUAAUGAGACUAUUGUUGAGAUGAUCACUAGGUUCAUCGACAUUGUCAAUGGUCUUAAAGCCUAGGGAAAGACCUAUAAUGAAUCUAAAAAGAUAAUGAAGAUCUUGAGGUCACUUCCAUCAAUGUGGCAUACAAAAGGUCACCGCAAUUCAAGAAGCCAAAGACUUGAUCAAGCUACCUUUAGAGGAGCUCAUAGGGUCAUUGAUGACAUAUGAGAUCAAUUUGGAAAAUAAGCAACAAGAAGAUGAAGACAAAAAGAAGAAGAGCAUAACUCUCAAAGCUACAACUAAGGAAGAAGAAGAAGUUGAAGAAGAAAAACAAAGUGAAGAAUAUGAAGAUUUAGCCCUCAUCAUAAGAAAGUUCAACAAAUUCAUGAGGGAUGAAAGGUUUAGAAGAAUAAGGUUCACUUUUAGAAGAGGCUUUUCUAAAAAGGAAUCUUCAUCUCAUGGUGACAAGGAGAGAUGCGAAGAGAAAAGAGACUUGGUGUGUUUCAAAUGCAAGAAACCGAGACACAUUAAAUAUGAUUAUCCUCUCUACAAAAGUGAAGCCAAGAGGAGAAAAAAAGAAGGCAAUGAUGACCACUUAGAGUGAAAGUGAAGAAUCCUCCGAAGAAGAAAAUGAGAAAGGAGUGGCAAACAUAUGCUUCAUGACAAUAGAUGAACUUGAUGAGGUAAACUCUAACCUUAGUGAUGAAAAUAUACAUGAUGCAUUUGAAGAAUUGUAUGAGGAUUUUGAAAAACUUAGUUGAAAAAUAUUUCUCUUAAAAAGAAAGUUCAACAACUUGAAAAAGAACUUGGAGAAGUAAAAGAAAAAUUUUCAAAUGUCGAAAUUUCUAAAACUCAUCUCGAAAAAGAAAAUGAGAUUCUAAUAAAGAAAAAUGAAUGGUUGACCUCCUUUCUUUCAAUAUUUUCUUGUGGACAAAAAUCUUUUGAAAUGAUUCUAGCUAGCCAAAAAUACGUUUUUGACAAACAAGGGCUAGGAUUCAAAUCUUCAAAAAAUCAAAGUAUUUUAAAAACUAUUUUGUAAAGGAAUCCACAAGUACAAAUCUUUCCACUAUUGGCAACUUUUGUGGAAGAGAAGGGCACAUUAGUAAUACACGUCCUUUAAGGAAUGGUUCUCAAAAGAAUUCAAAUGCAAAAGUUAAAAAGAUUUGGAUUGAAAAAUCCAAGGUCACUAACCCUCAAGGACUCAAAAAGAUAUGAUACCUAAAUCAACUUGAGUUUUAUGUUGUAGGGUUCAAAGAAGGAUAAGUGGUUCUUGGAUAGUGGAUGCUCAAGACACAUGAUCAAGGAUGAAUCCAAAUUUGCUUUUCUUACAAAGAAAAAUGGAGGAUAUGUUAUCGUUGGAGACAAUGCAAAAGGAAGGAUCAUUGGUCAAGGCAACAUUGGUAAUGACACAUCCUCUCUCAUUGAAAGUGUUUUAUUAAUAGAUGGUUUAAAACAUAACCUUUAAAGCAUUAGUCAACUUCGUGACAAAGGUUUUAAAUUAACUUUUGAAGUAUCUCAUUGCAUCAUCAAAGAUAUUCAAAAUGAUAAAACCAUCUUCAUGGGCCAUAAAUGUGAUAAUGUUUACACUAUAAAUAUUUCAAAAUAUGAUGGCCAUGAUAGAUGCUUUUCAAGCAUGCAUGAUCAAAGUUGGUUAUGGCAUAGGAGGUUGGGACAUGCUAACAUGGACCUCAUUUCUCAACUCAACGAAGAUGAACUUGUUAGAGGCUUUCCCAAAAUAAAUUUUCAAAAAGAUGAAGUUUGUGAAGCUUGUCAAGUAAGAAAGCAAAUAAAAAACUCUUUCAUAAACAAAAACUUCAUUUCCACAUCUAGGCCACUUGAGUUGUUGCAUAUGGAUUUAUUUGGUCCCUCUAGAAUACCAAGUCUUGGAGAAAAGUCUUAUGCAUAUGUUAUUGUAGACGACUUCUCUAGAUACACAUGGGUCUUGUUUUUAAGUCAAAAGAAUGAAGCCUUUUAUGAGUUGUCAAAGUUUUGCAAUAAGGUUCAAAAUGAAAAAGGUUUUUCAAUUACUAGUAUAAGAAGUGAUCAUAUGAGAGAAUUUGAAAAUAUUGAUUUUGAAGAAUAUUGCAAUGAGCAUGGAAUUGACCAUAAUUUUUCAGCUCCUAGAACUCCUCAAUUAAAUGGGGUAAUUGGAAGGAAAAAUAAAACUCUUCAAGAGAUGGCAAGAACCAUGCUAAAUGAAAAUAACUUACCAAAAUAUUUUUGGGAUGAAGCGGUUAACACUUCUUGUUAUGUUUUAAAUAGAAUAUUAUUGAGGCCCAUUCUUAAGAAAACUCCCUAUGAGCUUUGGACAAACAAGAAGCCCAACAUUAGCUAUUUCAAAGUCUUUGGAUGCAAAUGUUUUAUAUUAAACACCAAAGACAAUCUUUGAAAAUUUGAUGCAAAAUUGGAUGUUGGAAUUUUCCUUGGUUACUCAACUUUAAGUAAAGCUUUUAGGGUGUUUAACAAAAGAACCAUGAUUGUAGAGGAGUCUAUCCAUGUUAUUUUUUAUAAAUCUAACAAAUUUCUCCAAGAAAGAGAGAGUUUUGAUGAUGAUUUAGGUUUGGAGACCUCCAUGGGAAGAUUGCAAAUUGAAGAUAGAAUACAACAAGAAGAAAAUGGAGAGGAUCCUAAGAAAGAAGGAUCACCAUUGGCACUACCCCCUCCUCAACAAGUGCAAGGUGAAUCAAGCCAAGACCUUUCUAAAGAAUGAAAGUUUGUCAUCAAUCACCCACAAGAUCAAAUUAUAGGUAAUCCAUCUAGUGGGGUAAAAACUAGAUUCUCUCUUAGAAAUAUUUGCAAAAAUCUAGCUUUUAUCUCUUAAAUUGAGCCUAAAAAUAUAAAUGAUGCUUUAGAUGAUGAAAAUUGGAUGAUUGCUAUGCAACAAGAGUUAAAUCAAUUUGAAAAAAGUGAAGUAUGGGAAUUAGUACCAAGACCUUCAAAUCAAAGUGUUAUUGGAACUAGAUGGGUCUUUGGAAAUAAAAUGGAUGAAAAUGGCAUAAUUGUUAGAAAUAAAGCAAGAUUGGUAGCCCAAGGUUUUAAUCAAGAAGAAAAAAUAGAUUAUGAAGAAACCUUUGCCCCUGUAGCUAGGUUGGAAGCCAUUAGGAUGCUACUUGCCUUUGCAUGUUUUAAAGACUUUGUUUUAUAUCAAAUAGAUGUGAAAAAUGCUUUUUUAAAUGGUUUUAUAAAUGAAGAAGUAUAUGUUGAACAACCACCCGGCUCUCAAAGUUUCAAUUUUCCUAACCAUGUUUUUAAGCCUAAAAAGGCACUUUAUAGUUUGAAACAAGCACCUAGAGCAUGGUAUGAAAGAUUGAGUAAAUUUCUUUUGAAAACAGGUUUUAAAAUGGGAAAAAUUGACACAACUCUUUUCAUAAAAACUAAAGAAAAUGAUAUGCUCUUAGUUCAAAUAGAUGUUGAUGAUAUCAUUUUUGGUGCUACUAAUGUCUCUCUUUGUGAAGAAUUUUCUAAGUUCAUGCAUAGCGAGUUUGAAAUGAGCAUGAUGGGAGAACUCAAUUUCUUCCUUGGGCUUCAAAUCAAGCAACUAAAGGAAGGCCCAUUAGACACCACACUAGGUCCAUUUAGUCACUUUAGGCCCAUUAGGCACCAUCCUAGGCCCACUUAGGCACCCUAGGCCCAUUUAGGCACCCUUAGCCCAUUUAGGCACCUUAGACAUGAAUGCAUGGUUGCAUGGCUUCAUGGCUCACGUUUUUGCAUGAGAGAUUUAUCAUUGGAGAGUUUGGAUUCUUUAGGAAAGGAAACUUGGAGGCUGUGAUUGAGAGAUAUUUAGUCCACGUUUGAAAAUAAUAAUAAUAAUAAUAAUAAAGAAAGGAAAGAGAGACCCGGGAUGGAAAGAUAGGAAGAUGCUUUUUUAGGCCAUGAGGUAGACAGAGAGUGAGUCCACGUUUAAAGAAGAUGGGGAAAGUGUAGCCGCAUGAUUGAAGGAAAAAAUAUGAUUUUUUGGGCAAGGAGGAGCAGAUAUGGGGAGAAUUGACAAAACAUUUUAUGGUGAGCUGAAUGAAUCUGACUUUCGGGAAAGAUACAAAGAGGUUUUGAAAGGCAUUAUGCGGAUUUUGAGGUGUGAUAUUCAGAGUUUUAUUUAGAAAGAAAUGAGAGUUUUGGGAUAGAGAAGAUUCAGUCGGAAAAGUGGAGGAAGAGGGAGAUUUCUAGAGGGAGAGAGGACUGAAAGAAAAAAAAAAAAAAAAACAAGGGUAAUUUGGAGAGGCCACACCUUGAGAGAUUUUUUUCGAGAACAAUCGCACGAAGUGAAGGAAGAGAAGAGGUGAUAUGGAGAAGCGACACCAAGUGAAGGAAAGAGAAAGGUGAUCUGGAGAGGCCGCACCCUUGAGAGAUUUUCCGGAAGAGCCGCACCAUUGAGAGGAAGAAGGAUCUUCAUCCAAUUGUACUGUUCUUCAAGCAAGCAUUUUUUGAGGAAUCAUAUAAACUAUGCAUGCUAUCCAGGUACGCUCUCUAUCACUUAUGUUUUGAAAUUUUAUGAAUAUGCAUGUUGUUGUGAAUUUUAUUUAUUCUUGAUGUGAUCCUUAGGUGCUUAGAUGUAUGCUUGAUUGCCUUAAUAUAUGUUUGAUUGUUUGAUUUGCCCUUAUUAAAAAAAAUGUUGUGUGUUAUACUUCCAAACUAAUUUUGAUGUGUUGUAAUAACGCUUAAGAAGCAGUCCAGGUACGCACCCUAAAUUUCCUUUAUGAGUAUGAUUGGUUUUUCUUGUUUGGCAUGCUAGUUUGAAAUCACCUUAGCCUACCUAGGUAUCCAUGAUCAACUAGUUAAUUACCACAUUUCCCUCAACUUCGUCAAUAGAGACCUUUGUAGGGCUUAGAGGGGUGCUAUCUCUUAGAGGUACCUUCCCAAUAAGUAACCUAAUCCUCGGACCUAGACUCAAGUUUUUUAAAGACACGGUUUUCUAAAAACUAUGGAGUCACUUCUUUAGGGUUUUCUUUCUUGUUUUAUUUUCCCUUUAAAAUAAAAUAAAAUAAGUGGCAACUCCGAUUUUUCCAAAAACAAUUUUUUCACAAAUAAAAAGCGAGUCUCGUAGAUCGAGUGGGGGCACAUGUGAAAAAUGUUGGUCCACAAAUUGAAAACUCCGUUGGGGAUUUUGAGAAUCAAGCUUGAACACUAGUUGAGGAAAAUGUGGCGUUUAAUUGGUCGAUUAGAGAGUACCUCUGUUUUUUUUAGGCAAGAUGAUUCAGUUUGCUUGCUUGAUUGGCUCGCUAUCUUAACAUGUUUGAUUGCCUUGAAUGAUCACUUAACUAUUUCGUUCACUUCAACAUGAUUCACUCUCACAUAUGCUAGAUAGGAAUUUUUUUGUAUGACGCUUAUCUGCUUCGCAUGACUGCUUGUUGCAUGACAAUCCUCUCCCUUGCAUGAUUGUAUGAUUGCUUAUCUCUGUUCACUAUCUCACUUUAGAUCUUUGGUUUUUUCGGAUGCACCUAUAUCCUUCACUAUGCACUUUAGAUUAUCCCUGAGUGUUAAGAGAUGUGAGAGCCUUCACCGUUAGGAAACCCCUUGGGAAUGCUAGGAAGUGCAUGUGUGAAGGUGAUGACCACCUUGCAUGGAAGCACCCCGUUUUCUUGGAGAGUGUAGAGGGUUGCGUAUUGAUUCGACUCAUGGUAGCUUAGCUUUAAAGGCGUAUCAACAAAAUUUAUACCUUGAAUACUAUUACUAAAGUAGCCAAACUACUAUAGCAUAGUGGUUCUAGGAUCGUUCACUGGGAAGGGUUUUCGCAAACACAAGUGAUAUUCAAAUUAGGAAAAUAGGUGAUUUUCUUAUGGAUGUUAGCUUUAAAAGAAGAUGUAAAUGUUUUAGAAAGAUUUAAACUAAUCUAAGCUAACAUUAAAGACUAAAAUGAAAGGGUGUAAAAACAAGUUUCUCAAAGAUAGGAUAGCUAUGCUCUGGCUCUUAUGCAAAUUGGAAAUCUCAGGAUAGGCUCCUCGCGUUGGGGUUGCAACUAUGGUGAUGCUUGCUUCUCGAACCGGUAUGGAUUUAGCAAAUCAAGUUUUAAUCCUUUAAAAUGGCAAAACAGAUGGUAGUGAAUUUCAUCAAUGGUUAUUCACCUUAGACUUCCUUUGAAUGGCUCGUAAGAGAUAACUAAUGGUCUAAAGCCAAAAGCUUACCAAAUAUUGACAACUCAAAGUCAUUCCAAGUGAUAAACUCACCUUUCAAUGGCCAUUGAAAUUGGUUCUAACGGAUUAAUGCAAAACUUGGAAUUGAAAACCUCACCUUCCAAUAGCUCGUAGGAGAUAACUAAUGGAUAGAAAUCCAAAAGCUUAUCAAGUAUUGGCCGUUGGAAGUUGUCCAAAGGAAAUAAAAACCAAACUUUGCAUUAAUGAACCAUUAAUGAAAAAACGUCUACCUUACCUUCCGGGUGCGAGAAAUUUCCAUGGGAUUGCAUCCAAGCUAUCACAUAACAUUCAUACUUUGAGAAACUAAAAGUUUUAGCCAAUCAUCCUUUGAGGAAAAGCCCUCAGAGGCUGUUUGGCUACUAAGAAAAUAGAAAUGGGGAAGAACAGGAGAAGAGAGAAAAACAGAGCAAGGCUCUGUAUAUUCUAUAUAUUGAUCGAUAUCUAUUACAAUGGAUGCAAGGGAAUAUAUAUAGAGAAGGUUUUCCAACCUUCCUAGCUAAGAAAUUACAUGAGUGGUGGAUUACAAGGAGAAGAAUGGAAAUUUAUACAAAAAUAUCCAAAAGAAAAGAUCUCGUGUGGAGUCGGCAGAAACAGGGGAAAAUUCGCACCAUGCAAGGGGGUGUGCGAAUUUGGAAGGUGUUGUGCGAAAAUUUCGCACACCCCUGGAGCAGUUGUCUUCCGAAGGCCAUAUCUUCCUCAUUUCAGCUCCAAAUCGUACACAGUUUGAAGCGUUGGAUUUUUGACUUCCUGAGCUUUGAAACGGUAUAUAGCAUGUAAAAAAUGGACUUCGGGAAGUACUCCAAAAGUGCCAAAGAAGACUGCAGAUGCUGUCCUCUGUUUUCCUCCUUGCUUCUCUUUACUUUGCUUUCCUCUUCUCCAUUGUUCUUUCCUUGCAUACUUUGAACGAAUUUGGCAAAGGGAUAUGGAGCUCCAAAGCUUGGUUCUUCAUGAAUUUGAGCUUCCAAAAGCUUUGCCAUAACUUGUCCAAGUAGCUCCUCUAUCAUUUGGCAUGCUUGAAUUGAUUCACAAGCUGAUAUAAACAUGUAAACUUGCCACAAAAUGGUUAAAACCAAUUACUAAGGACCUUAAUGAAUUAAUUGGGUUAAAUGAAUAUGAUUACUACUCAAAGGUGCUUAAAACCAUUAUAAUUAGGUCUACAAAAUAGCACUUUUUGGUAGUAAUCACGUAUUGUCAGAGGGUACAAUCGCUUCUACUAGGGAUUUAUCUUAUAGAUCCACUUCAACCUUGUAGGUUAGCCUAGACCCAAUUAGGAUUUCAUUCCUACAUGUGGGUGCAUCUAUGGACCUUUAAAGCUGCCUUGGUUAGAAUUGGGUUCGGUUACCAUCUCCAUAGUCUCAUUUUGGUAUGAUCGGAUACGAGGAUCAGUUUGAGUAUACAUGGGUUAUAUGCUUGAUUACCUUUUAGUCGGUUCCUACAAAGCUACCCUUGUAUAACGUCUCAUCUAGUGUUUCCAUGUUUAUAGGAGUAUUUUUAGUGCCCAGUCUAGAUUCGCCUUCUUGAACCAGAGUUAGAGGCAGGUUGACCAGAGUAUCAGAUCAACCAGACCAGAGAGUAGAUUAGAGAGAUAUGGACUCCCAGGUAGUCACUGUUGACCAGUUUGCCGUAACCAUGACUUCGAUUUAGGAAGCUAUAACCGGCCUCGGCUAGAGAAUAGAUGGGCAGCAGGCCCUACAGGCCCUGCCUCAGGAUAGUGCACAGUAUGACUCUGCGGCACCACCACCCCCUCCACUCAGUUAGUCGGUUCCACACCCUACACCGUAUGUUUUACAUAGUCAAACUGAUGCUACACCACUUCCUGUUGUAGCACCCAUUCAGGAAUUAGAUGAUGCACAUGCUCAUAUGGAUAGACUUGAGCAGAGGAUGAAACAGAUGAGGGUUUCAGAUGGAGCUAUCAAUUGGAAUGACUUUGAUGGGGCACUAGUGGCCAGUUUACCAGCCCAGUUUAGGAUGCUAGAGAUUGAGAGGUAUACAUGCAUGGGUUGCCUUAAGAUUCAUUUGAGGUGAUACAGUAGUAUGAUGAGAGCCCAAUGGUUGGAUGAGGCCCACUUUAUUAUGCUUUUUCCCAUGUCCUUGAGUGGUACAACACAACGUUGGUUUGCUUCUUUAGAUGCUUCACGUCGUAGGACUUGGGAUAAUUUGACCCAAGAGUUUUUGAGACAGUUUGCUUUUAAUACUGUCAUUGAUGUCUUGAGGAGAGAGCUCGAAGCCUUGAGAUAGAGACUAGAGGAGUCAGUGACUUCAUUUAUCUCCUGAUGGAGGGAAAAAAUCGCCCAGACUAUUGAUCGUCCUUCGGAGAAAGACUAGAUUAGUAUGAUUUUGAGGAGCUUACAACCCAGAUUUGUCAGACAUUUGAUGGGAUUUCCCCACACAGAUUUUGGAUCCUUGGUAUAGGCUCUGUACGAUAUAGAUGAGGGCAUUGCUAAAGGAUUGUGGCCCGAGUCUUCCCUUACUGACUCAAAGGAGAAGAAGCCCUCAGGAGGACAGAGACCUGAAGAUGUGGGUACUAUCAAUUUAGAAAGAUCGAGAUCUCCCAGGCGCUAUCAGACAUUUGGGCAGACUUCAAGAGCCUAUUACCCAUAGCUUUAUGUUUAGUAUAGAUCGCCCAGGCCCAUGACUCCUACAUACCUACAUCUGACCCUAGAGCCUGUUUUUGCUACAUAGGUCUCAAAGAGACCUCCUACCUUAUACCCUUGGCCCUGAGUCCCAUAGACUGCUAUUCCUCGUGCACAGAGGUCGAUACGACAAUUCUCUUAGCUAGGUAUGCCCUUGAGUCGAGCUUUCCAAAAGCUCAUAGAGGGUGGUUUGUUGACUCAGUUAGCUUCUAGGCUUAUACCCCAACCCGUGCCACCUCAGUUCAAGAUGGACCUUCACUGUGCUUAUCAUCAAGGUUUAAGACAUGACACUGAUCGUUGCUCUGCUCUAAGACAUGCUAUAUAGGACUUGAUAGACCAGGGUUUGGUUAACUUAGGGCAGCCAAGUGUAACCAUGAACCCUCUACCGGGUCACUCUAGGCAUGCAGUGCCACCAUCCUCGGGCAGUAUCCAUCACAUAGAUUUUGUAGAGGAUGACAGUAUACACAUGCUGAGUUGGGAUGAUGGAUUGCUAGAGUCGAUUGUUUUGGAUGAUGGUUAUGAGGUUGACACAGUGGGUUCUCAAACUUUUACAUCGUCUAGUUUGAUUUCAAAUUGGGUACCUUUUGAGGUGACUCCUACUACACCGUCAGCUACGGCACGUCAGGGCUCGUCCAUCCCAUUUACCCUAUAACCAAAUGAUGAUGAUUUGGAGGAGAGAGAUGUACAGAUUGUGAACCAUAGUGGGAGAGUAGCUCAACCCCCACCUCUAGUAGCUAGGCCAUUUGAUGGCGUAGUUUCUCAUGAGGAGGUUAGGAGAAAGGAUGAUAAGAUACUUUGGCAGUUACUGAGUACACAGACCCGCAUAUCUAUUUGGAGUUUGCUAGCAUCUUCUAGUACUCAUAGAAAUUCAUUGAUUCAGGCUUUAACCCAGAUCCGUGUGGAGACCACCACUACCUUAGAGGGGUUGAUUCAUAUUAUGACGGCCGACAGGGCCACAUGUAUUAUGUUUUCAGAUGAUGACUUGUCACCAAAGGGUUCAGACCAUACACGCCUCUAUAUAUUACAGUUGGUUGUUCAGGUCACAAAGUUCCAUCCGUCCUGUUGGACAAUGGCUGGGCCUUAAACGUCUGCCUAUUGUCUACUACUAUUGCUCUUGGUUAUGCACCUUUAGACUUUGGUCCCUUUACACAGACGGUCAGAGCAUAUGACAGCACUAAGAGGAAGGUCAUGGGUACUUUGAUGAUAGAGUUGCUAAUUGGUCCGGCUACAUUCCCUAUACUAUUCCAAGUUUUGAAGAUUCCCACAUCCUUUAACCUACUUCUGAGCCGACCUUGGAUUCAUAGGGCCAAGGCUAUAUUCCAUCUUCCCUUCAUUAGAAGAUGAAGUUUAUACAUGACAGACAGGUCAUCAUAAUAUAGUCUCCUAGAGAUAUGUUUGCCUCCUCCGAGCCGGUGCUUCAGAUCAAUCAUAGUGAGGAUGACCUAUUUUUUAUUGGGUUUACAUUUGAUGAGGUGCAAACUCUCGAGGUUGGGGACUUCUGCAAAGAUCUCGUAGCUAUGUCAUUUGAUCAGGAUAGCAGUACGGUGGUACUCAACAUGAUGAGGGGUAUGUCUUUUAUGCCUGGUUUGGGGUAAGGAUGACGUCAGCAUGGACCCAUGGAGUUUGUGGCUACUAUCGAUCAUGCUACACCAUUUGGGCUUGGGUUUGUUCAUACAGAGGCUAACUAUAGGAAUAUGGUGCAUCUACACCAGGAGAGAGUGAGAGCCCGUCUAAUUUGCACACCAUUCGAUUAUCCUAUUCAUCCUUAUAGGAUGAGCUUGGCAGACUAUUUUGUUAGAGGAUUAGAGACCCAUCCUCAUAUGAGGGAUUUUGACGUUGUGACUGAUAUAAAGGGAGUGGAUGACCUUCAGCAUCAAUUUCACCAUUUACAGUUAGGAGAUGAGACUUUUGGCGUACUAGUGUUAGUGAUGAUUGUUCAUUCAUUACCAGAUCGAGCCAGCUUCUUAUCUCUGUGUUUUCCAAAGGAGACUACUAAUUGUGGAGUAGACGUUGAGCCUACUAGGGUGACUGAUGGAGUUGUUCCUUGUGAUGAGUAUAGGAUUGAGAUGGAUAAGAUGAGUAUGAGUUAGAUUAUUGAGAUGAUUCAACCUGAGUCUGCUUCACCGUUCGAUCUGUUUGGGGUGUCUACUAUCGAGGUUGUCGAGGAGAUCUAGACAGUUCUUACUCUAGAGCUUAUGGAGGAUGUUACAGUUGGUGAUGAUGAGUUUGAGGACACUUUUGGCUUUAUUAAGGGAGUGUUCGACUUUGUGGACCCACCUCUUUUAUUUGACAUUUUAUUGGGAUUCAUUUCCUGCUCUGACGAUGUUUAUGAUUUCAUAUCUAUGGAUUUUCGAGUAUUUGCUUGUAUCUUGUGAUAGUAUUUAUAUAUCUGCACCCUACUUCCUCAUUCCACAUAUACUUGAUAUAGAUGAUGAGAUCGCACAACCUGAUUCAAAUAGAGACUCUUCUGAUCAUGACUCAGAUUCCAUAAAUGAGAGAGUUUCACCUGCUACAGAGGAUGUUGAGACUAUUGAUUUUGGUAUAGAGGAUCAGCCUAGAAAGCUAAAGAUUGGUCCACCCCUGUCUAUAGACGAGAGGGAUAUACUUAUUCAUUUACUCAAGUCAUACUUGGAUGUUUUUGCAUGGUCUUAUGAGGACAUGCCGGGUCUGGAUCCCUCUAUAGUCCAACACCAUCUGCCUAUCUUGCCACAUAUCAGACCCGUUAAGCAGAAACUGAGGCAAUUGCACCCAUGUUGGAGUCUACAGGUGAAAUAAGAAAUUUAGAAACAACUCAGUAUUGGAUUUAUAUCAGUGGUUGAGUAUCUAGAGUGGUUGGAUAAUGUCGUCCCUGUUCCCAAAAAGAAUGGCAAAGUUAGAGUUUGUGUUGAUUUCAGAGACCUUAAUAAAGCUAGUCCUAAGGAUGAUUUUCCUCUCCCACACAUUGAUUUGUUAGUUGAUAGCAUUAUAGGUCAUUUGAUGUUGUCCUUCAUGGAUGGAUUUUUCGGGCAUAAUCAGAUUCUGAUGGCUUUAGAGGAUAUGGAGAAGACAACCUUCAUUACCGAGUGGGGUACCUACUGUUAUAGAGUUAUGCCAUUUGGGUUGAAGAAUGCAGGAGUUACUUAUCAGAGAGUUGCUACCACUUUGUUUCAUGACAUGAUGCAUAGGAAUGUGGAAGUUUAUGUAGAUGAUAUGAUUAUGAAAUCCCGAAGCAGAGUGGAUCACCUAACGGCUCUAGAGAGAUUCUUUUAGAGGAUUCGAAAAUUCAGGUUGAGGCUAAACCCCAAGAAAUGCACCUUUGAAGUGACUUCUAGGAAAUUGUUGGGGCAUAUGGUCAAUGAGCGGGGUCUAGAGGUUGACCCAGAUAAGAUCAGAGCCAUACUCGACAUGCCUGUGCCGAGGACAUGAGAAAGAGAUUAGGAGUUUUCUGAGCAGAUUAUAGUACAUCAAUCGUUUCAUAGCCAGAUUGACAAACAUAUAAGAGCCCAUAUUUCGUCUUUUCAGGAAGAACCAACCAACGGUUUGGAAUGAUGUACUUGGGGUACUUGAUGAUGAUACACAUGAUCUCAUGUUGCAAGAGCAUGACUUGCGUACUCCUUUAUGGUCGUUUCCUCACCAAAGUGUUCAAGGAUGUCAACAUUGACUUAAGUAGAGAGACAGAUUUUGAGGUUCCUAGUACUUAUGACAUGUGUGAUGAUCAAUCGAUGGCGAGGAUGAAAUUUGAGAAGGUUCCCGAUGGUUCUUGGGUAAAGAAAGCAGAGGGAGCACCAACAUAGGCCUUAGGAUAGGGAUAGGCACAUCUCGGAGUAGAAAAGGAGGCCGAGAUACGAGAGAUGGAGGGAAGAGUAGACCCUUAGAGUGGCUAUCGGUAGAGAGAGCUCGAGCUUGACAUUCUUCCACUUCAGUCAGAGGUUGUUCAGUUUAAGGCUACCUUCUCUAAGCCGAUGAUGUUUGAGCCGACUUAUACAACAGAACCAUCUACUCAGCCGUCAUUCAUUGAUUGUUCCUCUAGACCUGGAUUCACUGAGCCUCUUCACACUGAGUACCACCUCCUCAGGAACCUCUCGUUUCUGACCAUACUCCUUGGAUGAAUAUAUCUGCUUAGAUUAGCUCUCUAGGUAGUCGCAUGGAGGAGCUUGUUGUAGUAAGUGAUACUCAGUUCUAUUCCAUGGAAGAUCGCAUGAUCAAUAUCAGGCUAGUUUCACUUCACAGUUUGAGCAUCUCCAAUAGAGGUUUGAACGUAUUGAGGAUCGAAUGGAUCAGCAUCAGGCUGGCUUCACUUCACAGUUUGAGCAUCUCCAAUAGAGGAUUGAGGAUCGCUUGGAAAGUUAGCAUGAGGAGAUGAUGGCUUACAUGCGUUCUAUGUUUCCACCUCCACCUCCUUAACCUUGAUUUCGUAGAGACCCCUUUUGUUCCUUUUUAUGUUGCCAAAAGGGGGAGAUAUUUAGUCUAUAGGAGACUUACAUGCAUCUCAUUGUCAUAUCAUAUGUUUGGAUCGUACAUAUUGGAUAGUGAUACAUUUGACUUAUAUAUGAUAUGUUUAUUUGUUUCAUGUCCAUUUGACUUAUAUAUGAUAUGCUUAUAUAUUUCAUGACUUAUAUUGUUUCUUAUUGCAAAUUCAUUCUAUCUAGCAUGCCUUGAUUUUCUUGGUUUUAACUUCGUAAAUUUUGAUUGUUGACCCAUGAUUGGUUUGAGGGGGAGAUUCUUCUUCUCCUAGAUAACCAAGGUUUGUCAUCAUCGAAAAAUGAGAGAUUGUUAGCCUAAGGGUUCUCCUAAUCAGGUUUUGAUGAUAACAAACCAUUGUUAAGUUACUAAUUGGUUUGAUUUUUAAAGAAUUUCAGGUGUUAAUAUGAAAAUUCAUCAAAGGACCUAAUGAAUGCAAGAUCAAGACCUUUGAAAGACCUUUAAUCAUAGGAAACAUAUGUAAGAUGAAUGCAUGGGUGCACUUAGGUUUUACAUAUCAUUUCAUGCAUCUUUGAAAAACUCGAUUUAUUCUUUAAAGUUACAGUUUCAUCAAAACCCGAGUUUUAUCAAAUGAACCUUAGGCAAAUCUCUUCAAAAUUGGCAUAUUGAUUUACCUAAAGACCUUGCCUAAGUGUUAGAAGAGAAAAGAACAAAAAAAGAUAGGUUUUCGGGCCAAAUAUGGUGAACUAGUCGAGGCACUGGCCAACCGGCUCAACUGACUAGGGGUAUCGGUCGAUUGAUUCCCUUUUCUCGAUCGAGGUUUGAUCGAGAGAAGCAAAAAACACUUUCUCUUUUCCAAUAGCCUUUCCUUCCAGUUCGAGGUAUUUGCCUUCUUGGUCAACCUCCGGUUGAGGGUAACAAUCACCUGCCAAGCAUUAAAUGCUCUAAUGACUAGUGAACCGGUUGACCCCCAACUCCACUGGUUGAGGCUGCUUUUUGGUUUUCUUGGUUCCCGAGGUUAGAAACCUAUAAAUAGAGAGCUCCACUUCAUUUAUGAGUAAGAGAAUACUUGCAUUUAUUUGCCUACCCACUUGUUCUUACCUUAAAAGCUCUCAUUCUUUUCUUGAUGCAUUAAACCCCCAUUUGUAUAUCCUUUGGUGCACCUUUGUGAUCAUCCUAGCCUUAAGUUGUAUUUGAGUUAUUGUUGAGCUAAGUUGAGAGAUUCAUUCUUGUUAAUUGAGUGUUAAAGCCUUCAAGUGAGUUGAAACUUGCAGAGAUUGUGUAAGAACCCAUUGGAGUCAGAAUACAAGUGUAAAAGUGAUUAGAAACUUGGUUGAAGCUUCAAGUUAAUGGAACCCUCACUUGGUUAGGAGCUUAAGCAGAGUGGACAUAAGCAAGGAAGUUUUAUAAUAUGAUAAGUAUUUAUUGCUUUAUAUUUUGUUCCUAUUUUUUUGCACCUUUGCCUUAUUACUUUGUAAUUAAUCCUAUUUUCUUUUGUGCCUUCAUCCCAUUAUUUCAAUCCUCAAGGUAAAAAAUUUAACAACUAGAUCUUGAUUUGGUGCCUUAAACUUUUUCAUUAUUUAUUUUCGUCAUUAUAUAUAUUAUUAUAUUGGCAAAUUUAAAAAAUUGUUCAUGGUAUUGAAAAAAAAAUAUCAAUUUUUAAAAAUAUUUCUUAAAAUAUGAUAAGUAAAAAAUUAUUCUUAAACUUAUGGUAUAAUAUGAUAAAUCAAGAAGUUAUCUUUUAAGACAAGCCAGUUAGAACAUUAAACCAUAUGCUACAAGUCUAUCAACAAAAAGACACACGCCUCUUGAAAUUGAUUGAAUAAAUCAUCAAUACAUGGUAAUGAACAUCGAUUAAGAAUGGUAACCUUAUUAGAAUCUCAAUAAUCUAUGCAAAACCUCGUAUUACCGUCCUUGUGUACAAAGAGGACAUGGGCUCCCCAUGGUGACACACUUGAUCGUAUGAGUCACAUAUCCAAUAACUCCUAUAAUUGGACCUUCAACUCCCUAAGCUCUGUUGGAGCCAUACGGUAUGGUAUGGCACCUUGGAUGUUGGUGUAGUUCUUGGCACCAAGUUUAUGGCAAAGUCCAUCUCUCUCGCUGGUGGUAAUCUAGGUGAUUACUACCAAAAAGUGCUAUUUUGUAGACCUAAUUAUAAUGGUUUUAAGCACCUUUGGGUAGUAAUCAUAUUCAUUUAACCCAAUUAAUUCAUUAAGGUCCUUAGUAAUUGGUUUUAACCAUUUUGUGGCAAGUUUACAUGUUUUUAUCAGCUUAUGAAUCAAUUCAAGCAUGCCAAAUGAUGGAGGAGCUACUUGGACAAGUUAAAGCAAGCUUUUAGCUACACCAAAGCAAGCCAACAAAAGGAGAAAAGCAAAGAGAAGCAAAGAGAAGCAAAAAGAAGCAAAGAGGAAAACAGAGGACAGCAGCUGCAGUCUUCUUUGGCACUUUUGGAGCACUUUCUGAAGUCCAUUUUAUACAUGCUAUAUACCAUUUAAAAUCUCAGGAAGUCAAGAAUCCAACGCUUCAAACCGUGUACAAUUUGGAGCUGAAAUGAGGAAGAUAUGGCCUCCGGAAGACAACUGCAUCAAGCUGAGGGACAAUUUCGCACGAUGGAAAUCAAGGUGCGAAUUCCUCAGUCCAAAGUGUGGGAAUUUCGCACACCUGAAACCAAAGUGCGAAAUUGGAACUACAACGUGCGAAAAUUGGAUAUUUUUGCCGACUCUUUUUCUUUUGGAUAUUUUUGUAUAAAUUUCCAUUCUUCUCCUUGUAAUCCACCAAUCAUAAGAUUUCUUAACUAGGAAGGUUGGAAAAACUUCUCUAUUUAUAUCCCCUUGCAUCCGUUGUGACAAAUAGGGGGAGAUUGAUAUAUUGAUAUAUUGAUAUAUAGACUUAGAAUAUUUACAGAGCUCUCCCGUUUCUAUUUUCUUAGUAGCCAAACAGCCUUUGAGGGUUUUUCCUCAAAGGAUGAUUGGCUAAAACUUUUAGUUUCUCAAAGUAUGGAUGUUAUGUGAUGACUUGGAUGCAAUCCCAUGGAAAUUUCUCGCACUCGGAAGGUAAGGUAGUCGUUUUUCAUUAAUGGUUCAUUAAUGCAAAGUUUGGUUUUUAUUUCCUUUUGACAACUUCCAACGGCCAAUACUUGAUAAGCUUUUGGAUUUCUAUCCAUUAGUUAUCUCCUACGAGAUAUUGGAAGGUGAGGUUUUCAAUUCCAAGUUUUGCAUUAAUCCGUUAGAACCAAUUUCAAUGGCCAUUGAAAGGUGAGUUUAUCACCUGGAAUGACUUUGAGUUGCCAAUAUUUGGUAAGCUUUUGGCUUUAGACCAUUAGUUAUCUCUUACGAGCCAUUCAAAGGAAGUCUAAGGUGAAUAACCAUUGAUGAAAUUGACUACCAUCUGUUUUGUCAUUUUAAAGGAUUAAAACUUGAUUUGCUAAAUCCAUACCGGUUCGGGAAGCAAGCAUCACCAUAGUUGCAACCCCAACGCGAGGAGCCUAUCCUGAGAUUUCCAAUUUGCAUAAGAGCCAGAGGAUAGCUAUCCUAUCUUUGAGAAACUUGUUUUUACACCCUUUCAUUUUAGUCUUUAAUGUUAGCUUAGAUUAGUUUAAAUCUUUCUAAAAACAUUUACAUCUUCUUUUAAAGCUAACAUUCAUAAGAAAAUCACCUAUUUUCCUAAUUUGAAUAUCACUUGUGUUUGCGAAAACCCUUCCCAGUGAACGAUCCUAGAACCACUAUGCUAUAGUAGCUUGGCUACUUUAGUAAUAGUAUUCAAGGUAUAAAUUUUGUUGAUACGCCUUUAAAGCUAAGCUACCAUGAGUCGAAUCACUAGGCAAGUCUUUUAGAAAAGCCUCUAGAAACUCACAUGCCACUGGUAUGUCCUCAAGUCAUGGCUCUAUAGCAUGACUAUCCACAACAUGAGCAAGGAAACCCCAACAACCCUCUCUUAUCAAAUCACUGCUUACAUCGGUGAGAUCAAAUAUAGUGGUGCUAAGACCCUUGAACACUUAACUCCAACCUCAAGGGCACCUGGUAAUUUGAAAAAUAAUUGAUAAAAGCAUGAUAUGUGGCUAACCAAUCUAUCAUGAGAAUAACAUCAAAGUCUUGCAUAGUCAUGAGUACCAAGUCUACUUGCAACUCCCAGUAACUAAUGGUCACAACACAUCCUCUAUAUAUCAUGUUUACAAUCACCCCAUCCCGAUUGGAGUAUUUUUAUUUUUAUUUUUAUUUUUAAAUUUUCAAAUGAUAACUUAAAAUAAAAAACACUAAUAUAAAAUUAUAAAACUAAUAAAACGAGAAUAAAAUUAAAUUAUAAAAUUAAUUUUUUUAUUUAAUAAAAUUAAAGAUAUUCAUAUAUCUACAUUUUAUUCACAUUUCACUAAUUUUAAAUUUUUUCAUUGCUAUUUAUAUUUUAUUAAUUUUAUGAUGUUAUUAUUUGAUUUUCUAUAAAUGGUGAAUAAUCAUUAUAUAUUAUUAUAAUGGUAAUUAUAAACAGAAGGAAUUUGGUCUUUGGUUAACACUGAUUCGUUCCCAAUUGGUGUCUCAGUUGAUUCAUGUCCUCUCAAUGGUACCUGACAGUGGUGCCAUUUGAUACGUGUCCAACUGGUGUCCCUUGAUUGUGGUCCUCAGGGAGUAAUCAACAAAAUUUAUAACCUAUUACACCAUGUACUAGGAUAGCCUUAGCUAGCGUAGCAUAGUGGCUCUAGGGUCGUUCAUUGGGAUGGGUUUUCACUUCACAAUUGAUAUUAAUUCAAAGAUGAAUUGGUGUCUUUUCAUUUCAAGGUUAGCUUUAAAAGAAAACAUAAAGAUAUUUAAAUGAAAAAGGUUUGGUUUUAAACUAACCAAAAAUAGUAACUGAUUUUACUUACAAAGAAAAGUGUUUCUUGGAGUUUAGAUCACUAAGCUCAGGUUCCUCAUACAAAAAGGAGAGUUCUGGUUGCUUGUUUAUUUUCCUCGCAUUAGAGAAUUAACAUAUAGUUAAUUCUCUAACCGGUGUGGUACAGAUGCUUCCCUUUAAUGGGUUCAAACACUAAAUCCCUCUCACUGAUGCAACUUGCAAUGGCUCGUGCCUCUCACCUAGCAUUUGCCAUUUAAGGUGAUCUUUAACCUUGGAUUACCCGUCAAAAGCUCGCAAGAGAUAACUAAUGGAUGUCUCCUUGGAGUCCAAAAGCUUACCAAGUGUUGGCUAUUCUAGAAAAUCCUACCUCUAAACCACCUCCCAAAGGCUCGCAAGAGAUAAACAAGUGUAUCUCAAUGGAUGGAGAUCACUUGCCUUACCAAGUGUUGGCCCAGGUGAUUUAAAGGCGUUUUAAGUUAACUAAAAAGAUAGAAACCAUUAACGGGUCACACUUUCUCUUCAUUAAAAACUAAAACAACAAAACUUCCAAUUUAUGCAUGUGAAAACUUACCCGGCUUUCUUCACUCCAAGAGACAAAGAGCCUAGCCUCUCAUCCUCUGAGGAAAAAUCCUCAGAGUUUGGUUGGCUAGAAAGAAAACUAACGAGAAAACAAAUAUAUAUGAAAAGCAGAGCAAGUGCUCUGUAUUUUACUUCCUUCCAAAACUGUACAAAGGAUCCGUUCUAAGAACAAGCUCCCGAGAUCUAUAUAUAUAAGAGGUUAUUCACCCCUUUGUUCUUACUUAAAGACUAAGGAAUCCUAUGAUAGGUGGGUUACAAGGAGACUUUGGGGAUUUACACAACAAAUAUCUGAAGCAAAAUAUCUCACGAUGUUGGUAGAAAAUUUCUCAAGAUGUCGGUCGAAAAUAUCUCAAGAUGUCGGUCAGAAAUACUAGGAAGCUUCAGGAGAACACCAUGACACUGUAUACUGACAGAAAAACUCUCCGGGUAAGCGCUAUCAGAGGAUCCGGAUAUGUCUGACCGGAGAAGUUGAAACAUCUUCCUCUCCCAUCCGACUGUGAGAUAUCCGGAUGUAAAAUGUCGGCGCACGGAAUUCCGGAUAUGAAAUGUCGGCGCAUGGAAUUCCGGAUAUGAAAUAUCCGGAGAAGGUGAAAAGUCGGCCGGAUAGAAUUCUUCCCCGGGUGGAAUGAGCUAUGCUACGCAAGGGGGACCGUCCGCGUGUGCAAGGUGUAGGGACCCCUCUCCUGGAUGACACAGAGCGCGCAAGGCUAUCCGGAUCAACUCCAUCCGGAUUCCCCAAGAGGACAUGUGGCGCGCUCCCCCUAUCCGAACUCCCUCAGGGAGAGGCACACGACACUCGUGAACAUCACACCCGGACGAUAGCAUAUCCUAUCCGAAUAUGUUGUCUGGAUCAUUGACUAAAAGUGAGCAAGUCUUGCUACGUCAUUCGGACAGCCUGCCAUAGACCAUGUUCCGCCGCCAUCCUGUCCGAACGCCCUGUCCGGACAUCUUUUACUCUUUGCAUUCUGGAUCUGCUUAUGGCAAAGGACUUUAAAGCUUCGGUUCUUCAUGUUUUUGAGCUUUCCAUUGCUUUGCCAUGGAUUCCAAAGAACUCUCCUCAAUCUCUGAUUGCUUUGGUGAUCAAAAGCUAUCAAAACACCAAAACUUAACACAAUUUGAUUAGAAUUGAUUGCAAGGGUCCUUAAUAUGUUAAUUGGGUUAAAAGGUGAUAACUACUACUCAAAAGUGUUUAUAAGAGUUAAUUACAAGCUAUGAAAUAGCACUUUUUGAGUAGUAAUCAAACACCUUUCCCCUUUUACAUAAAGAAGAGCCCUAAAAUGGGGCUGCCCACUACCCACAUGACAUUUGAAAUAUUAAAGUUUAAAAAAAGCUGUUUGAAAACUCACAAUUUAAAAAAAGUUUGGGUGAUAAUAGUUUUGAUCAUUUGCUUUUGAAAAAAAUUAAAAAGUUGUUUGAAAACCCAUUGAUAUGUGUCUGGAAAAUUAAAAAUCUAUCUGUAAACCUAUCCUUUGGAAAAAGUGGGGCGAAAACCGAUACUUCAAAGAAAUUAAAGUUUCAAAAGGCCAUUUGAAAACAAACUUUUUAUGACUAGGUGUACCUUAAAAGAUGUAUAAUUGAUGCUAACUUCAUGAAAAUUUAUGUACAAUAACAUCUUUUAGUAUUCACACAUGUAUUUACACCUUUUUCCUCAUUUUCAUUAUUUACUUUUUAUAUUAAAUUAUUGAAAAUAUUAUUUACACGCAUGCAUAAAUAUCAAAUAUAAUUUUUAUUUUUAUCUUAUAUAUAUAAACACUUGUAUUCAAUGUACACGACAUUUGUACUAUUAAUAGAAUACAUGUAUAAGUUUAUAUAUUUAUGCAUUUUUUUCAUUUUCUUUGACUAUUUUUUUUAUAGUAUUGGAAACAUUAUUUUCAUAGAUGCAUGAAUGUCAAAUACAAUUUUUUAAAUUUGUCACACAUGUACAAGUUACUUAUACUAAAUAUAUAAGACAUUUAUACUAGUUGUAUAAGGUUUGUACAAAUGUACAUGUUAUGAAUAUGAAAAUAUUAAAAUGUUGUACAUCCUUUUUAUCCGGUUAAUAUGCAAAUAACUUAUAGAUCAUCUCUAAAAGUGAAGCAAAGGAAUUGAUAUAAUGAUCACUAAAAUUGCAAAUAAAAAAUAGAAGUAAUUAAUUAGAAUUUGAUUAUUAUUAUUUAUAAUUUGAAAUAUCCUAUUAACCCAUAUUAUCACUUAUAAUUUAAAUUAAAGAUAUAUUUUCUUAAUUUGAACAAUUAAGUAAUACUAAGUCUUAUUGAGAUUAAAUAGUAUGCAAUUUAAUAUAAUUCUAUAGUUUAAUUGUAAAUAUGUUGUUACUUAAUGAAAUUUCAAAAUUUUAAAAUAAAAAAUUAUAAUAAUUGAACCUUAAAUUAAUAAAAAAAUAAACUAAGAUACACUACAACAAAUAUGAGGUUUUGUCAUAAAUUAAUUUUUUAUUAAAAGAUAUUAUUUUGUAGUAGAAGAUUUUUUUCUUCCACAAAAAAAAUUAUUUGUGGUGAGUUUGUUGCUAUAAACCCAUGAGCAAUUAUUUUUAACCAUAAAUUUUAAUCUUAUAGCAAAAACAAUUUUCUACAAAAUAAAAUGUGGCAACAUAUCAUUUUUUUUAUCAUAAAAUAAGUUUAUAGCAGCAUGUCAUUUUUGGCAUGAAAAUAUUCAUGGUAAAAGGUUGAUGACCAUGUUCCAGGCCAAUGUGAACCAUCGGCCAUCCAAGUAGCUUUUGGAACAUUAAUGGCUUCCAAAAGAUGACCAAUUUCAGAAAAAUGGUAAAAAUAUGGACCUUGAGAAGUCACCACGACGUCCAUCCCUAUUAUUUUAGGGUCCAGAAGACAUUGCCAUUGUUACUCUCAUCAGAUUCCAUGUUAUCCAAGUGGAGAACUCAGGAUAAUAUAUUGUAUUGAUAGUAGUCUCAUUUCUAUGAUAGAAAUAUAGUCCACUCUUUGUAGACAGGAUGGCAUUUAUGAGCAUAUCUUUACGUUUAACUCUUCUUAAUUUUUUCCUCUUUGUAUAAAGAAUCCGCUAUUAUCAACACAUAUUUAAUACAGCUCUUAAGUAAUUCCUAACAUAGUUUAAGUUUGAGAAACUAUUCAUGAACAGGGCAUACCUUAUCAGCUGCCUCCUUGGUUUAGGACAAGUGACCACAUCAUUCUGACCAAGACAUGAUUUAAGUAGGAUAAACACGUAAAAAUUGUGAGAAUUCCACAUUUAAACUAGAAACUGAAGUCUGGUAGUAGCAAAUUUAAGGUAGCCUUGAAUUCUUAGCAACCAAACAGACCAUUAACCAGCAAAAAAAUGCAACUGAACCACUUCUUUUUAACAUGGAGAAAAUCGAAGAAACUCAAACAAAGAUCCAGCCUUCAUUUUCUCUCAUUCCAAAUGCAGAAAACCCUAAGCCUUGAAUUUUUCACUCUCGUCCAAAUGGAGCACAGUAAACCUUAAUUUACUUUGUAGAUGAAUUAACAAUGCCUGACCAAACAAACACAUAAUAUUUUUAGCAAUUAGAUAAAAAGAUUUAAUGGUUUGAAAUGAUAUUGUAGAUUUUUUCAUAAAAUUAGUAAUAUAAUAAAAUUAGUAUUGAAUGAUCCUAAGCAUCCUAUUUAAUACUAGUUAAAUUAUAAGAAAAUUAAAUAAAAAUUUAAAGUUGAAAGAAGUAGAGCCCUAACUCUCUUGUUGUCGAAGGUGUUUAGUUUUUUGAGAAUAAAGAGUUAGGGCUUGCAUAGAAAUUAUUUUUUAAAAUAAUAUUUUAUUCUCUGUAACAAAAAAUUGCUUUUAUAACUUAAAAAGCACGUUUAACAAAUUUUUAACAACAAAUAUUUUUUUUUAAGAAUUUGUUUUGAAAGUAAACUGUUUUUUAUAUUAAAUUUGAGGUGUUUUCCAUUGUUUUUUGUACAACAUUCUAAAUAAUAAUUGAAAAUGUAAAGAAUAUUUUUAAAAUGCAAUAAUAAUAAUAAUAAUAAUAAUAAUAAAUAUAAUUAAGGAGGAGAGGAUGAGUUUGAAGUAGAUAAUAAUAAUAAUAAUAAUAAUAAUAAUAAUAAUAAAAUAUAAUUAAGGAGGAGAAGAUGGGUUUGAAGUAGAGAAUAGGGUUCCCUUCCUUCCCCCUCGACCUUGAUUACUCAUCCCUACCUAAUUAGGGAUAGAUCCUUGCGAAGAUCCACCUUGAUGGGUAUUUUCGUUACCCCUAUUAAAAGCAUCUCCUAAUAUUUGGAAGCAUAUUUGAAAAUCACAUUAAAAAUUCAAAAAAUCACUUCUGAACAAUUACUUCAUAGGUGGCCAAUUCUUCCAAAAAUCCAUUUUUUGUAAUAUUUAGUUUACAUCAAAACACUAAGUAGUUCUUCAUAAAAAUAUUUCUAAUGGGAGCAAUACUAUUAAAAGCGUUAUAUACUAAGAGCUCGCUUGAGAGUAAUUUGGAGAGAAGUUAACUAAAAAUGCUUCCUUACAAAAAUUAUUUGUUCAAAAUUUUUAAAUAAAGGAAACAUCAUUAGCAGACAUUUCUCUACCACAAAUGUUAAUCUAUGCAUCUCCUCAAAAUAAAAAGUCCAACAUACCUAAAAAAGGACAUUAAGAACAAAGGCCCUUCUAAGAUGUAAUAAUAUACAUGCACAAAAGAAAACAAAAAAAGAAAAAAAAAAAAAAAACAAUUGAAGGCAGUGUUUCACUCACAUAGACUAUGUAGAAAAAACAAACACCUCUUCCUUGUUUUGCAUAUGGAAAAUGAAAUCAGUCUUCUUCAAAAUCCUCCUCCCUAAGAUUUGAAUUGAUAGAAUCCAAUUUUUCAGAUUCUUCCUCUUUAUAACCCUAAGCAUUUUGCAAACAAAGAGCCUCAUAUUAGAUAGGAAAGAUGAAAAUUACAAUGAUGAAGGUUAACAUAAUUAGAACGAAAAUUAAUUUGGAUUGGAGGGUGAAUCAUAGAAUGCUAGAUCAAACUAAUGUUUCAUAUUAUCCUUGUAUUCUCUGAAAGUGAUAUUAUUUAUUUAAUGCAUAUUCUUAAAUUACAUUUAGGUAACAAUAUUGAUAAAGAUUAUAAAUUGCCUUAAGUAUUAACUAGUUCUUCUAUAUAAAAAUGAGACCCUCUAUGUAGAAUCUUGGUGUAGAACUUCAAAUAAUUGUCUACCUUUAACUUUUAAAAAAAGGAAAAAUAUUGUCAUGACCAGUAAUAUCCUAUAUUAGAUAGAAAAAGUUUCUAUAACUUUAUGGUGGAUUUCUCUUAACUAGAUAGAUGAUUUUUAAUGCUCUGAGAGCUCAUUAGGACCAAAGUGGAUAAUAUUUACAUAACAAGAACAAAUUGUCACAAAAGAUAUUAGAAUUAAUCUCUGAGCUUAGGAUGGGAUGAGGUCAUUACAUGACCAUUUAAAUUAUUUUUUGCUAAAUGCUCUAUGUUUUUGUUAACAAAAUCAAAGAUGAUAAAAGACUACACAAUUGAGAAUUCUUACAUUACCUUUUGCCCUUAAAUGAUGUUUGCACUAUCAAAAAAUAAUUUUUUAGAUUGAAAUGGAAAUAGGACAUAUUCCUUUUUUUCUUUUUAUUUUUUCUAUUUGGGACUAGCUAAAUUGAUACUUUACUAAACCCAACACAAUAUCCUUCACUCUUUAGGUUUUAGCAAGAAUUUAUUUAUUUAUUUUUUAUCCAAUUAGACUUCUUAAUCUACAAACCAAAAGAAAAUGAGAACAUUGUCCAUAAUAGGUAAAUAUCCCCAUUCAAUAUCUCACAGUAGUUCAAAUCUAUAUUAAAUCUCAAACAAUUUUGAAAAUUCAAGAAUCAUAUAUCUUCAAACAUGUGAUGAUAACUUAGGCCUCUCCCUCAAACUCUAGCUUAGCAAAUAAAAGUUAAAAAAAAAUUUGUUGAAUUUUCUAGCUUGCUAAAGUAGGGCUCAAACCCCAAUUCUAGAACAAUUCCAACUUGUAAGAUAUCUUUUUAUCAAAGCUAAUGUGGUUAUUCAAUGAACUUAUCACAUUUCUUGCUCAAAUUAUUCUAACUUGAUUAUUUAACCAAGUUAAAUUAAAGAUUAGCUCUUAUGUCUAUUCUAAAUUAGUUUUUUAAUCACAAUACUGGACUCCUUGCUCUCUACCUUUGGAUUUGGUUAAACAUACAUACAUAAACUUUUUGACAAGUGCUUUAUAGUUGUUGCACCAACUUGGGCCUUCAAAUUUUUUUGCCAAAACACAAUAACGUGAACCUUCCAAUAUUUCUUAAAUAAUCAAUGUGUUGUUUAAAAAAUAAUAGUAUCUCCCAUAUAAGAUGUAACAAUUGUUAAAGACUUACCUUGAAAGGAUAAUAGUUUCUAAAAAAUUGAGGUAUUAAAAAAUUUUUACUUUCUCAAAUUUUAAAAUUUUAAAGAACAUAAAGUAAGUUCAUACUUUUUGUAUAAGAGUUCCUAUAUUUUAUAUAGAAUGUGCUAUUAUCUUUUGCUUGAAAAACAAAUAAAUAAAGAAAGUGUAUCUAAAUGAAACCUUAAGUAUCAAAUUUUUUUUAUCUAACUAUUCUAACUUGAUAUCCUAACCUCUAGCUUCAACUAUAAUGCUAGUUUCUCUUUGUAGUUUUGCACCUGAAUUAACUAAUGUGUGUAUAUAUAUAUCUAUGAAUUUUUUGGCAAACACUUUUUACUUCUCAAGUCACAAGAAAGCCUCAUGACUUCUUAAACAUGUUAAGAAAUCAAAAUAUGAAAGAGUGAUGAUGUCACCAAGGCAACAAACAAUAUUAAGACAGUUUGCUUAUAUUAAGAAAUUAAACAUGUUCUUUUAGACUUGAAUAAAAUGAAAAUUCUAUAGGCUUGUUUUGUGUCUUUUCUUCAUACAAAAUAAAUUAAGAAUUUUUUUUGGGAGUGAUUUUGAAAGGUGUUAAUAAUACUUCAUAAUGCUUGAAAACAUUUCUUAUAAAAAUUAGGUGUUUGACAAAAUUUUGAAAGUGGUAAAAAAUAUGAAGUGAUGAUUCCUGGACAAUAACUUCAUAAAAUAAAAAAAAAAAUCAUUUUGCUGUUAUAUAAAACAAUACUAUGAAAACAUUUUUUUUUAGUUUAUAUCCAAACACGAAGUGAUUCUUUUUAAAAAUGUUUAUAAGGGAAAUGUUAUUAACAAAAAUGUUAAAGAUAAAGACAUUUUAAGUAGAAUAACCCCAAAUAACCUUUAAGACAAAUAAGAUUAAAGUAGUAUUUACUAUAUUUAUAGAGCCAAGGAAAAGAUGAUAUUAAGAGUAGAAAGAAUUAGUUAGGGGAAUUACUCCAUUCAUACCUGUUCCAUGAACUUCUUGCGUAUGGUGGUAUUUUGGUCAUCCUGCCAACAUUCUUCAAAAAAUUCUUUUUGUACACUUUUUAGCCUUGGUGCAUCUAAGACUCCCUUGCAAAAAAAUUCCAUCCCAUGACAUUCUCUCACCACCAUUGUUUCCAAGGAUGGGAAUUUGAAGACAUAUCUUGUUGAUGAGCAAAAGCUUUUCAGAUUUGGCAAAUGAUAAAGUCCCAGGCUCUUUAAUCUAGUGAACUCAAUCUCAUUAUCUGUUAGUUCAUGUCCUUCAUUUCCCACUAUUUCUUUUAUCAUGUGGCAUUCUUGUAUAAUAAGCUUUUUGAGUUGCACCAGUCUUUUGGCCAUUAAUGGUGUUACCAAAUUUAUCAAACUCCCACAACUAAUUAUCUCUAGAGCUUGAAGACUUUGAAAAUAUGGGCCUAAUCCAAAUAGAUGAAUUAGAAUAGGUAGAUCCUUCAAGCAUAUUUCAAUUAAUCGUGGAAGUGUCUCAACAUGAAAUUCUUCACUUGGAAGCCUUUCUACUUGAAUAACCUCAUUCACUGAAUCACACUUUAUCACCUUUAGUUGUUCUAGAUUAUGUAGUAUUUGAACCAUAUUCAAGGGAAUCACAACCGAAAUACCAUGACAAUAGUGUAUCAUCAAAUCGCUUAACUUCGAAAAAGACACCCUUGAAAAUUGGCCUCGCCAUAUCUCCAUAGUGCCCUUUAAGCUCAAUGUCAGUUCUUCCAAAUUAGGAAAUGCUUCAUGGCAAACCAAAUUACAUAAGAGGAAUGACAUUUCAUUUAUGUGAUUUUUUUUAAAUAAAUAAAUAAGUUAUAUAUACACACAUAUACAACAAUCCUCUUUAAGCUUGCAAAUAGCUCAAUAAAUGAUAAAAAUAAACAAGCCCCUUCAAGUUCAAACUCAUGACCACUUGAAAAAUAAGGCGAUACCAUAGUAAAUAGAAAAAACUGUAAAUCAGUUCAUUUUAUCUACAAACCUAACAUUUAUAUAUUUAAUAAUUAUAUUUCCUUCUUGAUCAAAGAGCUAUUAGGAGAAAAUAAGUAAACAGUAUUAUUGUUAUAAUUAUUAUAAUUGUUGUUGUUGUUGUUUUCCAUAUGAGGCGUAAUGAAUUACUGUGUCUAAAUAAUCAAGGUACACUUUGACAAGUUUUGAUGCAAUGUGGCUAAAAAUAGAUUGGAUCAAUAUUGCACAUUAAUUCAAAUAAAACAUCAACAUUUUUUUUUUUGUUAAAUUCUAAAUAAACACCACUAUAAAUUAAUGCAAUUUUGUAUGAAAUUCAAUUAAAUAAACUCGUUCUUAAGGCAUCACAAGAAGUGUUUAAGUCUAAUUAAUAUUAAUUAAAAAUUAUUAUAUUAAAAAAAAUCCAAAGUAAUUUAUUUUUAUCAUAAGUCAAAUAGGAUAAUUUUAUAAAUAAUUGGUUUUAGUUUCUAGUAUUCUUGUACACAAUCGCUAUGUUUGUUGCACCUCCAAAAAAUCUACUACUUGUAAUUAAUUGUAUAUUAUUCUCCAUAUUCACAUCAGUUUAUGUAGUAUGAUUAAUUUAGCAACAAAAUAUAACUUUACUUGAAAUCGCUUUAAAUUCCUAUGAUAUUAAAGUCUACGAUUAAAACAAUGUAACAUUAGCUAAAAAGAUUAAGAUCUAUAAUGUAACAUAUAAAAUUUAGAAAAUUCAAGGAAGGGUAAACUCGCACCUUUUCUACCCAGAAGAGUGGCUCAAGUUCACAUUCCAAACUUAUUUGUUGAAAGAGUAUCUCCACUUUAUCACAAUUGUGCACUACCAAUUGUUUCAAAAAUGGCCAACUUGGACUAAACCUUCCAGAGCAAAAUCUUUUGAGAUGGUGUAAACCACGGAGUGCUGCUUCAUCUUCAUUUUCAUUGGCAACAAUUGCCUCCGCUUCACUCCCCAAUAUAUGUAGGUCCUCAAGUUGCACAAGAGCACUCGCCACAGAAAGCGAAAAAAGAUUUAGCAAAUUGUUGCAUCCACUUACUUGCAAUUUCCUUAAUUUGGAAAAUGAAUUUGCUGGAAGUUGGCUAGGCCGCAAUGCUCUUAUAUUAUCCAGUGUGCCUACAAAUAAGGACUCCAAGCUGGGAGUGCAACCUGUGCAAUUGAUGAUCCCUUUAGUUAAUAAUAUAUACAUAUACAUUCCUAAUAAUUAGACACAUGUAAAUAGAAAAUAAGAGGUUAAAGGAUAAUAUAUCAGUAUAACAAAGCACAAAAUUUAAACUAGAUUGAAGAAGAUCAAGAAAGAGAAAAGAAAAGAAAAGAAAAGAAAAGGCCUCCUGAUUUUGAAGAUCCAAUGAAACUUUUAAAAAAAAAAAAAAAAAAAACCUCCAAAUUUUGCUUUCCAAAUGAGGUAAUAAGAGGAUUUUUUUUUUAAACUUUUAUAUAAGAUACAAGAACUCUUAGAGGGUUACAUUAUGUAAGUAAUACUUUAAAAAAUUUGUGAUAUCCAAAAAAAAUUUUAAAAAUUAUUUUUAAAGAAAGGUAAAUCUAUACUUUUUGUAUAAGAUGUUCUACCUUUAUAUACAAAUUUCUGAUUUUUUUUUUAAAGUGUAUCCAAAUGGACACUAAACUAUCUAGUUUCAAAUUUUUACAACUUUGAAUUGGAUUUUAUGGUAAACUAAUUUACAAUAUAAUACAUGGAUUCAUCUUAGAUUCCAUCUAUAAAUUUUUUAAUUAUCUAAUAUAAGACAUUAUAUUAAUGGGUUGAAUUAAUAAUGUAAUUACAAUUUAUUUGGCAACUUUCUUCCUUCAAAUAUAUAAAACGAAAAUAAAUUUUAAAAAGUAAAAAAAAUGAAAAAAAUAAAAAAUAAAAAAGCUUAUUUUAUAGUUUUUCUAAGAUGAUUUUGUAGAGUGUUAGUUUAUAGUUUUAACUUUAUUUCAUUUUACUUUUAACUUUAUUUAUUGAGAUAUGUUCUUUUUUGAAACUCUUGUUUAGAUUUUAUAGAGAAUAUAAAUUUUAAGAAAAAAAAUGAAAUUUAAAUAAGAUAAGAAUAAAGAAACGCAAAAGGUGGAUGGAUUUUUUUAAGGCAAAAUUUUGAUAAUUGGCACUAUCAUGUAACAGGUGAAAAUUUUAAAUACUCAACAAAGGCUAGAGAAAUUUAAAUUAAAAGCUCGACAUGUACUUGUUCGAGCAAAAAGAGCAGUUGUUGAAUUUUGUUGUCAAGUUCACUUUUCUAACCUAUUUCUUGAAAUAGUAUCUCCACUUUAUCACAAUUGAACACUCUCAAUUCUUUUAAAAGUGGCCAUCUUGAAGUAAACCUUCCGAAGCAAAAUCUUUGGAGUUGGGGUAAAGUAUUGAGUGUGAGAGAGGUUAGUUUAGGGAAUAAGAAUAAAGAUGUUGCUUCAUCUUCAUUUUCAUUAGCAACAAUUGCCUCUAGUACUCCACAAGAGCAUAUCUGUAGGUCCUUAAGUUGCACAAGGACUUUCGCCACGAAAAGGGGAAAAACAUUCAGCAAUUCAUCACAGUAACUUACAUCCAAGCCCUUUAGUUUGGAAAAGGAAUUUGCUGGAAGUUGGUUGUGCCACAAUGCUUUCAGAUUAUCUAGACGACAUACACGCAAGGACUCCAAGGCAGGGAAUGCAGCCUAUGCAAUUGAUGAUCCAUUUGGUUAAUACAUUCUCAAUAACUAGACACAUAUAAAUAGAAUAUGAAAGGUGGAGGUGAAUAUGUCAACAUGAAAAAGCACAAAAUAAAUUCAUAAUUUUAUCUACAUAUUUUC